UAAAGAGUUAAGAAAGAAAAGAGCAAGACAAAAUUCGGUACAAAAAGUUGGGUGGAGAUGAACAAAGAUGAAAGAAGCACGAAAAGAAGAUGCCGCUAAGUUUAGGUCAAGAAAAGUGAAAGUAAAAAUGGGUGAUAGAUGAGUAGGAUAAUAAUAGAAAUUUUUUUGUUUAUCCUUAUUAAUUUAGAUGUACACGGAUAAACUUUCUAAAAUUUGAAAGUAAAAUUUGGAAUAGCAUGAAAAAAAUCCACUCAUUUAAAGGAUAUCACUUAGAAGGAAGAUGUAAGUUUUAACAUUUCAUUAUUAUAAAUAUUGGGAAUCAAAGUCAGGUUUUGAAGGAUAGUCAAGACCUUGUAGAGCUUGUAUCUUUGGGAUAUAUCCUCAUCUGAAUAUGAAGGAAUGAACCAGUACUUCUUGUCCAUUCCAGAAACCUGAUAUCCAACCAAACAUCAAUCAUAAUGUAACCACAUAUAUUAGUCAAUAAUAAUACCAGAACAAGACCACCCCACCAUCCAUAAGUCCAUGUUCUGUUACUUUUUUAGUGUUGUUACUCAGCUAAGCUUCAAAAUUCACUGAUUUUGGUAUAUUAAAACAGCUUCAAGUAACUUUUAUGUUAGAUCACAAGUUUCAUACAGUUAAAUUGACAACUUGAUUUUUUCAAUAAGAACACUCAUACAGUUAAAUUGACAAUUUCGUUUUUACUGUUUUGAAAGUACAAAAUAAUCAACUUCUCUUAUUCGCCCAAUGCAGAAAGGAUUGAACUUGUGAGUAAAUUAUUUGAUAGAUGUAAUUCCAUUAAUUGCGUCAAAUUUCCAAGUUAUAUAUCUGCAAAUUGGUUUGAAUCAACAUAAAAUCUGACCACAUUCUUCAAUAGACCUAAUGUACAAUAGAUUGAACCAGUUAGGCAAUUAUUAUGGAGAGACAAUGUAUCCAAUUGUGCUAAAUUACCAAGUUCUUGUGGUAUUGAACCUGCAAUUAAUCCAGUGAGAGUAAGAAAUAGACAUUUGAGAUUCUGCUAUUGNAAGAAUUCAGAAAGACUUAAAAGUUCUUUAGGCACAGACAUACCAUGAUGAUGAUUAUUGCCGAGAUUAAAAACAUAUUUGGUCUCUGACAAACAUCAAUGGAAAAUAUCAAACAAUUGGAAAUAAAAUCAUUGAUUUCACCUUUGUACUAAUCAGUUAAACAAACUCUACAAAUAAAAUGUAAUGUCAAAGAAAAUAGAAGUUUGAUAGCAAUCCCAAAUGCAAAGUAAAAAAUAAUAAUGUAUCAACCCUUGACCAAGAAAACAUCAGCAGCAGAGGUUACAACCUAAACCAACUCAUCUAAUACAAAAUUACAAAUCAUUCAUGCACAUUCUAUGACAAACACAUUGUUAUUCAAAUAAGGUGUCACCUUUCAUCAAUUCAACAAGUCUCUCGAGAUCAUUUCAUAAAAAAAUUUCUCUGCCUUUUCAGUCUCUUUGUUCUUAAACAGAGCAGAGAUGAUUAUUUGAAAAGUUAUAACAUUAGAUAAGCAACCACUGUCUUCCAUUUUGGACCACAAGGUCAAUGCUUCAUCAAGCAAACCCUGCUUACAAAGACCACUGAUCAUAACAUUAUAAGUAGGGAUGUCGGGACUGUGACCUUUAUUCAAUAAAUCUUGAAAAAUCUCUCGUGCAUUUUUAAGUCUCCCCCCUUUACACAUGCCAUCAAUAACUAUGGUUGCAGUGCACAUAUCGGGCUGAAUUCCAUUCUCUCUCAUUUUCCUCAAUAAUUCAAUUGCCUUGUCUAGAUGUUGAUUUUUGCAUAAACCAUCAAUCAAAGAAUUAUACAUGAUUACAUCUGCUUGUUGAUUUCUACCAUGCAUCUCAUGAAAAAGAUCCCAAGCAUGAGAGAUUCUUCCAGUUUUGCAUAAACCAUCAAUAAGAGUAUUAUAAGUCACAGUAUUUGGAAUUAUAUUCCUGUUCUGCAUUUCCUGAAAAAGAUUUAUGGCCUCAUCCACCCUUUCGUUCCUUAUGAGUCCAUUUAUCAUGAUAGUGUAGGUCCAAACAUUAGGACUCACUCCCAUGUGGGUCAUUGCACUGAAUAUUUGUUUCGCAUUUUUCACUUUAUUAACUACGUAAUACCCAUCCAUUAGAGCAUUAAAGCUAAAAACAUCAGGUUUCACGUAAUCUUUCACCAUCACACCUAACACAUUCUUGGCUUCUCCUAACUUUCUUUCCUUACAUAAUGCAUCAAUCAAUAUAUUAUAGGUAUAAACAUUUGGCCUAAUGCUAUUUGAUACCAUUUCAUUUAGAAAACCAAAUGCUACCUCUACCUGUCCCACUAAGCAAAAGCCAUAAAUUAGAGUAUUAUAAUUAACAAGAUUAAGAGAAAUUCCUUUGAUAACCAUCUCGGAAUAGAAAUCAUAAGCUUCUUUUGGACGUUUCUCUUUUAAUAAAGAAUCAAUAAUAAUGUUAUACAUUACCGUUGAUGGACCUUGAAUCUUUCGGAGCAAUUCGAUGGCGGCUUCAGUUUCACCUAUUUUGCUCAAUCCAUUGAUCAAUAUCCCAUAAGUAAAUUGGUUGAGCCGAAAUCCUAGUGCUACUACUUUAUCGUGAAAAUUGAGGGCUUCCUUAACCUCACCGUUAUCACAUAGACCUCUCAUGAGUGUAUUUAAGGUUAUGGCAUUUGGAUGAUAACCCCUUUUGAGAAUCUUGACAAAUACAGAGAAAGCAAAAGGCAAUUGGUUUAAGUGACAGAAACAAUUGAUGAGGAGACUGAGAUUAACAAAGUUAUUGUGAAUUCCCUUGAGCUCCAUUUGCUGAAUGAGAGAAAUAGCAGUAGGGUAGCGCUUCACCCUCACAAGAAAUCCCAAAAUCUUUCCAAAUUCGAAGAUGGGAGGAACAUGACGCUGAUGAAGCAAGCGAUUGAAUUGUGAGACGGCUUCGUCGUGUAAGGAAGUCUGAGGGUGAGAGUGAGAGCAAAAGAGGGAAUUGUGGAUUGGAAGAAAUGGAGGAAACUUGGCAAUGGAAGGAAGAAGAGAAACCCUAACACUUCUUGAGAGCCACAUAUUUGCUGCAACAACAAUAGUAUGGCAUUCUUCAAAUUUAUGUUUUCUUCAUUUUUAAAAAGCUUAACUUGUAUGCUUUGAAUAUUUUGUUGGGACAAAUUUAAUGAAUUUAAAUUUUUUAAUUGGAUAAAAUUUUUAUAAUUACCUCUAAAUUUUAAAAGUUAUUUAAAUUUGAAAUAAUUAUUAACACUUACACCUUUAUUCUAAGUUACAUCCUUUUUCUUGUACUUUCAAAAUUUAUUCCUGUGUUUCCGAAUUUUGUCUUAAUGUAAAAACUAUAUUUUUAACGGGUAAAAGAAAAUUUCUCUCAUUAUUAUUCAAACAAAAUCCUUCUCCUAUCCUUAUUUUGCCUAUUUAUCACUCAUUUUUCUUAACUUAAACUUAAACAUAACCGAACUUCUCUUUCGUGUCUGCCUGUCUUUGAUUAUGGUUAAAACUACUUAAGCGUCCCUGUUUUCGUAAGGUCUUCCCAUUUUGGUCCCGUUCUUAUAAAACUUUCCAAUUGAGUCCUCAAAAGUACUAAUUUGAAACAAUCCAACCCCUACCGUUAAAAAUCGUAACGGCCGUUUAAAUAUCAAUGACGUGGCAUUAUAAAUUAAUUUUAUAUUAAUAAUUAUUAAUAAAUAUUUGUGUGAUCAGGAUUUUAGAAGGGUAAAUUUGGAAUAGAAAAUAAUUUCUUCUGCAGAACCCAAACAUAGCUCCCACUUCAUCUUCUUCCUCCGCAAAACNCAUAGUUCAUCUNCUUCCUCAAACCAACCNUAAAACANAAAUUUGCAUAUCUCGGAAUUUCGAUCUUUUUCCUCAGACCGAACAAAAAUAACCAAAUCCUUUAUAAAACCCUAAUUUCGAUCUUUUUCCCCAAUUCAAUUUGUCGAGCCCGCCACCGUCACAGUAGAGCCCGUCGCCAACGCUGCCAAGAGCCGAUGGAGCUUCAUAGGGUCAGUGGCGCUUCUCCCUUUGCUUCUUUUGUUCUGAUAAUUGUAGCCAUCUCCCUGUAUUGGGUUUCGUCUUCUGUAUGUAUCUACUGUGUGAUGAACCGAAAGAAAGGAUUUAAUGCUUCGAAUCCAAGAAUUUGGAUGGAUUGGUGUGCGAUGAUGGGAAAGCGUAGUGGAGAUUAGGGGGCUGAUUUGGUCUUCUCCGUUUUGAUUUGAAUCUAUUCAGAGUUUUGGGAUUUUUCUGAGGUCACAGAAGAAAUGCUUGGUUGAUCUUUUUGAGUCGCAUCAUGCAACUCUCCAGUUUCAUCACUGGAUCUGCCAAAGCUCUGUGCUGAUUCAUCCUGGAUAGCAUAAGAACUCUGCAGAAUGUUAAAGAAAUGAUUAAAUUGAUUUUUUUCUACGAUUUUUUAGAAAAAAAUAAAUUAAAUUGCUUUACGAUUUUUGCAGAACGAAAUUCAGAAGUCUCGUUACCACUAUUUUAUUGGACAAAAUUCAUAAAAUCGCUUGACCCCUCAUUUGUCCUUCCUGAAAUUGAAAACUGGCUAUCAAUUUCAGUCUCACAGACAACAGACAUGCACUACAAGACUUUCAUGGAUAUAUACUAAGGGUUAGUUGAGUCAGCAUUCAAUCAUGUAAAACCCUGAACCGAUAGUAAUUUUGGAUUUAUAAUGUUAUUUCUUAUUUGUUAGUUUUGAUGGGUAUUAGGUUGGCUGCAUCUAUUGCUUUGGAGGAAAAAGAAAAGUUAGUAAAUAAUGCAUCAACUUCUGUUGGGGCUUCCACUAUUGAGGAAGAUGAGUUCAGGUUCUGGGGAGGAGGAAGAAGAAAGUUUCCACUUUACCCUUUUAUAAAAUCUAUAUUCAUUAAUAGCUUUUAAUAUAAAAUUUAUUUAUAAUGCCACGUCAUCAAAUUUAAACGGCCGUUAACAAUUUUUAACGAUAGGAGUUGAAUUGUUUCAAAUUAGCACUUUUAAGGACUCAAUUGGAAAGUUUUAUAAGAACGGAACCAAAAUGGGAAGACCUUACGAAAACAGAGACGCCUAAGUGGUUUUAACCUUUGAUUAUUUUCACCUCAUUCCUGCAUCGAAUUUUUGUCUUGUACUUCUCUUCCUUAACUCUUUUUCGUAAUAAAUCAUCAUUGUUUAAUUACAUUUAUUUGUAAAUAUUUAAUAUAGUUUAGAUGACGGUAGAAGAAAUAAGGUGAAAACCUCGACUUUUAGAAUCCGGUAUUUAUUAAUUAGUGUUUUAAUAUUUAAAAUUAAAAUAAGUUAAAAACGUUGAAUAAAAAAUUACACGAAACUUUGUAAAAGUAUAAAUUAUAUUUUUUAUUAUUAUGUAAACUUGUUAUCAAUUGUUGGAAACGAUUAUAGUGCCACAAUACCGUACACAAAAUUAUUAAUUUGAAAGUAGAACAAUUAUUACUAAUGAUUAAACAUGUACAAAUAUCAUAAAUUAAAUUAAUUAUUUAAAAAAUACAGUUUGUUUUCACUCAUGAAUUCGGUUAUAAUAAAUAAAAAUAGUAAAAAUUGAUAAACUAUUACUACAAUAAUUAAUUAUGAAAAAUUAUAACAUUAAUACUAUUGUACUAUGAAUUAUAACAUCAUUAAUAUUAUUAUAUAAGUUUUAAUAUCAUUAAUAUAAUUAAUAAUAAAUCAUUUAUGAAUUUUAAUAGUGUUCAUUAGAUUUUGAAAUUUUGUAAAAGUGUUCACAUGAUUCAAAACACGAGAGAAAUAAAUACUUGGAAGAAAUAAGAAACAAAUUUUGAAAUCUGAGAAAAAUAAAUAUUUGUACUAUAUGUAAUAUACCGAUCAAAAUUAUUGGUCAUUCAUAGAUAAUUAUCAGGUAUUAAUUAUUGGGUUUAAUUGCUUAAAAUAUAUUGCACUAAUAGUUAAUCAAUGGACUUGGCUGUCACAGGCCCUAUAAAUAUAGAUGUGCAGAUACAAUUAUCUUUUCCUAUUUUUUUUAUCCUAAUUAAAUAUAGAUAGACCUCUUUAUGAAACAUAUCUGACUUGAGCGUCGGUGUCUUCUGCAGGUUAACAACCCAUCGGGGUUGAUUACGUUCUUGAAGAGGAUUGGACCAUCAAAAAAGAACAAAGCAAGGAACGACGACCGACUCUCGGACAAAUUCAUCUGAAACAUUUUGGUGCCCAUCGAGGGGCCGAGCAGCAUUCCCAUGAAGCCACGAAGAACCAGACGUGAGGUUACUUCAAGGGCUGAUGACCGCUCGGUAAUCCGAACGCAAGAUUACCUUGAGAGUGAAGAACCUGAUAACCCGAACGCGAGGUUACCAUAAGAGCGAAGAGCCUGGUAACCCGAACACGAGGUUACCUCAAGGGUUGAACACUAUCUUCAGAGUGGAAGAUCGCUCGGUAACCCGAACGUGAGGUUACCAUAAGAGCAAAGAGUUUGGUAACCUGAACGUGAGGUUACCUUAAGGGUUGAAUCACUCUCUUCAGAAUGGAAGACCGCUCGGUAACCCGAAUGCGAGGUUACCAUAAGAGCGAAGAGCCUGGUAACCCGAACGUGAGGUUACCUCAAGGGCUGAUGACCGCUCGGUAAUCCGAACGCGAGAUUACCUUGAGAGCGAAGAGCCUGGUAACCCAAACCUGAUGUUACCUCAAGGGCUGACGACCGCUCAACGCAGAAAGUUCAAAAAAGAACUCCUAUCAGUCAACUACUCAACAAACCUAGUCCUUUCCCACUCGGACCACCCGUGUUCCGCUUUGUCAGGUUCCAAUGCCUUUUUAUUAUAAAAAUAAAUUACAAAAUAUUAAAAUGUUUAUUUUAAACGCAUAUAUUUUGGAGUGAAAAUCUCUUGCACAGGAAACCGUUCAAAAGAGAACUCCUAGAGUUCGUCGCUUGGUAUAGGGAGUAAUGAAGACUUAAAGCGCAUCAAAGAUAGACUCCCUAAAUACAACGUGAGCGACCUCUUUUAAAGCUCAUAAUAAUCCCUAUGCACCUCUUUCAAAUAAAAGAGCUUGCUUGGGCUUGGGGGACUUAUGUACUAUAUGAAAUAUACGGAUCGGAGUUAAUGGUCAUUCAUGGGCAAUUAUCAGGUAUUAAUGGACCAGAUUGCUUUACGCUUUACAAAUAUAUGACAUUGAUUAUUGAUUAUUGGAUUUGAUUGCUUAAAAAUAUAUUACACUAAUGGUUAAUUAAUGAACUUGACUGUCAUAAGCCCUGUAAAUAUACAUGCAAUUGAUGUUUAGGUACAAUUAUCUUUUCCUAUCUUUUUCUAUCAUAAUUAAAUAUAGACCUCUUUAUGAAACAUAUCUGACUUGAGCGUCAACAAUCCAUCGGGUGGAUUACGUUCUUGAAGAGGAUUGGACCAUCGAAAAAGAACAAAGCAAGGAACAACGACCGACUCUCAGACAAAUUCAACCGAAACAAUAUCAAAUUUCAAAAUCUGAUAGAUUCUUAAACUAAGUUUCCAAAUAUGGUAUAUAUUAAUUAAUGUUUCAAUUUUAUUAAAAAAUUUAACCAUUAUGUCUCAUGUCUCAUUUUCGAGAAUAAAUUAGAUAUUACUAAAUAAAUAUGGUGUAUUUAGUUUUGAUUAUUUUGUUAUUAAAUAUAAAUCAUUUAUGAAUUAUAACACGUACAUAUAUUAUAUUAGUUGUUUCAGUAUAUGGGAUCCGAAACCGAGCUGUCACGUCUCUUUUCACCUCCCGUUCGUCCAACUUUCACAUACAAGAGCUCAUUUCCAGUACCGAACGUUGAUGUCCUGCAAAGGAAAACACUCUGACGCUCAAGUCAGAUAAUGCACCAGGAGGUUAAGCAGGAAUUAUUGUGUUCAAGAUGUCUCAUACCUGACUCUUCAUCUCCUAUUUAUAAACCUCACCUUCAUAAUUAAUGCUAAUAAUUACCACGAAACGUAAUAUCUUCCGUUAUCCUCCCAUCAAUCCUAAUAAAUGCCCCUCAACGUUACCUUACUCCUUGCUCUUAGCAGACCGACCGACUUCCCCCUUCUCUCUGACCACGGACUUAGCUCAAACCGAUCGGCCCAAUCGAUCCCCUACACUACACAAGCCCCCAAAGCCCCGAGCGGCUUUAACAACGAAGGGGUUUUACAGGCCUCUAAAGUGGAAUGCUCGAAGCGGUUUUCUGCCCGGUGGGGAUCGAAGCGUCGCGACACUCCGUCCACACGAUCAAACCUCGAUGUAUGGCUGAGAUACUCUAGCCCGUCAAUCACACAUGUUCAUCGAAGAGUCGCAAUUUCGUGGCCGUAGGAUUCGACCUGUAUCAACGGCGACGAUGCACACCCAAACCGCUUUAUGCGGCUAUAAAAGGUGGAGGGCCCCUUCUCAUUUCCUCCGUUCCUCACUUCCUCCGUUGCUCCUCCCGUCCCUCCUCAACUCCAAGGUAAUGUCUUCCUCUUCGUGGUCCACCGAUGGGUCCGAUAAUGAAGGUCGGGGGUACGCUGAUGGUGCAAUCGCUUCUUCUUCAUUGGAGUCUUCUUCAUCUCACUCCUCUGGUUCUCCCGUUUGUGAGGAAGCCGCUAACGACGAUGUUGAGUUCAACGUAGAUAACUCGUUAGAAUGGAUCGGCAAUGCCCCUCCUCCUAUUGUUCAAGGCUACGAUUGGGCCCCUCACGAGGUUAACGACUACCCUUCGUACUUCAUUUCCACCAACUCCAUAGUACGUCUGUUGGAACGGGUGGACCUGUUGUCCAACCUACGACGAGAUGCUGCCGAUAUAUCCCUAGUAGUAUGUCGUUCCAACGAACAGGCCUGCCACAGUCGGGAAGGGUAUACCCUAGAUUUCUUUUAUGCUUAUGUUACCCUUUUCCGCGACUUGGGUGUACGACUUCCCUUCUCGAAAUUUCAUAUGGGCGUACUUCGAGAGUUAAACAUCUGCCCAGCUCAACUUCACCCGAACGGUUGGGCCUUCAUGCAGGCUUUUGUUGUUCUCUGCACUGGCCUCCUCCUAACUCCUACUCCCGCCUCCUUCCUCUAUUUUUUCCACGUUCGUCCCCACCCCCACAGGUGUUGGAUUUCCCUAGUCCCAGCCAAGGAUAAACAACUCUUCACCUCGUUCAAUUCCUCCUACAAAGACUUUAAAUCCAAUUUUAUCAAGAUAGCCAUAUGAGAUCCCGGCCUGCCCAAAUUUUUCUUUGGGGAUAACCGGCCCAAAUUUCCCCUCUACUGGACAGAAGAGCCUAAACGAGUGAUCUCCUGGGCUGAAUCUGAGAUGACUGAAGCCGAAUUAGAAGUAAUUCGCCAAAUCGAUGAGCUACCCCGGAAGACCCCUUCUCGCCAACUCAUCGACCUCCUCGGGACUAACACUCUACGCGCUAGGGUGUUGGGUAAGCUUUCCUUUAUUUUCCUUCUCGAUCAGUCAAUAUUAACUUGCUAAAUUUGUUUCAUCUUUGCAGACUUCUUUGGCGGAAUGGAGAAACACCAAGCUUUCGCUCGCGCCCUAGCUCGCAAGAACAAACGAAGUGGCGACACUACACUCCCUUCCUCCAACACUAUCGCCCACUCCAUUAAUGUCGCUUUGAAGAUUCAUGAUCUGAGCGAUGACCCGAAACCGGUCGUCCCUGCCCCUGUGACCAAAACCAAGGGAAAAAGGAAGCAACCCUACGAGAAGACCCCUCUCCUUCCAAGAAGAGAAGGAACUUGGGUCUUCUCCUUUCUGGCCCUCCGGAUCCGAACGUCCACGUAUCCGACUGCCUCCAAUUCAACCUUUCCCCCAAAGAAAGAGAACCCUUCAAAACCAUGACCCCUACAGAAUAUUUGGAUAUGGCCUACGAGCUACUAGCUCGGGCCAGCAUCUGCCUGAAUUAUUCUGUUGGAACCACCAAACCGCUCCUUGUGUCAGAGCUUGAGAAUGCCAACAAGAGUUUGGCCACAGCAAAGAAAGAGAUUUCCAUCCUCACCGAACGCCUCGAAAAGGCUAAUAAACUUGCAGAGGACGAUCGGGUUAAAGCUGCUGCCACACUCCUUGAAUCUAAAAAUGAAGUUAAGCGUCUUCAGUAGUUCGUUGAUUCCCUGACCCUAUCCUUACAACAAUCUUCCUCCCAAGUCAAACAAAUCACCGAAGAGAGGGAUUUCGCCCUUGCUGACCGGGACAGAUUGACCUCUGAGUACUCAGCUCUAGAGGAUGAAAUCUGUGAAGAACGCCAACGCGGAUUCGAGCAAGGGAUCGCACAGUGCCACUACUUCUUUCAGACUCCCUUGGAGCACGAUGGUUUCAACAUUAUGAAGAUCUUUGUGGACGGUCAGCUUGUCGAUAUCUCCGCCCCACCUCCUUCACGAGUUGAAUCUAAUACCGACCAGGCUAUUCCUUAGGUUCCUCAAAACGUCCAGGUCGCUUCGGAAGCUACUACAUUUGUCCUUCCCUCAAGCGACCCUACCACCACUUAGCUAGCUUCAUUUUACUUGUAUUUCUCUUUUGGUGUACUUCAUUUUAUUUUCUUCGCACCUAUGUAACACAAACUUUUAAUUGCCAACUUUCUUGCACUUUAAUUUUACAGUUGUUAAUGUCUCCUCCUUUUGAUAGUCGCAUUAUAUACUUAUAAUAUUGUUUUAAUCCUUGUCCGCUCGUCCAACUCUUCUUACAUAGCGAAAUUCCAAGAUUUUUCUGAUUUCCCGCAUUCGGCUAAAUUGAAAAAUCUCUUUCCCGAUUUUCUUCUCUUAACCGAUGGGCAGUCAUUUUCCUGACUAUGCCCAAACAUCCACCCUCCCAACUCCUGGUGAAAAUCAUUUUCCUGAUUUUCUCGCGUUCGGCUAAAGCGAAAAUCAUUUUCCUGAUUUUCAUCCUUUAGCUGAUGGGCAGUCAUUUUCCUGAUUAUGCCUGAUGAUGGGUGUCGCCACCCAAUCAAAUUUAAUUGCAUAUUAGGAAUGCAGUAUAGCUAGGGAGUGACCCCUAGGUCGUCUCUCAAGGACCAACUACGGUUCAGAAUCAGGUCUAACACAGUGUAGGGGGGUUUUGAAAAGGUUUCACCAUGCAUGAAAAUGAAAUUAGAACAGUAAAAACGAAAAUUCACGCUGGAAUUAGGCAGCUCUGACCUUUGCUCAAUGUUUUAACCAUAACUUUUUCUACAGAGCUCUAAAUGAGAUGAGGUUUUUUUUUCCUGGAAAGUAGACUCAAUUAUCUUUCAUUUGAUAUAUAAAAUGUAGCAUUUGGAGCUCUGGUGUGGUUGCAGUAAUUUUUUUAAAAUCGAGUCCAGAGAGUGAAAAUGCUAAAUCAAAUACUAGACUAAACAAAUAUUUAAACACAGUUAAAUUAAAUUAAAUGCAAAACUAAAUUAAAGAAAUUAAAAACAACUAAUCCUACAAUACAAACUAAUUUAAAGCUAAGAAAGAUAAGCAACAUAUUAUUUUUUUUUAUCUAUCAUUCACGUGACAUCACGUGCCUUGCAAUUGAAAAUUGGAUGUUCCCUAGAAUUAAAUUAGCUUGUUGCAUCGUCUUGCUUCCUUUUCAAAAAUAAAAUAAACCUCCAAACGUCCCAUCUAGUUGUCACCGUGAUUGCUCUUAUCUAAUACAAAGUAAAAGCUUGGUCUAAAGAAAGUAAAUCCCUAGAAAAGUUAACCACCGAGCCUCAGCCUAAAAUCAAAUGAGUGUGUGCUUUUGCAUAAGCAAAGUAAAUUGAAAGAAAAUGUUCCAACAUUCAAUCACCGCAUGUGUCCCCUUCCUAUUUAAUAAUAAAACAAACUUUAAAGAAAUGUGGGUGGUGGCUGCACAUUUCUUCCAAUUGCAAAUGAAAAAAAAAAGAAACUUUAUGCCAUCAUAGAAUAUCACGGUGCACACACUUCUUCAAUAAAAAGCUAAAAAUAAAGAAAAUGUUUCUUCCUCAUUCCCAAGGCUUUCUAUAAUUGAAAUCUGCACUCCUCCUAUGCUAAACAGGAAAUUGCUGGAAUAAUAAAAAGAAACAUUAAAUGCAAAAAGUGCUAAAUGAAAUGAAAAGGACGAGAGUAAAUAACCAGGAGCUUUUCAUUCCUCAAGUGUAACAGCGUGUGUACCAGUUUUUUAAUAAACCAAAAUCCAAAAAUUCCAUCAUCCUCCCAAGAAGCUAUGCAUGAAAAACGUUAAAAAAAACUCCUCUUAAAAACGUUGCAGAAUGCCGAGAGUCCUCCUUAGCACAAGUGACGGCUGGAAGGGGAUUGUUGGAAUCCCUAGGGCCAAGUGUCUUCAUAAAAAUGGGUGGGGUCCAUCCUAAAAAAAUAAAACCCUAGGGUGACAAGUGUCCUACAAUUUUUGGGCUUCUCAUAAUUUUUUUUUAAUAAUGGCCCAAUGUGCAAAUGUUUGUCCACAAAGUUUAAAAAAUUAAAAUUAAAAUACAAUAAAAUUUAAAAUGUCUAAUUUGAGAGUCUUGAAUUUAUUUUGUCUCCUCCAAAUGUCCCAAAUUGAGUUUCCAAAAUUCUCCCUGAAAAUAAUAAUGCAAAUAAUUAGCUUAGAAAAUUCAAAUUAAUUAAAAUUAGAAUUUCUGGUCAAAUUAAGCAUAUUUAGGAAAAACGGAAAAAUACCGGACAAUUAAGCACAAUUCCCUGAUUAAUUCUAGCACAAUAAACUAAGUGAAAUCAAUAAAAUAUCGGCUCAUCACCUGAACGUCUACCCUUCCAACUCCUGGUGAAAAUCAUUUUCCUGAUUUUCUCGCGUUCGGCUAAAGCGAAAAUCAUUUUCCUGAUUUUCAUCCUUUAACGGAUGGGUAGUCAUUUUCCUGACUAUGCCCGAACGUCUACCCUUCCAACUCUUGGUGAAAAUCAUUUUCCUGAUUUUCUCGCGUUCGGCUAAAGCAAAAAUCAUUUUCCUGAUUUUCUCGCGUUCGGCUAAAGCGAAAAUCGUUUUCCUGAUUUUUCAUCCUUUAGCGGAUGGGUAGUCAUUUUCCUGACUAUGCCCGAACGUCUACCCUUCCAACUCUUGGUGAAAAUUAUUUUCCUGAUUUUCUCGCGUUCGGCUAAAGCGAAAAUCAUUUUCCUGAUUUUUAUCCUUUAGCGGAUGGGCAGUCAUUUUCCUGACUAUGCCUGAACGUCUACCCUUCCAAAUCCUGGUGAAAAUCAUUUUCCUGAUUUUCUUGCGUUCGGCUAAAGCGAAAAUCAUUUUCCUGAUUUUCAUAGUGAACGUCUACCCACCUUCUCCUCAGAGUUGCUUCUCCUACCUCGACUGACAUCAUCGUGUCUGUUCUGUAAGUCAAGUUAAAUGGUGAUUCCCCCGUCGCGUCGUGCGGCGAACAACGAUAUCCCCACAAGACCAGUGGUAACUCAUCAACCCACGCCCCCUUUGCUUCGCCCAUCCUCUUCUUUAAUUCUUGAAUAAUAAUUUUAUUCACGGCCUCGGCCUGACCGCUCGUCUGUGGAUGCUCGACAGAACUCGUGACCGAAGUUAUCCCCCACUCUUGAUAGAAGGUCACCAGCUUUCUAUCCACAAAUUGUCGAUCAUUGUCAGUAACAAUUACCUUCGACAACCUAAAUCGGCAAAUUAUCUUCCACACAAACUUCUAGACCUGAGCGGCUGAAUUUUUGGCUAAAGGCUCGGCCUCCACGAGUAAUACAACAGGUGACGGAUCCAGGAGUAAUACAACAACACCAAUCCCUUGCCGCUCCAUGUAAUGAGUACUCAAAUGCCCUUAAGAACAUGUCCUCAUCCGGGACAUCUGGAGGUUUCAUUGAAGAGCAUAUGGUGUAGAACUCCUCCAAAUGUCUAUAUGGGCAUUCACCUGCAAAACCAUGAAACCUAGGCAGCAAAUUUAUCAGUCCAGUGUUGAAAACACAACGCAUAUCCUCCUCAUCAAGUGGAAACGGCUCCCUAAGAGAACUCUCAUGAGAUGGAGGAGGAACCGUUAUGUUCUCAACAUAGAAAUCAGCAGAGUAUAUAUGAGAACCAUACUCAAAGUCAGAUGCAGAAGGAGAAUCAUAAUCAUAGACACAGGCAGAAGAAGCAGUGUUCACAAAAUCAAAGUAGGUAGACAUGUAGAAGGAAGGGGGAAAAAUGCAAUGAAAAUAUGCAACUAAAUGCAACACACAAUGACGAACACACAAAACAGAACAUCACACUCACAACACAAGACAAGACACAAUACACACUAACACAACAAAGACCUAAAACCGAACCGUUGGUCCCCGGCAACGACGCCAAAAUUUGAUGGGUGUCGCGGCCCAUACAAAUUUGAUUGCAUAUUAGAAAUGCAGUAUAGCUAGGAAGUGACUCCUAGGUCGUCUCACAAGGACCAACUGCGGUUCGAGAAUCAGGUUAAACGCAAACAGUGGGGGGGGGUGUUUGAAGGUGUCGUUGUGAAUGCAAUAUGAUGAAAUUAAAAAUUAAAAUUAAACACAACAGAAUACAAUUUAAAACAUUAAAGUACAUGACAAUAUUAACUAAAAUUAAAUACACACUAAAACUAAAGAAAGGAAAUGUUAUUCAUCAUGGAAUCAACAUUUAAAAGAAAAAUAAGUAAACCAAGAUAAUUGAGCAAAAUACUUCUCUAAAAUAGGAUUCAAUUAAAAAGCUUAAAAUUCCUCCAAAUUAAAUCACCACUUGCAGCAUAUCCCCAGCUCCUCCUUUUCUUCAUUGAAAUCCACGCUGAUUUCUUUUGUAAAAACAAAUUAAAUGGUGAUGAUAAUCCAUUCUCCCGGACUCGGCAGCGGGACGUGUCCAUGCUUUCAAUUAAAAGGAAUACUUCUUCAAAACUUCUUUCCCAGGUCGAUAGCUCCAAUUUUUGCCAUCAAUCCACGCCUAAUUUUCUCUCAAUGCAAAGUUAAAAGUGAAAUAAACAAUGCUUAAAACUUCCUCCAUGUCGUACCAUUUCUUCACAGACGUGAACAAUUAACUUCUCCAAGAAAAUUAAAAUUGGCUUCCAAUUCUAGAAUAAGAAUCACCGUGAAUAUUGCUGCAUCAAUCAUCAAGCACCUUAUCCGUACAUUGCUUCUGGAAGAAAAAUUGAUAAAAGCUCCACAAAAUAAAUCCUAGCUACCACCAAUUCCAAUCCAAUCAUCUAACUACUAUUCAAUCCAUAAAAUUCAAAUAAAUGCUAGCACAACCUUAGCAGGUCCGUGACAGCAGCUCACACUUCUCCGUACACUAUGCUUCAAUCAAAGGAAAUUAAAACAAAUAGAAAACAGUGCAGCACUUAAAACAAGGUGAAAAGGUAAAAUGUGCUCUCAUUCAUUGAUGUAAUAAAAUCAUGAACCACAUCCCAUUGUUAAAGAACCGUGAGCAAAACAUGUGUGUGCAAGCCAAAUAUCUCCAAAUAAAAAAAUGACGGCUGUCUUUUCAAAAUAAAAUACCAAGAAUCUCUUUUAGCCAAAAUCCAAAUAUAGUAUCAACAUUGUUCUUUUGAAACGUUGCAGCCCUUCCAAAUGCCAAGUCUCUCUUUUUUUUUUUCUUUAGUUGCCGAUAGGUGAUAAUCCAAGUCUGCAGCCAAAUUCUACUUAAAACCAAAGUGACGGCUGCAGCCCUUAGCAAGGGACAUGUGUCUUCAAAUUUUAGGAUGGGGUCCACCCUAAAGAAACCUUAAAGUGCCAAAUCAUCCUACUCCACAAUUGGACUUAGUCUACACUACCAAAAAUUGACCCAAAAUUACAAAACUUGGUUUAAAAAAAAACUUAAUCUACUAAAUUAAAAUUUAAUUAAUUCUAAAUUGUCUUUGUGGAGAGUCUUGAAUUUAUUUUGUCUCCUCCAAAUGUCCCAAAUUGUGUUUCCAAAAUUUUCCCUGAAAAUAAUAAUGCAAAUAAUUAGCUCAGAAUAUUCAAAUUAAUUAAAAUUAGAAUUUCCGGUCAAAUUAAGCACUAUUAGGAAAAACGGGAAAAUACCAGACAAUUAAGCAUAAUUCCCUGAUUAAUUCUAGCACAAUAAACUAAGUGAAGUCGAGAAAAUAGUGACUCAUCAAAAACCCCUUCGGUACAAAUCGUCACCCACAAGGCAAUAUCGAACGAUCCUCUUCACAUCUUCGGCGCCAAGGACUUCCCCCCCUCCUGCCUCCGAAUCAGCUGGAUAAUCUCAUCCUUCCAAGUGUUUUGUGAUCCUGCAGUAGUAACGUUGAAACAUUCUACUAUUGGCUUCGUCAUCACCUGUCUGAUCACUGUAGACAAUCCCCCCCUUCGCAUUUCCGCUUGCCAAUUUGGACAAUAUAUCCGCUCGAUUGUUUUUCGACCGAGGAACAUGUCGCAAUCGAAAGCUCUUAAAACAUGUCGCUAAUCGCUUUGCCUUGUGGAAAUAUUGCAAUAGGUGAUUGUCUUUCACCUGAAAGUUUUCGUUCAUCUGCCCUUCGACCAACCGGGAAUCGGUUUGACACUCUAGCAAGCUUGCCCCCAAAUCUCGUGCCAACUCCAUUCCUGCCAGCAAAGCCUCAUACUCUGCCUGAUUGUUACUAACCUUGAACUGAAACACCAAAGACUGCUCAAUCAGUACCCCGCUCGGGCCUUCUAAAACCACUCAUGCUCCUCCUCCCUGCUUGUUAGAGGACCUACCUACCGAAAGUUGCCAACAAAAUUCCUCCUUCUCCCCUGGUAAGUCAGCCGCAAAAUCUGCAAGAUGUUGGCCCCAAAACGACCCCUUCGGUUCGUACCUCAGCCCAAAUUCAAAUAAUUCUAUCGACCACCCGAUCAUCCUACCUGCUAAGUCAGGCUUUCGCAAUAUCUUGGCUAUCGGGUAAUCCGUCCCAACAACCACUUGGUGUCCCUGAAAAUAAGGUCUUAGACGCCGAGCGGCAUAAACCAGAGACAGGGCCACAUUCUCUAACUGCUGGUACCGAAGCUCUGCCUCCUUGAGGCUUCUGCUGACAAAAUAAACCAACUUGAAAUAGGGGGUCUCUUGAAUUGGCGCAGCACUAAUAGCCUCCUCUGUAGCAGCUAAAAAGACCUGAAGAUCAUGCCCCACUUCCGGUCGGCCCAUCACCGAAGGUCGAGUGAGAAUCUCCUUCACCUCCCUGAAAGCCUCUUCAUUCUCCUUGUCCCAACACUCCUGUGUUGUUCUCUUCAUUGUUCUCAGGAUUGGCUUUAUGUGCUCGGCCAAAUGAGGGAUGAACCGAGACAAGGAAGUCAAACGCCCCACCAACCUCUGAACCUCCUUCACCGACUGGGGACUCCUCAUUUCCAAAACUGCCUUGCACUUAUCGAGAUUCACUUCAAUUCCCCUUAAAGUCAACAUAAACCCUAGAAAUUUCCCUGCCCGAACCCCAAAAGUACACUUGAAGGAGUUAAGCCGCAUAUCAAACUUUCUAACUUGUCCCAAGACCUCCUCCACAUAUAAAAUAGUUUCACACCAGAAUGAUAAAUCUUCUUAACAGUCACAAAACUAUCUCUGCAAGUAGUGAUAGCGACCUAACAACUACGUGUUUAUAAAAUUUUCAAGUUCAAUUCCAAUUUGUGGCCAAUUUGAAUUUACUUUACCAGCAUGUAUGAUUUUGAGGGAAAAAAAGAAAACAAAGAGAAUAAGAAAUUCUAACAUUCUCAUCAAUAACAUUACAAAAUGAAAAUUAAGCACAAUUUAAUUUAUAUAAGGCAUAUGGUAAAAUUAUACCAUUAGAGGAGACAGAUUUAGUAUAAAAAAAUAUACUUUGGAUAUAGAAGUUAUUGUCUUCUAUGUAUACUUAUUUUAAUUUUAAAAAAUAUAUAUUUAAAUCAUAAAAUAAAAAAAUUAAUGACAAUAAAAUAAAUUCACUUUAUAUAUAUAUAUAUAUAUAUAUAUAUAUAUAAUUAAAAUAAUAUAACAUUGAGAUAUUUUAAAUUUGAAUCUCUAUUAUUAUUUAUUUGUGAAAACAUUUAUUAUUGUUCAAAUUUUUAUGAUAAUUAAAAAUAAUGAAAUUAUUAUUAAUAUUAAUAUCAAAUUAAAUAUAAAUAAUAUCUAUAAAAAUAUCAAAUUAAAGAAUGUUUAAAUUUUAAAAAAAUAUCAAAUUGAAAAUUUUAAAUAAACGAUUAUUAAAAAUAUCUAGUUAAAGUAUAUUUUCACCGGACAAUAUGUUAGUUUAAACUUUAAAAACAUAAAUGAAAUAGGAAAUGAACAAUAAUAGUGAAAGAAAUUUGGUGAUUUAAAGAUUAUAAAAUUAAAACUAAUAGUAUAUCUAUAUAUAUAUAUAUAUAUAUAUAUAUAUAUAUAUAUAUAUAUAUAUAUAUAUAUAUAUAUAUAUAUAUAUAUAUAUAUAUUAUGCUAUAACUUUUUCAAAUAUUCGAUAUUAUUGGGUUAGAGAAAUAAAAAAAUGUUUGAAAUAUGAAAUCUUCCUUAACACCAUGGUUAAUAAGUCUCAAGAAUAGGAAGAACUACUAUAGUCAUUAUUUUAAUAUCAUUUUAUCGUAUCAUGUCUAUUAGAUUUAUACAAUUGAUUUUAUUACGUUUAAUACCUAUUUUGGUUCAUUAGUUUAUAGAAUAUGUUUAAAGUUGUCCUCUUUUUUUUCAAAAAUUCAACAUCGUCCUAUAUUUUGCAAAAAACCGUUCAAGUUAGCCCUUUUUGCUUAAAAAAGCUAACAACAGAAUAGCCUCAUUGACAAAAACUUGAUGACUUAUACAAAUUAUUGUUGACGUGACACUGUGAGGUAAUUUGAGACCAAUGAGAAGAUGCCACGUGGCAGAUCUCUUUCCACACAAAGUUAGGGUUUCACAAUUGUAGACUGGGCAAGGGCUUUCUCUGCAUCGUCAUGAGAACUAGAGGAUCUACCACGAAUUGUCGUGGAGGCACGAUUUAGGUAUUCACAACAGGGGCGCGAUUGUUGUGCAAAGGAGAACGCCAUGAUACUAUGAUUUGGUCCUCGCAGUAAAUGAGUUUAUGGUUCUAUUUUGGAUGCAGGUUUAUGGCGACACUUGCGAGGAGAAUGGGUUUCAUGCAUUUGCAGGUUGCACGAGAACGAUGAACUUGCGAAGAAGAUGCGAUAUAGGGUUUCUAUUUUUGGAUUUUUGUGUUUAAUUUCGCUCUCACUUUUUAACAGAGCAAGGAAAGAGGGUCUUGUGUUUUUCUCUAUAGUUAGUGUCUUGAUUCCCCAUUAUUCUCCUGUUUUCACUGUGCUGUAGGUUGUGGCAACUGUUCUCACAACCAUGCAGCUACUUGUCUAGAAAAUCUUUGCAGACUGGAUCUGCUUACCCUUGUUGUUAAAGUAAAUCUUAGAAACAAUACCCUCCAUUUAGGUGGGGGCAGUAGUUCUUUAUAGGAGCUUGGCAGUUGGUUGUUGUAAAAGGAUUUCUCCUCUAUAAUUUUGUUCUUUACAUAAACAAUACCCAUAAUUUUCUUCAUUUCAUUUAAUGAUUUAUGUGUUAUUACCUAUACCACUUCUUGAUUGCAUCAAACUUUUCCCAUUUAUUGGAUUUGUUGAGAGGGGAAGUCUAGAGGAAAGGGAUCAAAAUUUUAGGAAAGGGGUAGAUGAAGGUCACAUUAGAAAAUGGAUGCUAAGAUUGCCAUUCUGGAGAAUGAAAUGACAAAUCAAGACAACUUUAGCAACAAUGUUGUUGAUGGUGGAAGAAAAUCAGAAGAAAUUGGUGUCAAUGCUGGAAAAGAAGAAAAUAGAUGUUGUAAUUGUGAAACCCCCUCACAGUGCCACGUCAAUAAUAAUAAUAAUAUAAGUCAUCAAGUUUUUGCCAAGAAGACAAGUUUGUCUUUAGCUUUUUUAACAUAGUAAGCAAAAGAGAUUAACAUGAACCGUUUUCGCAAAAUAUAAGAUGUUAGUGAAUUUUUGAAAAAAAAAAAGAACUUUAAAUAUAUCUUACAAACCGAAAAAUCAAAAUAGGUAUUAAAUUAUUUUAUUAUUAAAUUAAAAUAUUAUUAUGUAUUGUUAAUCAAUCAAAUUUCUGGGUAACAGAUGUUUUUUUAGUUUUUUAUUUAUUUUUGUUAUGUAACUGAUUUUAGUAAAGUUUAUAAUUUUGUAAAAUUAUUUCAUUUUCAUUUCCUACAGUACUUUAAUUAUGAUUUUGAAAACAUCAUUUCAGGAAUAACAUUUAAUAACAAAUUUAUCCAAUUAAAGAAAAGAAAGAGGGUGAAAAUUGAAAAAAAAAAGUAUAAGAAAGAGAAAGAGAAAAAAGAAAGUAUAAGAAAGAGAAAGAGGUGAGUCUAAGUUAGGCAAAGGAAUAUAAGAAAGAAAAAAGAGAAGUGACAGUCUUUUUUUCCACGUCACCACGAGUACAAACACAACAUUUUCAGUGACCAAGUAAACAAAUGAGUUUUUUUUUUUUUGUAAUAUUACUUUUAUUUUCUUUUCAUUUCCAAUACUAUUAGUGAAAAAAUAUAAACAUUAUGAAUACAAUUCAAUAAAUUAUAAUAUUUCUUUUUUGAAAAUGAAUUCGCUCAACAUUUAAAAAUAUUACAGUGAAUUUUAAAAAAUGUAUAAUUUUUAUAUUCAUAUUACUUUUAAAUGACAAAAUAACUUGUAAAGAAUUUAUUUAUUUUACUAUUAUUAAUGCUUAUUAUGAAAUUAGUACUUAAAAUACACACAGACAAUAAAUAUUUUGUGCAUAAUGCCAAAUGGUUCCAGUCUACUUCUACCAAAAGCUCCAUUUCUACACCCUACAUUUUCCUUCUUCUCGGUCGCUUUCGAUGCUAAAUAUUCCAUUUCAAAUUCAGGAGAUAUGUCCAACUGAAAAUUUUCAACAAAAUUUGCAUUGGUAACCUGAUCCCACUAUUUCAAGAACUAAGAUUUAGAAGGCAACCAAAGAUAAGAAUAAAGUAACCUACCUGAUCGACCAAUCCACAUCUACCAAAAUUUUUGCAACGCAAAUGCCAUAAACAAAAAUAAAUCAAGAGUUUGUUAGUUAUUGUAACCCUGCCUUCCAAAUCUCUACCAUCUGCAUUAGUGCUAUUCUGAGAAGCCGACGACAGGACAGUCUUAUUUUGAGAACAAAAUACUAAAAUUAUUAAUUUAAAUUAAUUACUCCAACUCUUUCUUCCAUAUGGAUACUGCUAUGCAAUAAAUGUAUGAGAUUGAAGCCAUGAUUUAAUUGCCUUCGGAUUGCCGUAGGAUUUAUCAGAGUUUGAAAAUAAAUGUAUCCUCUAGGCUAUAAUAUAAUUCGGUCCCGACCUAAACAAACUGUACUCAGAUUCAAAAAUACAUGCCUUGCUACUUAUGACAUCUUUCCUUCCGAAAAAUCAACAUAUAUCUUCUAGCAAUGCACCAUAUUAUGCUAAAAGACUCCAAGAUAAAGCAAAAAACACGUAAUUAUAAUCUUUUGGUUUCCCACAAAAAUAUCCAUGAAACUAUAUGAUGAGUGUUUAGUUUUAUCACUUUUCAAACUACUGGUACCAAACAGUAACUUAGUUUUAACCCAAAGUUUAAGUAUUAAAUGAGUAUUGAACCUGAAAUUUUAUUAUGAGAAAGUUGCAAAAAUGCUAAUUUGGGCAACUUCUCUAAUUUUUCGGGUAUGUGACCUUCUAUUUGGUUAGAAUCAAGGAAGAGAUAUGUCAAAUUAUACAAUCGACCUAAAGUAGGAGGAAUUGAACCUUCGUGAGUGAGAAAAAGAUAUUCAUAUUCUCCUAUAUUGACAAGAAAAAGAUGAGUAAAUUACAUGAGAAAUAUAAUGUUACCUUCAAGUUUGUUUGAAUCCAGAUAAAGAGUUUCCAAGUUCACCAGUUGAGCAAAAGUAGAUGGGAUUGAACCCGUUAGUGAAUUAUUAGAGAGAUCAAAUACAACUACAGUUGUUUGAUGAAGGAAUCCUCAAGGAACCUCUAACAAUAUCACUAACACUUCCAGCUUCAUUGCAGGAGAUACCCUCCCAAUAACAAUGGUCUGAGAUAUUUGAGUCAUCAUUCUGUGGAGCAAAGUCUGUCUUUCCUGAUUAAAUGAUGAGAAAAUGGAAGAGGUAGACAUGAUGACACCAAUCACAGAUGAUAGCUCAACCAUCAUAUAGAAGGCCAUAACUCGUAAACUACAAACACAGUUAGCCAUACUUGAUUGGUUCAGAUUCAAAUGCCUCCGAUAACUAAUCAGUUAUUUUUGUUAUAAUGCAAUUGACAAUUAGGUUUCUUAGUUGGAUAUAGAAGAUCAUGAAGAAAUCAGGGAGGAUGUUAAAAUGAUAUCAGGGAACGCUCCAAUUAUUUUCUCCAAGGUUGAUGAAGACUUUGCACAAAGAGGACUUAACCUCAACAGUUAUUGCCACUGAUCUAUUUGACUUUUUGAUUACUUUGGUUUCCAACUCUGUAGGCCAUGCACUUGGUGCUACCACCGUUGUCAAGGAGGUUGAAACUAUAGAUUAGUCUUCAGCAACCUUAACUCAACAGCAAAUACAAUAUUUGAGUUUUAUAUAUGGCUAUAUAAUUAAUCUAAGAACUUUAUCAUUGUAAUUAUGUAAUUUCUACAUAUAUAACUAAGUAAGAACUUUAUCAGCUGGUUAUGUAUAAUCAUACUUGAAUGAAAGGAAGUUGUACCAUGGUCCUUCAUACACAAAAGAAGUGGUAUAUCUCUAGUUCUUUUAGACUUCAGCUUGAUCAUCUCCAUGUUAUGAUAUGAGAUAAUAGGUUGCAUAAUGUUCUUACAGCGAAGGUUUUAAGGAGGAAGAAACCAAAGUAUAUCGGAAAUAAAAAUAUACCAGGAAAUUUUCCAAAUAACUCUUGUCAGAACAACAUGGAGAAAUAAUUCAAAUUCUAUGAACAAAAAGAAAAAGAAGAGGCACACUCAUCUAGCAAAUAUCUUUUUCAGAUUUCCAAAUUCUACCGGUAUAUGACCAGAAAUUUUGUUGUUUUGAAAGUACAAAAUAGUCUAGUUCUCUUGUUGGCCCAAUGCAGAAGGGAUUGAAUUUGUGAGUAAAUUAUUUGAUAGAUGUAAUUCCAUUAAUUGUGUCAAAUUUCCAAGUUAUAUAUCUGCAAAUUGGUUUCAAUCAACAUAAAAUCUGCCCACAUUCUUCAAUAGACCUAAUGUAGAAUGGAUUGACAACCUAAACCGACUCAAGAGAGGUUACAACCUAAACCAACUCAUCUAAUACAAAAUUUACAAAUCAUUCAUGCACAUUCUAUGGCAAACACUUUGUUAUUCAAAUAAGGUGUUACCUUACAUCAUUUCAUCAAGUCUCUGGAGAUCAUUUCGUAAAAAAAUUUCUCUGCCUUUUCAGUCUCGUUGUUCUUAAACAGAUCAGAGAUGAUUAUUUCAAAAGUCCUAACAUCAGAUAAACAACCACUUUCUUCCAUUUUGGACCACAAGGUCAAUGCCUCAUUAAACAAACCCUCCUUACAAAGACCACUGAUCAUAAUAGUAUAAGUAUGGAUGGUGGGAUUGUGACCUUUAUUCAGUAGAUCUUGAAAAAUCUCUUGUGUAUUCUUAAGUCUCCCCUCUCUGCACAUCCCAUGGAUAAGUAUAUUUGCAGUGUACAUAUCAGGCUGAAGUCCAUUCUCUCUCAUUUUCCUCAAUAAUUCAAUUGCCUUGUCUAGAUGAUGAUCUUUGCAUAAAGCAUCCAUCAAGGAACUAUAAGUGAUUACAUCUGCUUGUUGAUUUCUACCAUGCAUCUCAUGAAAAAGAUCCCAAGCAUCAGAUAUUCUUCCAGUUUUGCAUAAACCAUCAAUAAGAGUAUUAUAAGUCACUGUAUUUGGAACCAUAUUAAUGUUGUGCAUUUCCUGAAAGAGAUUUAUGGCAUCAUCCAUCCUUCCUUUUCUUGUGAGUCCAUUUAUCAUAAUAGUGUACGUCCUAACAUCAGGACUCACUCCCAUGUGAGUCAUUGCAUUGAAUACUUGUUUCGCAUUCUUCACUUUAUUAACUAAAUAAUACCCAUCCAUUAGUGCACUAAAGCUAAUAACAUCAGGUUUCACAUAAGCUUUCACCAUCACACCUAACACAUUCUUGGCUUCUCUUAGCUUUCAUUCCUUACACAAUGCAUCAAUCAAUAUAUUAUAGGUAUAAACAUUUGGCCUGAUGCUAUUUGAUACCAUUUCAUUUAGGAAACCGAAUGCUACCUCUACCUGUCCUACUAAGCAAAAGCCAUAAAUUAGAGUAUUAUAAGUAAAAAGAUUAAGAGAAAUUCCCUUGAUAACCAUCUCAGAAUACAGACCAUAAGCUUCUUCCGGAUGAUUCUCUUUUAAUAAAGAGUCAAUAAUAAUGGUGUACAUUACGGUUGAUCGACCUUGAAUCUUUCUGAACAAUUCGAUGGCGGCUUUAGUUUCUCCUAUUUUGCUCAAUCCAUUAAUGAGAGUCUCGUAAGUAAAUUCGUUGAGCCGAAAUCCUAGUGCUAUUACUUUAUCGUGAAGGUUGAGGGCUUCCUUAACCUUACCCUUAUCACAGAAACCUCUCUUGAGUGUAGUUAAGGUUAUGGCAUCUGGAUGAUAACCCCGUUUGAGAAUCUUGGCAAAUACAGAGAAAGCUAAAGGCAAUUUGCCUAAGUGACAGAAACAAUUGAUGAGGAGGCUGAGAUUAGCAAGGUCACAGAGAAUUCCCUUAAACUCCAUUUGCUUAAUGAGAGAAAUGGCAGUAGGGUACCGCUUCAUCCUCACAAGAAAUCCCAAAAUCUUUCCAAAUUCCAAGAUGGGAGGAACAUGACGCUCACGAAGCAAGCGAUUGAAUUGUGAGACGGCUUCGUCGUGUAAGGAAGUUUGAGAGUGAGAGUGAGAGCAAAGGAGGGAAUUGUGGAUUGGAAGAAAAGGAGGAAACUUGGCAAUGGAAGGAAGAAGAGAAACCCUAAUACUUCUUGAGAGCCACAUCUUUGCUGCAGACAACAAUAGUAUUGAAUUCUUCAAAUUUAUGUUUUCUUCAUUCUUAGAAAGCAUGCUUUAAAUCUCAUGUUUUGAUAAGAUAAUUAAAUUUAAUUUCAUUUUAAUUUUUUCUUAAGUGAUAUCCUUUUUCUUGUACUUUGAAAAUUUAUUCCUGUGUUUCUGAAUUUUGUCUUAAUGUAAAAACUAUAUUUUUAACGGGUAAAAGCAAAUUUCUCACAUAUUAUAUCCAAACAAAAAUCUUUCUUAUAUACUUAUUUUCUCCAUUUAUCACUCAUUUUUCUUAACUUAAACUUAAACAUAACCGUACUUUUCUUUCGUAUCUCAUUGACUUUCUUCUUCUUCACCUCAUUUUCCUACAUCAAAUUUUCGUCCUGUGCUUCUUCCUUUACUCUUUUCCGCAGUAAAUCAUUAUUGUUCAAUUACAUUUAUUUGUAAACAUUUAAUAUAGUUUAAAUGAAGGUAAAAAUAAGGUAAAACUCUUAAUCGAAUUUUAGAAUACGAUAUUUAUUAAUUAGAUUUUUAAUAUUUAAAAUUAAAAUAAGUUAAAAAAUUUAAAUAAAAAAUUACAUGAAACUUUGUAAAAGUAUAAAUUAUAAUUUUUUAUUAUUACGUAAACUUGUUACACAAUACCAUACAAAAAAUUAUUAUUAAUUUGAAAGUAGAUCUAAUGAUUAAAUCUGAACGAAUAUCAUAAAUUAAAUUAAUUAUUUAAAGAAUACAUUUUGUUUUUGCUGAUGAAUUCCGUUAUAAUAAAUAAAAAGAGUAAAAAUUGAUAAAUUAUUACUACAACAAUUAAUUAUGGAAAAUCAAAUCAUUAAUACUGUUGUACUGUGAUAACUAAUUAUGAAAAAUUAUAUCAUUAAUUAUAACAUCAUUAAUAUUAUUAUAUAAGUUUUAAUAUCAUUAAUAAAAUUAAUAACAAAUCAUUUAUGAAUUUUAACACGUAAAUAUAUUAUUUUAGUGUUUAUCGGAUUUUGAAAUUUUGUAAAAGUGUUCACAUGAUUUCAAAACAGGAGAGAAAUAUAUACUAGAUUUUGAAAUCUUAAAGAAAUAAGAAACAAGUUUUGAAAUUCAAGAGAAAUAAAUACCGAAUUUCAAAAUGAGUUUUUAAAUUGAUUUCGAAAUAUGGUAUAUAUUCAUUAAUGUUUCAAUUUUAUUCAAAAACUUAACCAUUGUGCCUCAUUUUCGAAAGGAAUAUAUUAGGUAUUAUUAAAUAAAUAUAGUGUAUUUAGUUUUGAUUAUUUUGUUAUUAAAUAUAAAUCAUUUAUGAAUUAUAACGCAUAAAUAUAUUAUAACAGUGUUAAAAAGAUUUCGAAAUCCAAUGAGCGUGUUCACCAAAUUUUAAAAUGUGAGAGAAAUAAAUAUUGAGUUUCCAAAUUCUUGAGAAAUAAAUACUGAAUUUUGAAAUUUAACGAGUUCUUAAAUUAAAUUUUAAAAUUUGAUAAUUUUUAAAAUUUAAUAUCUCUUUUAGUCGUUAAUUUAGAAAAAAAAAUGUUCAAGUUCGUCAUAUUUUUUUUUUAAAAGUUUAAUUUGGUCUCAGUUUUUAAAAAAAAUAUAUAAUUAAAUCCUUUUUUAAUUAUGGCGUUAAAUAUUUAACGAUUGAGCUAAUUUUAAUUUGAAUUUCAAAAUGUGAUGAUUUUGCAAAUAAAAUUUUGAAACUCGAUCAUUUCCUAAGUUGAAUUUCAAAAUCAUAUGAUUUUCUAAAUUAAAUUUCAAAAUCCGGUGAGUUUCAAAACUCAGUCCAUACAAAGAGAGACUAGUGAUGUGUUUGUUUUGAAUCAAUUAUUGCGAUCGUUGAUCACCUAAGAUGGAUUUAUGAUGAAUUGCACGUUCACUUAAAACGAUAUGCAAGAAAGGAUUUUUCUAAUCCUCCCUCGUCUGUGCAGAUUUGCAACUAUGUAUCAUUUAUUCUGAAUUUUACCCUUAUACAUUUGCAUAUGUAUCACACAUGAUAUAUUAAAAAAAAUAUAAAUAAUAAUAAUAAUAAUAUUCAUAAUAAUAAAAAUAAUAAUAAAAUAAAAUAAAUAAUAAUAAUAAUAAGAAAAAUAAUAAUGAUAAUAAUAUUAUUAUUAUUAUUUUUUAUUUGUUUGUUUAAAGUUACAUAUAUUUUUAAUUGGUCAAAUAAUUUUUUAAUUAAAUUGAAUUGUUAUUUGUUUUAAGAAAUUUAAACUUUUUUAUCUCUGAAUUUAAAAAAUUAUUUUUACAAAAAUUUCUAAUUAUAUAAAAUAAUUAAAAAUAAAAAUAAAAAGUAGGGUUAUUUUUUUUUCAAAUCAUUUUAAAAAAUUUCAUUUUAACUUUGAAUCAAAUUGUAUAUCUAUUUUGUCCUUUUAAUUUAUAAAAGUAAGCUAAAAUAUCAGCUUCAGUGACACAUAAAUAUUAUAUUAUAACUCGUUAUAAGAUAAACACUUUAUAUUUAUUGAAAAAAAAAUGUUUUAAAUAAUUUUGGCAUAGUAUAGAAAAGAAAUAGAUAUAUAUUUAGUUUAAAAAUAAAAUAUAAUGUUUACAAAUAAUUUGAGAAAAAAAUAUUUAACUAUUAAAAUAUACUAAAAUAUAUUAAAAUAUAAGAGACAAUAAUGAAAGAAAAGUAUAUAAGUUAUUAGAAAGUAAAAAUCAAUUAAAUAAUUUGUACCUUGAAAAGUCUAAGAUGAACUAUUUUAAAUUGUGUAAUUAGAAUUGUAAAAAUCGCAUGAUUUAAUUAAAUCAUGAUUUUGUUACAAAAGACUUUCUCCAUCAUACAUAUGGUUUAGUGAAUUGUUUUGUAAUUCAAAUUGUUUAUCGUCGCGUAUAAUUCAUCAAGAGGAAAUACAAAAUAACAAAUUACAAAGAAAUACAAUGAAAAAAUCCAAUAAAAAAAGUUCAAACAAAAAAAGUAGACAACAAAAGAGAAGAUAAACAAUAAUAAUAAAUUAUAAUAUAUCACUAAGUUCAACACUUUAAAUAAUGAAUAUUAUUAAAUUAAAAAUAAAUAAUUAAUAUUAUUAAAUUAUAAAAAGCUUCACAACAUAUGUACUCAAAAUUUAUCUUAUAAAUUGUUUUUGUGUUGCUAAAACUUGCUUAUAAAAUACCUAAUAAGUAACUUAUGUCUUUGUUCUUUUUUCUUUAAACAAGUGAGGCUAAAUACAAAGUUGAAUAAUUUACUUUCUCUCCUCUAAUCAAAGCUUAAACCUUAUUACUUUUGAACUUUUAAAAAGCACUCUUUGAGUGUAACAAUCCAAAGUUCAUUCAUUUAGGGAUUUAAUUUAUUGGUGGAACUAUAUUUAUCUGUUUGAAGACAAAACCUAAAAAUAGAUAGAAAAAAUUAUUGCAAUAUUAAUUUCAUGAUAGAAUCUCAUGUUGGCAACAAUGCUUCCAUCACUCACUCAUUUAAUACUUGUGCGUCCUUCCAAUAAUUCUUUUCAUGAGUCUCAAUUAAUUAGUUAACUAAUCAUAUUGUUCUCUGACAUGUAAACUUUAAUUUUUUUCUCUCUAAUUUAAAAAUACUGUAUUUUUGGUCCUUUUAGCAUUAUUUAAUAUUUUUCUAUCUUUCAAUUUAAAGAAUUAGAUGUACUACAUUUCAAUAUUUGAGGACUAUUAAAUGAAAUUUGUAUAUUUAGGAGGAAGUGAAAAGUUAUUUUAGACUUAAUUAAUUUUUCAGGAUUACAUACCUUAAUUAAUUUAGUUUUUAACAUUUAAUGUAUUAGCAUUUGUAAAAGAAACACUUAAAAUAAUUAAUGUUACUAAAAUUUGUAUUAAAAAAGAUAAAUGAUUUUAUUAAAAAAUUAAAAGAUUAGAUACAUUUUAAACUAAUUUUACAAACCUAGUCAAAUACGGCAUCUAUAGAGAUUAGAGUACUACAUAAUUAUGAAAUUAAUAACAAAGUUUUGUGACAUUAUUUUUCCAUCCUAAUUCUUUAGUCUUUAUUUUUAACAUUUUACUUUUUACAUUUUGAACAUUGAAUUAUGUUUUUGGAAGCGUUUUGAUCAUUUUCGGAAUCCACAGGAUAACUUUUUUUCUAAACAAUUAAUUCAGAGUGUUCUGAGUCCUUUUAGAAAAGUAAAUUAAGAAAAAUAAAUAAAUUUGACUUCUGAGUCCUUUUAAAACUUUCAACACCUCCGUAAUUUUCGUCUUACAAAUAUGAAUUGAUGCUUUGGGUUACCAAAUCCAGAAUGUAACUUGCACAUAUUUUGAAAAAUGAGUUAUGAAAUAAUAUAAAGUUACUAUAAAUUAAAAAAAUCAUUAAUUGUUUAGAACAUUAAUGGUGAUUUUAAAAUGUUACAGUGUUUAUUUCAUUAAAAUUUUGCUCCUACGACAAUUUCUUGAGACACUUCAUAAGUACAUUUGUUUGUUCAGGCUUACCAACAGUUACUCGAACGUACCCUUUCAGCUCUUUCUUGUCGUAGUGACGAAUCAUCACACCCAUUUGUGCGAGGUCCUCCUAUGUACAUAAAAAUAAUGUCUCAGUUGGCAACAAAUUUGCAAUUGGUGUUUGGAAAAAGUUGAAACAAAAGGCUUUUACAUUCUUCAAUAUGGGUUGAAAUUCUUGUUAAAUAACUAGAGUCUCAACUUAGUCUCUUUAUGUUUAGACAAGAUUCUCUAUCAACACUACAAGAAAAGAAUAACAAGAAACUGUUAACAUUAUUUGAAGCUAAAUUUUGUUUUUAACUUGUGCAUGAGUUAACUUUAGUUUAUUCAGACUUUUUGUUUUUUUCUUCUAACUUUCUUCCUAAAAUUGGUUAUGCAAACAUGGGUCCAAACAGGUCCUAGAUGUUUGUUUAAGAUUAAAAUGCAGAGAAGUUUAUUCAUGUUUGUUUACAAUCACAAAAACAUUCUUAAAAGAAAUAGUUGAUUUUACGAGAAGUUGUUUCAACUAGCUUUUGAUCUCAUAAACAAAUUUCUGAUUCGUCUGCUAAAAUGUAGAUUUUUCAGGGUAAUUAAAUUCUUGGUGACAUCUGCUUCACUGCAUGGAGCGUAUUUCUAAAAUUGUCUUUUGGAGGCCACUUCUCAUGAUAGAAUGAAUAAACACAAUAAAAAGCAUGCCAAUUACACAGGAAGAAGGCUUAUUUCAUCAUCAGAAAACCACAGGUAGCAAAAAUCAUUAGUAAAAUAACUAUUCGGUUUAAUCAUUGGAUUUUCUCAAUUAGGUCUCAGUAUUUUAAAACGUCUCAAUUAAGUCUCUGUUUUUGCAAAAUUGAAUCAAUUAAGAGCUUGACGUUAACUUGGGUGGAUGGCAUUAAAAUUGAGUGUGUGUGGCAUUGAGGCUUGGCUGAGGUGAAAGUUUAUGCUGAGUUGAGUUGGUUUUCUCACAUUUUUUUAAUUCAAUUUUUUUUGGAAAUAAUUGAUGCACACAAAACGCAACCUUUAAAUAACUCAUUUCUGCCUAAAUCAAAACGUGCGUUUUGAGUGUGAAACAUUACAGAAUAAAGAAAAAUUGCGAAAUUGGAGAUUUUGGAGGAAAUUGAGAACUCAGAAGAACCCUAAAUUGGAAGAGGAGAAGGAAACCCUAAGCAUCACGGAACUGGUUGCGACAGUAGAUUCAGUGAUGUCCUUCGACGCAGAUGUUUGAGACAAGGUUUAAUCAUAGUCGUCAUUAUUAUCUACUUUGUUGCAUAACUACGCUUUUUGAAUUGCCGUUGACAAAUUGGCUUUCUGUAGUGCGAUUCAAGGAAAGGAGGAGAAAAAUAGGUUCUCCUUCUUCAAGUCAACAGCGGCAUUUAUAGUUAUAAACAACUGAGUGUUAGACUGUGUGGUGAAUCACGCAGAUUAUCUGCCUCUUUCAUGAUUUGUAAUUAGAACGGUGUUUUAUCUAAUAGUUCACGAUGACAUGAAUAAUAUUUGAUGUUAACUGCAAGGAAUUGUAUUAAAUUUGUUUUCUGAUUUGAAACUAAACCCGCAGGUUUAAUUAAGGAGGAUGAAGCAGAACAGCUUAGGGCCUCUGUUGAUUUUCUCGUGGACCUGUGCAGCUCGCUUCCACAUUUCCCCCAAUUUCCCCAAUUUCCACUUUCUUCUGAAAUGUUCUACAAUCUUUGCAGAAUUCACUUAAUAAAACGUUUAGUGUGCAUGUUUAAAUAUUUGCAAUGAAAUUUAAUUAAAAAAUGUAUUAAAGCCAACUCAUCUCAGAACACACUGCCACCUCAGUCAACCUUUGCAUGUCACGCACACCUAAUUUUAACGUCGUCCAUCAAAGUUCACGACAAAUCCUUAAUUGAUUCAAUUUUGCAAAAGCAGAGACUAAAUUGAUACAUUUUAAAAUACUGAGACCUAAUUGAGAAAACCCAACAUAAAUAGGGACAAUCUAAAUGAUUAAACCUAACUAUUCUUCUCAACAUAAUGUCCUACUAUUCUUAAAGUGGCUAUUAUCCUAAGGAGAUCAGAAUGGUCAUUUUGGGAGACAGAAGAGAUGUCUUUCAAAUCAAAAUACCAAACUGACAUGAAGUAUCAAAAUAUGCACCAAACAAAAAUUGUACCAAACAUUUACAAGAAAAAAAACAAAUAAACAAAGGAAAAGUUUAUAUGUACAGAGAUCAGGAAAGGAAGAUUACCUUUAGCUUUUUUGCGUCCUUUCCAGAUGUAACCUCACAAAGAAUGAAAUUAGAAUGGCUUGGAAAUGGCCGAAGGAAUGGNNNNNNNNNNNNNNNNNNNNNNNNNNNNNNNNNNNNNNNNNNNNNNNNNNNNNNNNNNNNNNNNNNNNNNNNNNNNNNNNNNNNNNNNNNNNNNNNNNNNNNNNNNNNNNNNNNNNNNNNNNNNNNNNNNNNNNNNNNNNNNNNNNNNNNNNNNNNNNNNNNNNNNNNNNNNNNNNNNNNNNNNNNNNNNNNNNNNNNNNNNNNNNNNNNNNNNNNNNNNNNNNNNNNNNNNNNNNNNNNNNNNNNNNNNNNNNNNNNNNNNNNNNNNNNNNNNNNNNNNNNNNNNNNNNNNNNNNNNNNNNNNNNNNNNNNNNNNNNNNNNNNNNNNNNNNNNNNNNNNNNNNNNNNNNNNNNNNNNNNNNNNNNNNNNNNNNNNNNNNNNNNNNNNNNNNNNNNNNNNNNNNNNNNNNNNNNNNNNNNNNNNNNNNNNNNNNNNNNNNNNNNNNNNNNNNNNNNNNNNNNNNNNNNNNNNNNNNNNNNNNNNNNNNNNNNNNNNNNNNNNNNNNNNNNNNNNNNNNNNNNNNNNNNNNNNNNNNNNNNNNNNNNNNNNNNNNNNNNNNNNNNNNNNNNNNNNNNNNNNNNNNNNNNNNNNNNNNNNNNAAAGGUUUACAUUAGUACCAGGACCCCAAGUUAAAAAGUAAUUAACCAUCAGUAACAAGAUUUUGCACAUAUUAAUUCAACAAACAUAUGAAAACUCAAUAUCUAAUCCAUAAACUGAAAAUUUAGAAAGAAAAUUUGAUUUCUAGAGUGGUGCUGUUGGUUAUUCAGCUUUGCUCCUAAGAAUUGAGGUCUACAAAACAUUUACUAACUGAAAGUCAUCCAGGUCCUUUAUAAACAUUCUGCUUCCCGUUCCAAUCCUAUAUCCUACUACAUAGACUAAAUACAACUACUUUGGCCCUUCUUCACUCCAACCAGUGUCAUAAAGAGCUUCUAUCCAAUCUUCUUUGAUUUCAAGAUCUUCAACAAACAUGUUUUAAGAUAAUUUCCAUCUAUGAUUCAAUCCAAUGUGUUCCAAGAGUUUUUGAACACUGUUACCAAUCGCCGACUACCAUCUCAUCAAUCUGACAAAGUUCAAACAUUUAUUUUGCCAUCUGUGACCUUUUUCAACAUCUCUUGCCACUGUUCGCUAGUCACUAUUUUUGGCUACAUUUCCAACCAUCCCGUCAGGUCUAGGCUGGUCCUAUCAGGCCAGCCCAAGCAGAGUUCACACAUAAACAAUACCCAGCAGCAGUAUUUGCCAAGUGCAGCAGUAUACCAUGGCUAUGCUUCAGCUGAUCUCCCCAUUGCCAGAUUUGUGCAGCCCUCCUGUCCCAAAUCUACACAUGGUUUGUCAAUUUCUGGCUUGUGACCCAUUUCUCAUGUUUUUUUGCCACAGUUUGGUACCUUUUAUUCUCUCUCCUUGUUGACCUUGCCCUCUUUGGUUCAAAUCGUGCAGUAUGGGAUUUCGGAGAAUCAACCCUAGCCCUAUGACUUUCCCAGAAAAAUCAGCCUGGCCUAAACAUGGCUAUCCUAGAGAAUCAUCCUGGCCAUGCAGCUUCCCAAGCAAAUCAUCUUGAUCCCACCAUUCUACAAUCACAACAUUAUAGUUCAAUUUUUUUUCAACCGGUAUGCAUAUAGGAAGCUCAAAGCUCAGAAAGCUGCAGCGAGCAGGGUAUUAGAAUAUAUGAAAAUAUCUUAUAACUUAAAAUUUCCUAAAUUAUCCAUUGGGAUUAGUUUGCCUAUAUCACAUAAUCUCCUAGGAUUGUUGGUUAUUAUAUUUGUUUAUCUCAUGAUUUGUUUCUCUUAGAAAGUGGACUUAGGAUUGACUCAAUUGUACAACUUGGUUUAUAAGAUGAGAUUUGUACUUAUUUAUAUAAUUUAGUUAUCCUGAGUUGAUGUGGAAUCUCCUACACAGCUCCUCAUGCCAAGGAUUGGACAUCUCAAGCGUGGAACUAAACAUUUGGAAGUGACCUAUAAUGGCUCAAUAGCAAGUGACACAAUAGACCCAUAACUUCACAAGACUGGUUUGCAUCUACUUAUAACAUAAUUUGACUAUAUCUCCCGUCAAUGUAGGAUCUCACUCAAACACUUUCCCUAAUUAAUGUUAGGAUUAUGCACAAAUCAACACAAUAUAAUAUACCUCAGCUAAUACCAAUUGUGUUUCAUUAUGUCUCUUUCCCCCUCUACACCUAAAAACUCCUAAUUUCAAUAAUCAUCAAACACCCCCUUAUUUGUUGGCGCUUUCUUUGUGAAAAUAUUGGUGCCAAGUCAAUUUACUACUAUACACUACUAAAAACAAACAUUCAACUUAAAAUUCAGUGGUUGAAUAUAGGCUACUGGUGGUAUAGCACUAUAGCAGUCUGGACCCAUGUUGAUCCAUUACCACACAACGGCUUCACAUUGCAAAUUCCAUGAAAAUUGCAAUCAGUCACAAUGGGUGUCAUAUUUAACGGAAAUUGCUAUUAUGAUUCAUUUACCCUGUCCCCCACCCUUUCUUCUAUAGUAACUUUAGCAGUUAAAACUUUCACAUACGCAUAUUAUUGGUUAUGUCAAUUUUAACCAAAAAUCAUUAGGCUCUAACCCUUAUCAUAAUUCUCCAUAACAAAAAGAAACCGCAGACAUUAUAUUGCUUACAAUAAAAUAAAGAACAAUAUAAUAAUCUCAAAUUUUUAACUAAAAAAAUGCAUGACUUAGCAUGCACACAAGAAGCCUGAAACAAUUUUACAAUAAGGGAACUGGUUUUACAAUAAAAAAUUUAUAAGGGGGAAACACGAUAUAUCAAUUCAUAUUCAAGUUUAAUUGUGUAAAAUAGGGAAAGAAAAAAAUUAAUAAAAUACCAGCUCUUUUGCUAAAUGUCCGAAGAACAAUCAAAUUCUCAUGUUUCUUCACCCAACUCAUCCUCGAUUCAAUUGCCGAAAACUCAAUGUAUGCUUCAUCCAAUAUCACCAAUAUGGGAAGGUCAAGUAUUUUUAAGAGAACAUCGUCAUCAAUUAUACUGCCAUGAAAUUGUUACAUUAAGAUCCAUAUAAACAAUACCAUAAGCAAAGGAAACUCAAAUUUCAAGCAUAUUAAUGAUAACAAUCAUCUCCAGCCUUACUAUAUCCUGAUUCCGUAUUGUUGAUGAAAAAGAAAUACACUGCCUUCAUUGUGGUACAACUUCUAAUAGGACAUUAUAAUAUUGCACACUACUUUGUUUUUGGUCAGCCAAAACAUAAGUACAUUAUAUCCAGACGUACAAGGGGCACUCACAAAAGACACUACAAGUGCCUAUUACACUAUAAUAAUAGGGAAGCACGGACUGGACAAAAGCAAAACUGAAAAUAAAAGUGCACUAGGAACUCCAGUAAAUUCGAAGAAAAAAUUAACUGAAAAGGAAAGCACUACCACCAUACUACUCUAGGCACCUAAUUCUAACUAUUCACUUUGACGUAAAAAAGGAUAUUUGACAGUUACCUCCCAUCUGGAUUAUUUGGAGAUGUCAAAAAUAUGCAUUUGGGCUUCUCUUGUUUAACAACUUCUGCGAUCUGUUCAACAUUCAAGCUGAAGUCUGGCUUCCUUGGAACUGCAGUUUAAAUAAUGCAGAUGGUUAUGCACAUCUGACAUGACAUAAUAAGAAAAGGUCAAAACACAGUAAGAAAAUCAUAUACUGCUGGGAAGACAAGGAGUAAUAAAAAAAAUAAAAGGGAUGAAUCAACAAUAAAACCAAAGAUCAUUUCAGUAUAAAAAGUCUAACAAAACAAUAAUGCAACUAUGAUCAUGACAUAUUACCCACAAUACAGUAAUAACUAUGAUCAUGAUACAAACAAUUUUGUCUGACGAGACUGAAUAGCAAAAUAUCUAUGAUUGAUUUCAUGAGAAACCCCUUUACUGUCUAAGGUUCAAUCAGUUUUACAGAUAUCAGUUUCUCAUUUGACAUGUGUAAUGCAUUAAAAAAAAAUACAUUUUGUAGCUGUCUCUAGAUAAUGUUAUUCUUACCUUUGAUAACAAGUGCUCCAUUUACUGCAGCGUCAAAUUCAUACAUUGUGAAGGUUGGAGGACAGUCCACAAUCUUGUCCCCAGGAUCAAGCACACAACUGUAGUAUACAAGAGAACCAUGUAUGAUNNNNNNNNNNNNNNNNNNNNNNNNNNNNNNNNNNNNNNNNNNNNNNNNNNNNNNNNNNNNNNNNNNNNNNNNNNNNNNNNNNNNNNNNNNNNNNNNNNNNNNNNNNNNNNNNNNNNNNNNNNNNNNNNNNNNNNNNNNNNNNNNNNNNNNNNNNNNNNNNNNNNNNNNNNNNNNNNNNNNNNNNNNNNNNNNNNNNNNNNNNNNNNNNNNNNNNNNNNNNNNNNNNNNNNNNNNNNNNNNNNNNNNNNNNNNNNNNNNNNNNNNNNNNNNNNNNNNNNNNNNNNNNNNNNNNNNNNNNNNNNNNNNNNNNNNNNNNNNNNNNNNNNNNNNNNNNNNNNNNNNNNNNNNNNNNNNNNNNNNNNNNNNNNNNNNNNNNNNNNNNNNNNNNNNNNNNNNNNNNNNNNNNNNNNNNNNNNNNNNNNNNNNNNNNNNNNNNNNNNNNNNNNNNNNNNNNNNNNNNNNNNNNNNNNNNNNNNNNNNNNNNNNNNNNNNNNNNNNNNNNNNNNNNNNNNNNNNNNNNNNNNNNNNNNNNNNNNNNNNNNNNNNNNNNNNNNNNNNNNNNNNNNNNNNNNNNNNNNNNNNNNNNNNNNNNNNNNNNNNNNNNNNNNNNNNNNNNNNNNNNNNNNNNNNNNNNNNNNNNNNNNNNNNNNNNNNNNNNNNNNNNNNNNNNNNNNNNNNNNNNNNNNNNNNNNNNNNNNNNNNNNNNNNNNNNNNNNNNNNNNNNNNNNNNNNNNNNNNNNNNNNNNNNNNNNNNNNNNNNNNNNNNNNNNNNNNNNNNNNNNNNNNNNNNNNNNNNNNNNNNNNNNNNNNNNNNNNNNNNNNNNNNNNNNNNNNNNNNNNNNNNNNNNNNNNNNNNNNNNNNNNNNNNNNNNNNNNNNNNNNNNNNNNNNNNNNNNNNNNNNNNNNNNNNNNNNNNNNNNNNNNNNNNNNNNNNNNNNNNNNNNNNNNNNNNNNNNNNNNNNNNNNNNNNNNNNNNNNNNNNNNNNNNNNNNNNNNNNNNNNNNNNNNNNNNNNNNNNNNNNNNNNNNNNNNNNNNNNNNNNNNNNNNNNNNNNNNNNNNNNNNNNNNNNNNNNNNNNNNNNNNNNNNNNNNNNNNNNNNGAUGAAGGAGUCACCUGUCACCUGCAGAGGACCAUUGUUGACUUGCUCCACAGGAAUGGUAGAAGCCAUUGCCACAAACUUCCUCUGAUUCCCCUCAAAUGAACAAAUGGGUUUUAGAGGUAACCCCCCUUGCUGCUUCAGAUUGAUGUUGGAUUUUACCCAGCACAAAGCAGCUGAGUUGUAGAAAUCAAUCACACCCAUUGAAAUCUACACACAAAAAAGUAAAUAGAUAUAAUCAAUAAAUGAAAAGGAUACAAAGUGAACCAAUUAGAGUAGCAUGAGAAAGAAGGAAGAAAAGGAGAGCAUGACAUGAUUGUACCAGAAACAAAAAGAAGAAAAAAAACAGAGAUACGAGGUUAGGGACAUACCCUGCACAACAGGCAAAUGGGGAACUUGGCAGAGGUUGCUGUAGACGCCAACAAUUUAAAAUGGAAACUGAAAUUUACUCUGAAGAAGGCAAAUAAAUCAUGAAGGCGUGAAGGUAAUAAACCCUACAGAUCCACAUAAUGCAGAAAGAAAGACAAAAAAAAUAACAAAUAACCUAUUGUUUACUAACGAGGGGUGUGUAACAAUUUUUAUCCCCAUUAUAACACAAUAAAAUAUUUAUCAUUAAACAUUAUAUUUUAACAACAUACUCGUCAUUCGUAAUUAAUUAUUUGGUUUAGUUAAAUUUUAAGUUAUGAUAAAUUUGACUGUACUUAAUUAAGUCUUUAAUAGAUUUUUGUGAUUUAUUAAAUAUUUAAGAAAUUAUAUUUUUUAAUUGAGUCUUUGUAAUUUAAUUUAUCUAUUGCAAGCUUUCCAUAAGCAAUUGGCAUUACUCAACCACGACUGAAAUACACAUUGUUCCGUGUAGGACCUGUAACAUCCUGAUUUGGAUGUCACAUGCAGCAAAAUUAAAAUUUGAAAAGAUCAAGAAUAAAUUUAAAAAAAUUAUUACAAGAAAACUUAUUACAAUUUAAAUAAAAUGUAUCAAGUAAUAAAGAAAUUGUAGAGAUAAAGUUUAAGAAUUUCAAAGGAACUUAAUUUAUUGUAACUUCAAACAUAAUUGUCCAUAAUUUAAAUAAGUAAAAAUAUCGAUUACAACUUAUACAUUCCAAUAAUAUCUAAAACAUCAUAAUAAAAUUCCCAUAGUAGAUCCCCUCUCUCAUCAAUUAGCAACUCCAAAAAUAAUUUGCAUUCCUAUCUAAACUCCCGUAUAACAUACAUUAUUCGAUCAUUUCACACGUACAUACACACAGGCAAGCAAACAAACAAGUAUGGAUGAGCUAAGAAAUUCAUCUUCAAGGAAAGUAGGCAUAUGGAAAUAGCAAAGACUUACCCUCUAACAUCACGUUACCCCAAUUACAUUCUCAUAGACGUACAUCAUUAUACUAACUUAACAUUACCAGCUAUCAUUGAUUCAUCAAUAUUCAUAUCACCGCCAAUCAUGUAAAUAAUUCAACAAAAUUUAUCAUAUCUAUAAUAGUCAUACAUUUUCAAACAUAAUCAAUUAAGUCUAGCACCCAUUUUUAUGAGUAUCAGGAUUCUGUGAUGAUAUUCAUUAUUGGAAUACAUGCAUCCAUCUAAGUCCUGGUUUGAGAUACCAUUUAGAAUACUUUGUCAUUUAUUUAAGUUAUUUGACAGAACAUGUCACCAGACCGUAACCACAGUCUAUUUAUAUAAAAUUAUUAUUGCAAUUAGCAUUUUAGAGUUAGCUAAUAUUUGUUAGGCAUCAAAUUUGACAUUUUAAUGGGUGAAUAUUAGUAUGAUUGAAUUGCAUUCAUGUUAAUUCAUUACUCGAGCAUCUGAACUCACCCAAUAGCAACUAAACACCUAUUUAAGCUCUCACAACUUCAAAGAUAGGGUAAGAAGUAAACAUACAGUCAAAUUCAACACAUCUAGGUCCAUUACAGAUUUAACAAUCAAAUGAACUCGUCCCUUUUUCCUUUAAUACCUCAUUUUCAGAAUCCCAAGCAGAACCAGUCACAAACCAUCAACCAAUUAUCUGAACUCCUUAAUAACAUAUACAGAACUUAUUCCUUACCUAAUGAACAUUUAAUAAGUUACAUAGAGAGUAAAAUAGAGUAGGCAUAAUAUAGUUACUGCUCCAUCAGGUUGGCAGACAUGUACAGUUUAAUCCAAUUUUAAUUCUAAGUAUCACAACCCAUGCAUUCAUUUCUAGUUACCACUCAUGACAAUAAUGUAACAAAUUCUCUAAACAUUUCCAACCAUCCUAACACUUCAUAUAAUGUAACAUGUAUUCCAAUAAUCAUAUGAUUCAAGUCUGCAGACUAAGUAUGAAUUCAAAGAUACUACCUAAGUCAGAUUUCUUCAGCACACAAUAUAUAUCAGACAAUUAACAACUAUUUUGACUACAACAUCAUUUCUAUGAUUAUACUUUGUGUUCCCCAACCAAAAUUCCCUUCCUCUUCCCCUCCAUAUCACACCCAUCCUCACAGAUAUGCUCAGUUAUUUAAUUUAGUUAUUACAUACUCAAUUAAGUAAUGGUUAUUCUAACCCAUCUUACAUAUUCAAAUAAUUUGAUCCUCCAACUUGAAUCAAAUUCAGAAUUUCAUUUUCCAAUGUUCACUUUGAAGGUUUUCAUACCAGCCAACUACAACAUAUUUAAAUGACCAUGUAGACCCUGGAUAUUAUCAUUAGACGGCAAACCAAUUUAAAUUAUACCUAACAGUGGAAAUUCAGUAAUUUAAUUUACCAAUUCAAUAUUCAUCUUAUUUAUCAUGUGGUUUCACCUUCCAAUAAAUAGAGAUUUCAUACCCUUCAGGAACAUGUUAUUGAAUCCAGCUGCCAGUGUGUGUAACUAACUUAAUCAGUUCAAGGAACCACAGCACAUUCAGAUUUUACUAAAUUAAUUUAAGGUAUGACAGUACAGUUUAAAGCAACAAUGAGCCAUUUUAACUUCUCUAAAACAAUGCAAACAACAAGGAUUCGAUAUAGCUAGUUCAACCAAACAGUAUUGAAGUUGAUGCAGAUUUCCAAUUUCUAUUGCAGAAAAAAAAAUUGCGUAAUAUAACUUGCAUUAGAAGCCUCACAAGCCGGAUCGCAUUCAUUAUGCAAAUGAUACACCUCGGUCAUUGCUGAUCUUUAACAACUUUUUACAUAAUAGUAUUUAUCAACUCCACACCUACCCAAGGUUCAUUCAAGGAGAAAACCCAGAAAAUAACCGAAGAAGAAUAACCAGUUUUGCAAUUUUACUAACCUUAUAUACGUCCUGUCCAAUUUUACUUUAAUUUAUCCCAUUUCUAUUUAAUGCAACUUUAACCCCAAUGCAUAAUUUCGUUUUAUCAGAAUAACUUUGCACCAGGUACUUUAUCCUGCGUCAGCUUCCAAUGAGUGCUACUAACUUAUCCAUUUAAAACAACUAAUAAUUUUCCUAUUGAACCCUAAUAAAACAUGACUUGACCCAUGCUAUACCAAUGCGAACUUGAACCUAUAAUUCUCACAUACCCCAAGACUUAUUACCUAUUACGCUUAUCUAACAUUAUUAUACCAAUAACGAAUUCACCAACUGGACCACUAUUAUAUUAUGCUUAUUUAAAGUUAUUUCACUUAUGAAUUCCAAUUAUAAAAUCUUAUUCAUCUAUUUAUGAUACAACCACAACACAAUAUUUAAAGUGAAUAGAUUCUAUGAUGACAAUAUCACUGCAUUAGCAAGCUUUUUACACCGUCCACCCAAAAUAAUAAGACCUAAUAAUUUAAUGGAACCCAAUUGUACCACUAGUUAAAGUUAUUAAGGGAAAAACUCAAAGUUUCAUGGUAGAAUAAUUUCAUACAUAUCAUCUAAUCCAACUUUAGACUCUUAUAUAAUUAUUUCUCAUUCAUACUUUACAUCUUGUUACUUCCCAUUUUACUAUAAAUAUAGUACUCAAUCCCAUAGAAAUUUAACACCAUUACCUUGGAAACAUAUAAACUCGUUGUCACAGUCCAAACAUCAUAAACCCCUGCACUAAUAUAUAUACCAACCAGAAAUGAAAGAAAAAUCCCAUUCCCCUAUCCAGAAAAGAUACACAAAUCUAUUACACAUCGUACAGAGGAAACUUAGAUGCUUCAACAUAUUCAAACAACCAAAUAAAAGCAAAAUAACUCCUCAUACGAUCAUUUUUACUCUGAUGUAUGCCCUUUAAUUCAUAAACAUUUUAAAGCAUUCAAGACUCAAAUAAUUAGUCCCUUCCUUCCCAUAACAGCAACAAAAUAAUGCAUGAACAAUUUCUCAAUUCCAGCCAUAAAUUCUUUAGUUCAUUCUUAAUUUAUCACACAUAACAAUACUUUCAAUCAACUUCCCGAAAUUAAAGAUAACUCAAGUAAAAACCCAAUGUUCCUUACACCCACUAUAUUCCUAACUUUAAACUUCCAAAUCAAUUAUUAGUUAAUAGAGGAUACUUUAGCAGAAAUCGGUGUUCCUAUUGUACAGAGGAUUUCAUAAUUGCUACAAAACAUUAAAUUUCUUUUCUUUAUUUGUCCCUAUUAAAUAUUAUGAAUGAAUAUGUGUAUUCUAUUAAUAGUGAAGGUAAAUUUGGUACGUUGAUAACUAAAUUAAUUAUGUUUUUUUAUUGGUCAAUGUGAUUAUGUCAGAAGUGUCAGUGUAUCUUAUAUACCAUCGUGUCACUAUAUCUUAUAUUUUAGAUAUUAGUUAUGUUCAGGUGCCUGUCACUACAGCGGAUGCUUCAUAGAUUAUCAUUACUCUAUUAUUUGACAAAACUUGUUUAAUCUCCUAAUCAAGUGUUAAAUCUUGCAUUACCAUUAACAUACCAUUGUCGAAGAUUUCACUGAAAGACAGCAAAAAAAUCUAAACUCGCGCAUUCCAGAUUCCUACUACAAUUUCAGUUCAGAAAUAUUAAACACCACAAAGCAUACAUCAAUUUUCCAGUCCAUCUUUAAUUAAACCAUAGAUACCAACUUCAUAGAUUUAUAAAAUUGAAAACAGAACUCAUUAUAUAUUUGUUUCUACCAAACAACUAUCCUGUUCUUCUUUCCUUUUAACAGAAACCAUACCCUUAUAAUAUUCCCAUAUUACAGUAACCACAGAAAAAGGCACGAAUCAAGAAACAUAUGCAUAAUCACAUUUUACUACUGGCCACAGAGUAAACAGAAUUCUCAUUUUUCUUAACUCCAAUAUAACUCAAACAUCAAUUUAACAUAUUUCUCAUACUCAAUUCUUCAAUACCCUUUUCCCAGUCAUCUGAACAUUUAAUAACUCAAUUCCCCCAUCAUACAAUACUCGAGUGAACACAAAUAAAAAGAGAGAAGCAUCUUAUUAAACACACACAAUUAAACAACUCCCUAUACCUUGUUCGAUUUCCCCUUUACGGCAAUCCUCUUUUCGAAUUUCAUGUAUCUCGCUCUCCCGCCUCUGCGUUCACUCUCUGGCUCCCAAACUCGUUCUCUCAGUGCCUUUCACUCACCACCGGUCUUGCAUUUGGUACUCUCCGUCGCGCAGCUCUCUCUCUCAUGCCCUAGCCCCUUAGUCCAGGGUUUUUCGAAAAUGAAGAAAAAGAAAGGAGGAUAGAGAAAUGACGAGAAAAAGAAAAUAGAAAUGAACAUAUAAAUGGGUGUUGCUCCCUGACCAUCCCAAAUCCUCUUGCUAUGUCUUCACUAUUUUUUUUUAUUCUAUAACUAUAUUAUUAUUAAUUUAAUUUUUAUAUUUGACUUUAUUUAUUUUUGGCUUAAUAUUUUUUAUAGUCUCUAUUUUCGUCAAGUGCAUUCGUUUUUGUCCUCAAUUUAAAUUUUGUUCAAUUUGGUCCUUUUUACAAACGUCGUUUAAAUUGUUAAUGGUCAUUGCUCCAGCUGUGCAAACUCCAAAUGAGAUGGCAUAUCACGUUAAAAGUUGAGUCUUCGUGGCAGUCCUUUUACCACCCUAAAAUCAAGGUUCUGCAUUUGGGAAAACCUUCAUGUGCCUGCACCGCAAGAAGAAGGAAAACGCUGCUUUAGUCCAAGCAGCCUUCCACAUGUCGUACCUAGCAGGUGCAAGUGCUAGGUCGGGGGACUCAAGUCCUAAGGCCUCCGCUUGACUCUUUCUCAUUUUCUUCUCAAGUUUUGCAUAACCACCUCGUGAUAACACGUGUGGUGCUUCAUUUAGCCUUUGCCUUUCUUGGGCAACUAACCUUUUACCCUAUGAAACCAUGUAUAUUCAUAAGUGUAAAAUCAUAAUAAAAGGCAUUAAUUAACCAAAGAAAAAUCUUAAGAAACAAACUUGUCAGUCCUCAGACUCUCUAGAUGCACGAAACUGCAUCCACUCAUCCUCUGUUAUUCUGUACUUAUCACAUGGAUUCUCAUGUUGUUUGUCUCCAACGACAUAUAGACGUGUCAGUUUUGUCUUGAAAUCCCUCCAUCUAAUUGCUACAUGGGAUAACAUUUUCUUUCUAAUUUGACCAGUGUUUGGAAUAUCAUAAUGUUGUUGUUUAAAACAAAGAACAUGUUAGUGACAUAAUAAGAACAAAGAAAAAAGUAUAUCAAAUUUCUUUUAAGUAAACAUACCUAAAUAUCUUGCCAUGAAAGUUUCUUGUCGACCUCUGGGACGUCAUCCUAAGAUGCAAGAACAAUAGAAACAUGGGUUUUUGCUAACACACCCAGAUAACUCCCAAACCUAUCAGCAUUUGGCCCUGAAGGCAGACUUAAUCUCGAGUUAAUGUCAACAUGUAUCCUCUUCUCCGUAAUGCGUCGGGAUGUCACAUUUGGCAAUCGUGUGACAGAUCAACCACAUCUGGUCUUUCUUGAUCCUGAGGUCGACAUACCUGAAAAAUGUAUACAAGGUUAGUACUAUAUCAAAUAUGAUAAAUAAAACAACAUUUAAAGUCACUAAAAAAAUAUAUCACAAAACCUAUUAAAAUAUUGUUUUCUCCCAGAUCCCUUCGUUGUGAUCAUUACGAAUUGCAUGGAUGUCAUCUGCUACGUCAUCAACCUUGUCUUCAAUGGGUUUUGAUGCAAAAGAUGUUGUCUCAAGUAUAUUAAGAGAAUCUUCAUCAUCAUAUUCGUGCAUGUUUUUUCCUUUCAAUACCACUGACUGUUCACACAAUCAUCAAAUAUCCAAUAAAUGAUAUUCUCAUGAAUGAUCAAUUAGCUAAGCACAGAUAAAAUCAUAGAUUCAUGGAAUCAUUCCUCACCAAAAAAGGUGUUUCAUUCAAUCACUCAAGUGUUUCAAAAGGUUCACUCUUUCCCUCUACUAUCCACAUGUCACAUAGAACAAAAUUGUCUUUCAUUUACCACAAUCAAUCAUCAUCACAUACACAUGUCAUCACAAGGACUUUUUCAAGGCUUAUAAUGUGGUUGGGCUAACAAGAAAAAUUGGUUUUUCUAGAUCACAGAAUCCUUGAGUUAAGAGAGUCAUUCAAACAUUCAUAGUUCAAGCACACACUCUCUUUUUAUCAAUUUCACUCAUUCCCAAAUUUCCCUCUUCUUUGCAUUGAGCUUUUCUUUUCAUUCUAUCUUUUCUAUCUUUUUCAUCUUUUCAUGCUUUGCUCAACAGAUUAGCUCAAUGUUUAUCCUUCUUAAAUUUUCUCAACAACUCCAAACUUGAACCUUAAUCAAUACCACACAAUAAUUCUCAACUUAACUCAAGGUAAAGAUUUUCAAAAAGGGUUUUCACAUACUGUUUAAAGCUUAGGUUCAAAAAGGGUAGAACACAUGGUUCUUUCUCAUGGGACGAAAAUUUCAUGCAUUGGCUAAGAAAGGGCUAAUAAAAAAUGGCCUUGAUCAUAUGACACAUACAUACAAUUCAAUCAAUCAUAGAAACCUGGGCAAUAUCACUUAUGCUUUCAAGUAGAUAGCAAUCAUUCAAUCAAAAACUCUAGAGUUCAAAACCUCAUAAAUAAGCUUAAUCAUUAUUCCAAACAUCCAGAUAAAUGCCCUGCUUAGCAUCAUAAUCACAAUCACGAUAUCAUCAUGCAUCUGUUCACAUAGCUUGUGAACCAUCACCUGUAUAUCAGCAUACAAUGCAAUAUCAACAUCAACCGAUUAUCAAGCAUCAUUAAGCAACAUUCAUCAUGCAACAAUAUCAAUCAAACCAUCAUAACAGAUAAAGUGCCAGACCAAGUACAUUAAAUCCUACACUACUCAACAUAAGCAAAUAAAGUUCAAAUUACAAAUCCAAAAAGAUAAAGAAAAAUCCUGUUCUAGUGUGGAUAACAUCCAUUAGUAGAUGCUAUAUAAGCUCCUCAGCCUAUACUGUCAUCGGAGUCCUUCUCCUCUCCAUCUUCAGAAUCCUCAAAGUUCUCAUCCUCAUCAUCAUCUUCUUUAUCUGGAGCUUCAACUGCUCCAGAUCCACUACCCUGCAUAUGCUCUGGCCAAGCCACCACAUUGUUAAACUCAUCCAUAGUCCACCUAUGUGUAGGAGGCGUGUCAUACAUGCCUAUGAUCAUCUCGACAGUAGCCACCUGUCCUCGGUGAAUGGACUCUAAUCUGGACUCCAUAAGAGACAUGUACAUGUCCCUCAUUUAAAAAGGCUCUGCCUCAUGUGCUGGUCCCUAAGCCUGUGUGGUGGAACUCUCCUCCUAGGGCGUCUUUGAGGCACUGACUGGGCUGCCUCAACUCCUCCACAAUAUUGUUUGUAGUAGGCCUCAUCAAUGGCCUUCCUAGGUCGCUCAAAUGGUGGAGUAUACGUGUCCACCCCAGCUGCAUGGCACAGGUGUGUAAUCAAGGAGGGAUGUCCCAGAGGUGCUUUGUUGCUCACUGUGCUUGCACAACUCUUAAUCUCGUUUGCAAUCACUUGGCCAAUAUUGAUAUUCAUUCCUCCAAGCACACAGUAGAUAAACAUGGCCCUGUUAACAGUGAUGUGGGAGACAUGUGAGCAUGGUGUCACAUUGGCAUGAGUGAAUGCCAUCCAAUACUACGCUAGUGGUGUCAAGUUGGCCCUUUUGAUGUGAAUGGCAAUACCACUCUGGUUCCUGUGAAAGUGCCCUCCAGGCACACAAAGCAUUCUCUCUGUCAUCAAAACCAAUGCCCUCCUCAACAUUCAAAGCAUAUUGGCACUGCAUACCUAUCCAUUCUGUGUUAAGAAAUCUGUUAAUUGUUUCAUAAUCAUACCAGAUGACCUUUCCACGCACAUAGCCCAUGUACUCCAUAAAGUGAGAGUCUCCCAAUGGCUUGGCAUUUAUAUAAAACUCUUUAACCACUGCUAUAUUUGCAGGAGCAGGGUAUGUAGCCAGAUUUUCCCAAUUCCUACUCUUCAACUCCUGCCCAAACUGUGGAGCAAAAUCUGGUAUCCAAGCUGACUUCUUGUCCAUCAAUAGGCGUCUCUCCUGGAAGAGGGGAUGAUGUUGCUCAUGUCUUCUGGAGAGGAACUUGUUAGAGUGAAAUUUGUCUGGUUCCCUCCUCUUGGCUCCAACUAUCUUAAUUCUCUUACUAGAAGAAGAGACCAUCCCUGCAUCAAAUACCAGUCAUAAAACCAAGGAAAACCUCAUUAAGUGUUAGCAAAACACUAAAUCUCGUCUAACCACAACGCCUAUCAGCGCUAGGGAUAAAACAGGACCCCUCAACGUCACCUACACAUAGAAAAAGCAUAAAAACAAAAUCUGCAGGCUAACACUCAACGGUGCCACUCAGCGCUAUCAGUUUAAAUUUUUGCAAAAUCUCCCCUAAAUGCUUCUAAUCUCCACCCACAUGCAAAUUUCUUCAUUUCAGACCACAAUCAUACAGUUUAAUCGGUCCAAAAAGUUUCUAUUUCAACUAAUCAUGCAUAAAAAUCAAAAGUCCUAAUCUUUCAUGCUUAAGCAAUAUUCUCAUACAAAUUCAUGCUUUGAAAACCCUAGAAUAUAAAAUGUAUGACUUACUUGGAUGGAGAGACUUUGAAUGUGUGCAAAGUGCUUGUUAUUUGAUGAUGGAUGAGACCCAAAUGUGGUGCUCCCUUAGAAACCCCAAACUUUGACAGUGAAAUGAUUCAAAGAUGGUGGAGAAUGUGUUUUUGAGAAGUGGGAUGAAGGGAGAAGUGAGGGGAGUGACUUAGGAGGGUGUUUAAGAGUGAAAAAGAGAGUGGGGAUCUGAGUGGAAGGCUUGGGUAAACCCUAAGGGGUGUUUAAAGUGUGCAAUGGGUCAAUCACGCUGGGCCCAACUUAAAAAAAAUAGAAUUCAAAUUUGCAGUACCACCGCUCAACGCUAGGUACCGCUGAGCGGUGGGCACGAUUUUAAAUCUUCCCCUUUUUUAUUUGCCCUAAGCGUCAUUUGACCAAUAUCCCUCAAUUUCAACUCUAAAACUUCAAAUUUCAUAUAAUUCCCUUCACUCCACUCACAUAUGCAACUAGAACAUAACCAAAUCAUGCAAAAAUAAAUCAAACAACUGGGUUGCCUCCCGAGUAGCGCUUGUUUAACAUCACGAGCCUGACCCAAACCUUUCUAGCACUCAUCAGUAAGUGCAAAUCUUACAACACCCAUCAGUAGGUGUACCUUCUUGUAUCCUUCAGUGAAUAUUAAAUUAUCUAGCAUCCCUCAGUAGAUGCUACCCAACAAAUAGUGUUUAACAAUAUUCAAAAUUACAUAACCAAAAUAGUAAAAAGAAACAAUAUAUUUAGGUUACUGGGGUGCCUCCCAACAAGCGCUUCUUUAAUGUCAUUAGCUUGACCCAAUAAAGUUCAGGUUCCAUCUUCCAUGUUGGUGUCUCUUUUACUUUCAUCACACCAACUCAUCAAUUGCUUUCGGUCCACCUUCUUGACUCGCCUAAAAUAUCGAGCCUCAAUCUCUAUCACUCCCUUCUCUUUUAAUCCUUUCACAACCCACAACUUCUUCUUAUAUCUCACAGGAGUACCAAGCUUGAAUUGUGCAUCCUCCAAGUCAAAGUGGAUUGUUCCUCCUUUAUCAACUUUCUCUUCUUCCUUAACCCGCAUCAAAACACAAUUCUUACCUUUGUUGACCGGCUUUGCAGAUUUAGGUUUAGCCACUAGUGCAACCUUCCUUGCAGCUUUGUGACCUAUCUUCUUAACUUGAAUAUGCUUAUCUUUAAAAACAUCAUAGAUCACCUCCUCUUCUUGGUCUGUAAUCAUAAUUAAUCUGUCAUCCACAUUAAUGACUACUUUAGCCGUCUUCAUGAACGGUCUUUCAAGAAUGAUUGGGAUCUUAUCAUCCUCCUUCAUCUCCAUGACCAUAAAGUCAACCAAGAAUUUAAGCCUUCCUAUGCGCAUCAUAACAUCCUCCACCACACUGUAGGGUUUCUUUGGUGACCCAUCCGCCAUUAUCAAGGAUAUCUUUGUUGGCUUCAACCUAAGACCACCAAUCUUUUUCAACAUAAAUAGGGGCAUCAUAUUAAUGGUUGACCCUAAAUCAAGUGGAGCUUUCCCUAUCUUCAAACCUUCAAUGGUGCAAGGAACUGUGAAACUUCCUGGGUCUUUCACUUUAGGAGGAUGUGCUUUCUCCAAUAAGUCAUUGCAACUUCCCUGUUCAUCAUUAGCUUCCUCAUCAAAAUCUAUCUUUUCACCAAGGUAAUGCUUGAUACGCCUAGCAUAGACAUGAAUAUGUUGAAGUGCUUCAAUCAACAGUAUAGUAAUCUCCAAUUGAUUGAAGAUUUCUCUAAAGCACUCACAUCUUCUCUCCACUUUCUCACACCCUUUAGGAUAAGGAAGAAUUCUCUCAUCUUUUUCUAUUUUUUCUUCUUCUUCAAAUUUUUUCUCUCCCCUCUUCUCUUCUUCUUUUUCCAACUCCCCCUCACAUAUUUUCUCUUCUUCUCUCACUAACUCAACACUCUUUUUUUUCUCCUCUGCUCUCUCCUCAACAUUCACUAUAGCCUUACAAUCUUCUUUAGGGUUAACCUCAGUAUUAGCCCCAAAUUGAUUCUCUGCUUUCUCCUCUAGCCCUUUAGCCAAUUGACUAAUCUGCAUCUCCAGAUUUCUGAAGGUAGCCUCAUUGUUUUUAUGGUGGAGUCAUGCUUCAGCAUAAAUUUCUCGAACAUAUCCUCCAACCUGCUAGUCUUGUCAUUUAAACCAAAUACAUGUUGCCAUAGUGGUGAUGGGUGCUGUGGUGGUCUAUUGAAUUGGCCUCGUGCUUGUCCAGAUUGUCCAAUUUGACCUUGACCCAUGCUUGGGUGAGGUUUCCAUCCUUGGCUGUAAUUACCUUGGCGGUAUUGGAAUUGGUUGCCCAUGUAGUUGACUUCUUCUUGGGUCUCCUUUGGAAAAGCACAUUGACCAUUGAUAUGGUCACCACCACAAAAAUCACAGAGUUGUUGUUGCACCUGUGAAAUAUUCUUCAGCUCCUUAGGCAGUUGAGCAAGAGUCUUUGUCAGAUUCUCCAAUUGUUGAGUUAUAAGCUUAUUCUAUGCAAGCAAAGCAUCUUGAGGAGGCAAUUGAAGAACUCCAUUUUGUUGAAGUAGCACGCCCCUUUCACUAUGAGUUUCAUUAUCAUUAGCCGUCAUGCUUUAUAUCAACUCAUAGGCUUCCUCCGCAGUCUUGUGCUUAAUGUUACCUCUAGCUGAGGCAUUUAGCAUAAGCUUUGUUUGAGUGUUAAGACCUCCAAGGAAUGUAAGGACUACAACUGUAUCAUCAAAACCAUGUACAUGCGUCUUCCUCAACAAGCUUUUAUAUCUGUCCCACGUUUGGCCUAGGGUUUCCUCUAUGCCUUGCCUGAAAGAAGAAAUCUUCAUUUUACCUUUGUUAAUUUUUUUACUGUGGAAAAUAUUUGCUUAGAAAUUUUGCCACCACAGCCUCCCAGGUCUCCUCCUGAAAAGAAUUCAUCCAUAAUUUAGCAUUGUCUCCCAAUGAGAAAGGAAACAAGCUAAGUUUGAUAGCUUCAUCCGACACUCCAUUGAUCUUCACUAUUUUACAGAUCUCAUUGAACGUGGUGAGAUGAUCAUAUGGACUUUCAUGUGACAACCCAUUAAAUUGAUUGCUUUGCACUAAGUGUAUCAAUGCCGGUUUAAUCUCCAUGUUCAGUGCAUUGGCCCUCGGCCUUGUAAUGCUGUUAAAGUGUUGAGGGCCAACCAUAGUGGUUGCAUCCGCCAGAGUAUGUUUAACAGGAGCUUCCUCCUCAGCUAUCUCUUUUGUGCUCUGGUUGGAUGCUUCUGGUGAGGGUUGCAACAGUCUCUCAGGAGAGGGGAAUAAUUCUCUAGAUGAUCUUCGAACCUUCCCUCUCCUUCAGUUGCACUCAAACCUUCAAGAAGAGGUUGUUGAUUUUUCUUGCUCCUAGUAUGAAUUGUCUCCUGCAUACACAAGAAACAAAACCCUAAAAAGCACUUUUAUAUAAAAAUAAAACAAAAACAAAACAAGAACAAAAAAUCAAGUCAAAUUCAAUCAAAAAUCACACUACUAGAAUAGUUAAACAACGAGUCCCCGGCAACAGCGCCAAAAACUUGCUAAGCAUUUGGCAAGUGUACCGAAUCGUAUCAAGUAAUAAUAAACAGUAAGUCCGAGUAUCGUUUCCCUAGAGACUCUUAGGCCUAAACGUUCGUGUGAUAUCUCAAUUUCUUAAGACUUGAUGGAACAAAAAUUAGGGUUUUAGAUGCAAGACAGAAAAUAAACAUGCAUGCAAAGAUUGAUCAAUUGAGAGUUUGAACUAUAUGAAUGAAUGGUGUUGUUGGGGUUUAUGAUUUCAUCCUAAUCCACUCUCAUAUAUUUACAAUUCCUACUUAAUUCUACUUCUUUAUCAAUGUUAGUGCCACUUUCUAAAUUCCCCUAAUUUAGAUAUCUUGGUGAAUAGAGCCUACUCCUAAUUACUAGUUUACUAUGUCUAGUCUCCCUAGCAAUUAAUCAUGCAUUACAUAAUUCGCACAGAAGCUUAAGGAAAUUGGCCCUCCUAACCCUAUGUCUAGGUAAUAUCACAACCAAGAGAAUUCUCUCAUGUCUAGACCUACCCAUACGUGUCCAUAUAGAUAGAAUCAAAGAUUAUGUUAUUGAAUAAUGUCUUAAAGAAAGCAUGCAAAUAUAAUGGAGGAAAAACUCUAACAAUUGAUAAAAGAAAGCACAUGAAUAAAGCAAGAAUUUCAAUAUAUGAGAGUUUCAAUAGGAUUACAUCGUUUCCCUCAACAACAAAGGGGUUUAGUUCACCAUAAUCAUGGUGAAACUAGAUGGAAAUAAUGGAAUGAAUGAAAAGACAACCCUAGAUUCGAUAAGUUGGAGCUUCCAUAUCCAAAAUCCGCCUCGAAGGAGUGAAGGGAGUGUUUCUGCGGCCUUUCUGCCAAAAGAUCACUCAUCUAGGUCGUCUAAACCUAUUUAUAGUUUCUUAAAUCAAAGCAGAAAUUGGCCCAAGCCCAAUAGUACACCGCCCGACGAUGGGUUCGACAUUUGAUAUCACCCCUCAGCGUUGCCGCCUGAGGGUUGGCUAGAGAAUUUCCUGAAGAGUCCACCGCCCGACGGUGAGGUCAACACUCCUGUUCACUCCUCAGCGGUGGCGCUUGAGCAUCUGACAGAGAUUUCUCUGGAAAGUACACUGCCCAGCGGUGGUUUCACCGCCUGACGAUGGUUGUGACUCUUCUUUUCUUCACUCUUCCACCUUCUCUUGAGUCCAACUCUUCUCUUCUUUAACUUCCUUUAUUCAAUUCCUGGUAACUCCUGCCAAAUCAUGGGAAAACCAGGCAUAAAACCAAGAAAACCAACUUUAACUCUCUUAUUCUCUAACUUAAGCAAAUUGAAUGAUUUCAAGCUAAUUCUAAGUCAUAAAGGGUGUGUUUAAUGUCAAAUUUAAGUAUGAAAAUAACGGUUUUUGAACCGUUAUCAGGUUUCCGACUUAUCCUAAUCCACUCUCACAUAUUUACGAAUUCUACUUUUUCAUUAAUGUUAAUGUCACUUUCUAAUUUACCCUAAUACCAAUGUCUUGGUGAAAAGAGCCUACUCCUAAUUACUAGUUUAUGAUGUCUUGUCUCUCUAGCAAUUGUUCAUGCAUUACAUUCGCACAGAAGCUUAAAGGCAAUUGGUCCUCCUAUCCCUAUGUCUAGGUAAUAUUACUCUCGAGAGAAUUCCCUCAUGUCUAGAUCUAGCCACAUGUGUCCAUAUAGAUAGAAUCAAAGAUUAUGCUAUUGAAUAAUGUCUUAAACAAAGCAUGCAAAGAUAAUGGAGGAAAAACUCUAACAAUUAAUAAAAGAAAGCAUAUGAAUAAAACAUCAAUUCAAUAUGAGAGUUUCAAUAAGAUUACAUUGUUUCCCCAACAACAAUGGAGGUUUAGUUCACCAUAAACAUGGUGAAACUAGAUGAAAUUGAUGAAAAGAAUGAAAAGAUAAACCCUAUAAUUGAUAGAUUGGAGCUCCCGCAUCUAAAAUCCACCUCCAAGGGGUGAGAAGUGUGUUUCUGUGUCUCUUCUGCCAAAAGAUAGACCAUCUAGGUGUGUGUGGAUGUGUGGGUGUUUUUGUGUGUGUAUGAAACAUGGAAUGGAAUUUGUAGAAAAUGUUUGGUUGCGGCACUAUGCUAAAAUGGUUUUAACGUGGGUUGUUGUUUUGAUUCGUUUUGUUAUGAUUAUUAUGUUUGACACUAUGGUUUUUUUGUAUAUAUAUUAUUAAAGAAAAUUGUAUUUGAUGGUAGUAUAUUACAUAAGAAAAAUACCACUUUAGAUUUUAAAAAAAACACAAUUAUUGAAUUAAAUAUUUACGUAAUACGUAUUUUGUAAAAGUUUUUUCUUUUAUAGGUUUGGAAAAUGUAGUGUUAUUGUCUUUAAAUAACUGUUGCAAGUUUUGUUUGAUAUUAUUUAUAAAUAAAUUGUAAGUAAAAGCUAAGAUUGGUUUAACUAGUUUAUAAGUUUUGGCGUGCUUCAUUUAUUAUUUUAUUUGUGUAGAAGAAAAAAAAAUUACAAUUAAGAUGGCAUGAUUGAAUUAGAGGAAUGUUAUGUGGUUUAUAAUGUUGUAAUGAUUUGGCAUAUGUGAGAUUAAAUUGAAUUACAUAUGUGUUGUGAUUGGAAUUGGUAGAUUGUAUGAAUUAGUCAUUUGAAUUGUGAAUGUGUGGUGACUCAAUAAAAGAUGGAGACACUCUAUUAGUUUUUAGUUGUGAGCUCGAAUGUUAACUUUCCUCGUAAAGCUCUUGGAGAGUAGAGGGAAGGAUAACUCUACGUAACUGUACUAGAAGUGAAUUUCGUUGGAAAAAUUCAUCAGAAAGUGAUAGGAAGUAACACUAGUUUACUUCGUCCAUAAUACUUUAGGAGAGUAGGGGAAGUGGACCAUGUCCGUAAGGCUUGUGAGAAGAGGAGGGGAGGACUUCACUCAUUGGAAGAGUAGGGAAAGUGGUCCGUAAGGUUUAUGAGAAGCAAAAAGAGAGGACUUCAGUUGUAAAGCUCUUGGGAAAUAAGGGAAGUAGAACCCUAUCUAUAAGGCUUGUUGAAGCAAGAAAGUUUCUCUAGUGAUGAGCAAUUAUAGUAAACUACGUGCGAGAGUUAUAUUGAAAAUAUUGAUGUUGAUGGCUGAGUUCACUAAUGGAUUGUGUUAUUUGUAUUGUGGAUUAUGCUAAGAAUUAUUGUGUGAAAUAGUAAGUUCGAUGAGUGGUUGGGGUGAGAUAACCCGUAGGUUGCAUAAGGUUUAGAAAUAUUGUGAUUAUGCAUGGUAGGAUGAGUUUUAUAUUGUUAUUGAUGUAUGCUUGUGAUUAAUAUACUUGUUUUUCUUCUGUUAGUUUACCCUUAUGUCUUUGUAUUUGACAUACGAGAGUAUAUUAAGAUUGCAUAUGAUCUUGUUUCGGAUGCACAAUAGUAAAAAGCUUAUGGUUUGUAUUGGGAAUAAAGAUUUGCAUUUAUGAUAUUUUAAAACAAUUUCUUGUUUAGAAAUAAUAUAUAUAUAUAUAUAUAUAUAUAUAUAUAUAUAUAUAUAUAUAUAUAUAUAAAAGAUGAUUUUGACUUUGGAUAUUUUUUUAAUUUGAGAAAUUUAUAUUUGAUGAAAUAAAAGGUUUUUUUAAAUGCGAAAAAAUUUCUAUGUAUUUUAGUAACAUCCUUACAAAGUGUCAUAGGCAUCGAAACCGAAAGCAAAUGCACGGAAAUAACCGAUUGAUGACCCUGAAUUGUCUCAUUUAGUUGCUCAAUCACCCCUAUGUAGUCAUGGAUUGGCCAUGGUCACAAAAACUUGAAAGCUUAGAAAAUAUUUUAUACUAUAUGAAAUAUACCGAUCAGAGUUAAUAGUCGUUCAUGGACAGUUAGCAGGUAUUAAUGAGUCGGAUCACCUUAGGCUUUACAAAUAUAUGGUAUUAAUUAUUGAUUAUUGAAUUUGAUUGCCUAAAAAUAUACUACACUAAUGGUUAUUCAAUGGACUUGGCUGCCACAAGCCCUAUAAAUAUACAAUUGAUGUCCAGGUACAGACAUCUUUUACUAUCCUAAUAAAAUAGUGACUUCUUUAUGAAACGUAUCUGACUUGAGCUUCGGAGUGUCUUCUACAGGUCAACCACCUAUCGGAGUGGAUUGCAUUCUCGGAAAGGGUUUGAUAAUCAAAAGAGAGCAGAGCAAGGAAGGGUGACUGACCCUUGGACCAAUUCAACCGAAACAUAUUCAAUUGGUAAUUUUAAAAAGUAAGCAAUGCGAGGCUGGAUGAAUUUGUUAGAACUGUCACUAUCAACCAAAAUCGUAAUUGCAAUAUGCCCAAUGUGACUUGUGAACCUAAUGGUGCUGACACCACCUACUAUUGUCAUUGCAUUGAGUUAAAAUAAUGUUUUUUAAUUACAAAUGUAGCAUGAUAUUUGGAAUUUGUCUAGACUUAAAGAUCCAAUUCAUGACACUGUUACCAAAGAAGUAAGGAAACAAAGUUUCAUGUUUAGUACCUACGACUUAAAUGAAUUUGAAGCACAUUGGAAGGACCCUUGAGAGGUAGAAUUGCAUGGCAAUAGAGUCUUCAAAGAAAUAGUAAUUUGAUUGAAUUUGUUGUCAUUCUCAUGAAUGGUAGGCUUCAAGAUUGAAAACAAAAAGAAUUUAUUGAUUCCACCAAUUGAAUAUGAGCUUGAAGGUAUAAAGAAUCUUCAACCAAUACGAAUUUGAGGAUAAAUUCUCUCCAAAAAGAAGGGUAUAAUAGAGGACUGAACAUAUAUGAAAAGAACUUGAGGAAAAAUAUUUGUAAUUCAAAAUAUCUAUGACAAGGUCAAAGAUUAAAGCAUGUCUUCUUAAAUCUUAUAAUAUUCCAUAAAAUAGGAAACAUAAACGAAGAUCACGAGCACUAUUAAAGAAUAAUUUAGAAAAUUAAAUAAAUUAUAAAUUUAUUUUAAUUUUACAUAUUAAAUUAGCUAGGCGAAUCAAUUUUGUGUUUGUUGGGCGAGUGUGCUUCACUAAGAAAAAGUAUGCAUCUAUAGUAUUUGUUUUUUAUUAUUUUUAUGAGUUUUAGGCUUUGGGCUUUAUUUUAAGGUUUCUAGGUUCUUAAACUUAUGUUCCUAUAUAUAGAGGUACCAAAAGCUAAUGUAAAUAUUUUGAUAUUGCAUUUUUGAGAGAUGAUUCUCUUGGUUCUUGAUUAGAUUUCUGACUAUUAUUAAAGAUGAACAUCUUUGUAAUGAAUCUUCACUUGAUUUAUCAAUAUGUUAGAUAGUGGCAUCCUUGUUAUUUUGCAUUUUUCUCUAAUUUAUUUUGUUCUGCCUCUUGCAGAUUCAAAUUCAGAAACUAUCACACAUCUCGAAUCUAGAAAAUGUUCUGGUUUGAAUAUCUUUUUUUUUCUUAUUAUUUUGUCAUAUUAAAAAAACCUAAUAUUUUAUCCAAUUUUUUUAAGUUUUUAAUUUUUCUUGUUUUUGUGUUCCUCAUUUAAAUUGUGUAAUUCUACAUUUGAUUCGUGGAAAUUAUCUAUGUUUUUUUGUUAAUUGUAGUCUCAAUUGAUGGUUUUACUUGAUCUUGCAUGAGUUUUGGUAUUUGAAGGGCAAUUUAUUUAGUUUUCUUUAUUUGUGUUUUGAACUGCAAAAAUUAAAAAAAAAAUAGUGGAUCUAAGUUAAAAGGAAACAAAUAUAUAUUAGAAGAAAAAAAAAGUAAGGAUCCAAUAGUUAAAAAAAAUUGUAGGGUUUAACACAAAUUAUGUUGCACUAUUGUUUAUGAUUAUUAAUUUCUUAAAUUAUAUUUAGUCUUUUUUUUAAAGUCUCUAGGUUUUCUCAUUUUUUUGCAUUCAUAUUAUGUUUUUUAUUGUUUUAGGCUUCUUCUUUAUUUAAAAAAAAAAAUCCUUGGAGUUUUGUCUAGAGUUUUGUAUUUUCUUUGACCUCUUAAGUCAAGAUUUAGAUCUCGUAACUUUUUUCACAUUGUUUGUUCAGUGUUUGCUUAAGCAUACUGGAGUUCUGUACCAAACAAUAAAGGGAAUUUGAGUGGAAAAAUGAAAAAGAGCGCUAAAGGACUUCAAAAAAAUUAGAUGUGUUGAAAAAAAGAUAGGAGAGAAAGCUUAAAAGAGCACAAGAGAAAGAAGCACUAAUAGAAACAGAAGAAAGAGAAAAUAGAUGAAAAGAAGAGAAAGAAAUAAGGAAGGACAAAGAAAGAGAAAAAAGAGAAAAGGAAGAGAAAGAAAAGAGAGUAAGAGAGGAGAAAGAAAAUAGAGAAAGAGAGCAAAAAGAAAAGAGAGAGAAAAGGAAAAGAAGAAAAAUAGAGAGAGAAAAAGAGCCUCUUGAGUUGUUAUUAAAAGAAAAUACUAAUUGGUCUCUUUUUGUUUUGUUGCCUAGGAAAACUUCCUUUAUCAAGGAACCAUGACAUCAACAAUAGAAGGAAGACAAAAUGACAGAAAAGGAAGACACAAGCUUAGAACACAAAGAACCGGUGUUUGAUAAUCUAUUAGUUUAUUUGUCAAUUCAUUUGGAUAUUCAAAGUCAUUAUUUUAUUAUGAAACAAACUUAGAAAUAUAUGCAUAUGAGGUAACUUGUUUAACCGUAUUUAAGCAACUUACGAAUAAUCAAAGUCAUACUUAUAGUUUCAUUGUUUACUUAGAAAAUAUUCUUUUUAUUUUCUCUGAGCAUUUCAUUUUUAACUUAAAAUUGUUUGAUGAUUUUUGCAGGUGGGUAUUUGACCAUAGAGGCAUACCUUGAAACCUUUGAUAAUAAGAGAUUGGUCUCUUUCAUAAUCCAAAUAUCAUUUUAGUAGAAUUUCUAUCUUUUAUUAUUUUAAAUUUGUGUCUUUUUGUAUUUGGAUCUUCUAGAAUUCAAGUCGAAUUCUCUCCAAAUAGGAGAGAAUGAUAAGGAACUUUCAAGUGGUACGAAUUUGAGGACAAAUUAUUUUCAAGAAAGACGGUAUGAUAAAAGACUAUCUCUUGAGCAUAUAUGAGAAGAACUUAAGGAAGAACAUUUGCAAUUAAAAAUUUAUUACAAGGUCAAAGAUCAAAACACGUCUCCUUAAAUCUUGUAAGUUUCCAUGAAGGAGAAAACUUGAAUUUCAUUAACACAAUUGAAGAAUAAUUUAGGAAAUUAAAUAAAUUGUAAUUUUAUUUUAAUUUAAUGCAAAAUUCGUUAGGAGAAUCCUUUUUGUGUUUGUUGGGUAAGCGAUCUUCGCUAGGUGAAAGUCUCCAUCUAUAAUUUUUGUUUUUUGUUAUUUUUAUGUAUUUUUGGCUUUGGGUUUUAUUUUAAGGUUUUUAUGUUUUCUUAAAUUAUGUACUUAUAUAAAGAGGUACCAAAAGUUGAUGUAAACAUUUUGAGUCAUAUUAUAUGCAUUUACUUUCUUUGGAACAAAAUUCUUUGAGUUAUUGGAUUAGAACUCUAUUUUUAUCAAAGAUUAACAUACUUAUAUGCUAGAUUGUGACAUUUUCAUUUCUGUCUUAUUUGGCAUUCUUUUAUGAUUUAUAUUUGUUGUGUCUUUUGAGAAUUCAAAUUCAAAAAUGAUUGUACUAUUUCCUAAAUAGAAUCGUAUUAAUAUUACUUCUCUGAUGUUGUAAUAAUUUGUCUAAAAGAAAUAAGUUACGAAGUCAUAGUAGUUAUAUAAGUGGAAAGACUUAAAAAACAUAUUACACAUAAACAACACCUAAGACGAAUCUCUCGUUAUUUCAAAUUACCAAUAAGAGGUUGAGAAAGUCAAUGAUUUCAUAUAUAAGAUCACAAAAUGAUUAAGUGAAUUUAAGAAUAAGAGCAUAUGUAGAAUAAAAGUGAAUGAAAAAAAAAUAUGAAACAUAACAUCGAACCAUAAACAGAAUGGAAUUAAGGAGAGAGGAUCAAACAAAGAAUUUGAAACAUUAACCAUAAUUAAAACUAAAAAAGGAAAUGGUGAGAAGACUUGGUAGAAUGGAAGAAGAGAUAACCCUUGAGAAGACUGUUCUUCCUUCAAGAUAAACAUUAUAGAAUGAAUCACUAUUUCAAACUUCUCUAUAAAAAAUCUAAAAACUUUCGCGAUACUUUUGAAAAGAUUUAAUUAAUAAUUGGUCCACAUAUUUAAAUUUAUGUUUUAUUAUAUAUAUAUAUAUAUAUAUAUAUAUAUAUAUAUAUAUUAUACUAUAUGAAAUAUAUCGAUCAGAGUUAAUGGUCAUUCAUGGACAGUUAAUAGGUAUUAAUGAGGCAGAUCACCUAAGGCUUUACAAAUAUACGGUGUUAAUUAUUGAUUAUUGGAUUUGAUUGCCUAAAAAUAUAUUGCACUAAUGGUUAUUCAAUGGAUACAAUUGAUGUCGAGGUACAAACAUCUUUUACUAUCAUAGUAAAAUAGUGACCUCUUUAUGAAACAUAUCUGACUUUAGUGUCAGAGUGUCUUUUGCAGCUCAACCACUUAUCGGAGUGGAUUGCAUUCUCAGAAAGGGUUUGAUGAUCAAAAGAGAGCAGAGCAAGGAAGGACGACCGAUCCAAGGAAGGAAACACACACACAUAAAAUUUUGAGUCUUAAUCUUUUUUAAAUAAAGUUAAUUUAAUUUAUUAUAUUAAGUUAGGUUAAGUCUAUUUAAAAUAUAUUACAUGUCAAAAUUCGAGUAUUUUUUAUAUUGUGAUUUUUCUAAUUAGAUAUAUAACACUUUCUAAAUCUUAAAACGUAAUAUUUUUAAGGUUUAAUCAUUUUGGAGGUCCUUAUUUGUGCAUAUUCGUGUCAAUUAGGUCCUUCUAUUUUGAAAGUGUUCAAUUUGGUCCCUAUUUAUGUAAAAUUGAGUCCAUAAUGCCUUUGUCGUUAAUUGUUGUGGAUGACGUUAAAUUUCUUGCCUUGUGGCAUGUUGAGGUAGCAUUUAAUUAAUAACGACGUGGCACGGUAACAACUUAUUACGUGGAUUUAUUUGAUUUUAAAUUUUAAAAAACUUUAAAAUAUGGUAAACUUAAUAAAAACAUAACGUUAUAUUUAUUUCUAGAAAUGAAAUUAAAACUUAUUAGGAUUAAGUUUGGUAUUUUGGGUCAGUUUUUGAGUGUGCCAAAUUAGGGAAAAUUGGGGGAAAUAGGGUUUUUCGUGGGUUUGUUGUUCUGGUUCAAAUUUGGUAGAAAAUAGGGUUAUAGUGAGAAAUUAGUUGUGGAUGAAGUUUGUUUUUACGAUUUUGGAGUCAUCUAUCGGUGGUUUUUCGGUGGAAUUGGCAAAUUGUUAGCGGUGAAGCAUUGUGGGUAGCACAUGUAGCAGAGUCUUCUGAGUUGACUCAAACGUAGAAACAGUGCAUAGUGUUGGCAGCGAAGGAGGUCGAGGAGUUGGGAGGGGGAGAAGUCGAGGGGUAGAGGGUGGUGAGUGGCAGAAGUGGAAGAUGAGAGAGUGAAUGAGAAUCUGAAGGUAGAAGAGAUAGAGAAAGAGAAUGAGAAAUGUGUUGUGUGGCAUUGGGUUAUUAUAAUGUAAGGAAGAGGGUGAGAGUGGAGAGAGGAUAGUGCCAUUGAGACAAAUUUACAAACAUGUGGUGUGCGUGAAGAAUUGGGUGAGCACAAUAGCGAUGUAGAGUGUGGAUGAAUUGGGAUGAGGGUUUGCCACUUGGUGGUGAAGAAGAAAGAAUGAUCCUAUUGUGGGAUGAGUACCAAAAGUCUCUUUUCUGGUAUAAAAUGUUGUAAUAGAAAAUAUACAUAUAUUUACAAUAUCUUUAAAUCUAAUUAAAUAAUAAUAUUACAUUAAGGUAUAAAAUUUCACUUCACCUCUCGUUCCUUUUCUUCUCCCAUACAUUAUUUGGUUAAAUAGAGUAGAAGAGGAGGCACAUACACCUUCAGAAAUCCAACAAACAAAGUAAUUUAUCAAAGAGGCCACCUUAGAAAGUACCAACACACAUCCACACCUUCCAUUAUAUUUCCCCCGACAACCAAAGUAGAGCAAAACCCGUUGAACCCAAAAGCCAAAACCACCAAAGGAAUUCAAUAAUCCAAUGCAAAGAUAAAUCAACCAAUUAAGCAGUGAGAAAUAAAUUAUCACAAAAUAAAAAUUGACUCCUUUUUUCCACUUUUUUCUCAUCAAUAAAAACACACUAAAAGUUCAUAAACCCAUAAGCCAAAGCCAUAACCCACCAUGUGAUUGGUGACUCACUGGCAAGUGUACCAGAUCGUUCCAAGUAAUAUAAUUGGUAAAAACCCAACAUCGUUCUUCCCAAGAGACUCGAAAGGCCUUAUCGUUCGUGUGAAUUAAAAUCGUAAGACUUGUAAAUAAAAAUUAAUUGAUUGGACGUAAGAACACAAAAUAAACAUGAUAAAGUAUUUGAUUCAAUUAACGAGAAGAAAGCUAUGGAUGAAUGGAGUUGUUGGGGGUUUACAAUUUCAUCUUAUUCGCUCUCUCUUAUUUACUCCUCUUGUUUAAAUUGCUUGAUUAUCUAAUCGUUAUGCAACUUUCUUAGCCUACCCUUAACCCGAUCCCUCGGCGAAAAGAGCCUAUUACUAAUUACUGGCUUGCUAUCCCUAGCCUCCCCUAGCAAUUAAUAAUGCAUGAUAGAAUAGAAACGAAAACAAUUGAUCGUCCUACCCAUAUCCCUAGGUGGUAUUGCUUAAUCAAGGAAUUACUCACCAGUUCAUGACAUUACUAUAUAUCCCCGUAUCAAUAAAGACAAACAACAGUUAUCGAAUGAGUUAAACGAUAAAAGCUUUAAGCAUAGAUGAGAACCCAACAAUUAAUAAUCAACGCAUAUGAAAAUCAUAUAAAUAAACAAGAUUUUCAAUAAAAGAGAGUAUCAAAAGAUUACAUUGUUUCCCCCAACAACAAAAGGGUUUAGUUCACCAUUGUCAUGGUGAAUCUAUAUGAAAAAUGGAUGAAGAAUGGAAAAGCAAACCCUAGAUAAGAAGAAAUGGAGCCUAAGCAUCAAAGAGAUCCUCUCUAGAGAGUGAAAGUAGGUAUGGCCGCCCUCCUCUGUCAAAAGAAUGAGAUUGAGAUCGCAACAGGGCUAUUUAUAACUGAGAAGCGUCACAGAAAACAGGCCCAAGCCCAGCAGACAACCGCCUGGCGUCACACUUAUGCUGCCUGGCGGUUUUCCCAUAAUCGCGUCACCGCCCGACGGCAGGGGUUCACCGCCCGGCGGUUUGCCUCUUAUCGCAAAUCCGCCCAACGUCCACGCCUGAUGCCAUCUCCUCGCAUUGGACCGCCCAGCGGUGUAAUUUGCCGCUGGGCAAUUCCUCGACUCUUCAUUUCUUCAUUUUUCUUCACUUUUCUUGAGUCUAAGACCUUCAUCUUCAACUCCAUUCUUCACUUUCUCAAAAAUUCUACAAAACAAUGCAAAACAAGCAUAAUGUCGCUAAAAACAGCUUUUGACACUUUACUGACUCAUUUAUUGAGUUUUGUUUGAUUCUAAGCUCAUUCUAAGCAGUAAAGGAAGUAAUUUGGUCUAAAAUGACAUAUGAAAAUAACUGUUUUUCAACCGUUAUCAGUGAUCGAGAUCAAAUUCUUCAUUAGGUCUUUUUUUUUUUAUGUUGUCAUCUACAUUAAGGUAUAAGACUGUUUAGUUUGAGUCAAAUGUGUUUUUGUCUCUAAUCAUUCAUAACUUUUAGGUGAAUUUGAUUUUGAAAAUAAUAAUUUUACUUUGUCGAGGGGGAUGCAAUGUUGGGAGAGGAAGGCGUAAUAGAGGUUGAGGGGGUCGUGGAGGAGUGUAAGACAAUGAGGCGACGGGCAACGACAAUGAGAGAUGGGGAGGCACGGGAGGUGUGCCAAGGGGUUUGAUUGAGAGGUAGGCAUGGAUGUAGAUGUUCAAGAGGUGGGUGUGGGAGGGUGAGAAGAAGGUUUCCCAGAGAGGGGAGAAGGUGAGGUUAGAGUUGGUGAGGAAGACGAAGGUGAUUCUAGGGGUGGAAGAGAGGUGGGAGGUGGUGUGUGGGGUGACGACGCGGCGGAAGAGGGCAAGGGUGUCGACGUCGGAUGGUGAGAAUAAGAGGUGAGGGGGUGGAUGAACUUUCUUCAACCAUUUUUAGGUUUUCUUCUUCUCUAUGUGAUGAGAUUGUGGAAGCAAAAAUAUAGGGAGUUUGUUUAUGGUUGGAUUUAGAAUGAUUAAGACGUUUAUGAGCUUUGAAAUCUCUUCAUUUAAGAGGAUUGUUUUUAUUAAAUAUAACUUAUUUUAAACUUAAAAUAAAAUAAUUUCACGUAAUGAGACGUGCCACGUGGUUAUUAAAUGCUACCUUAUCAUGCGACCAGACAAGAAAUUUAAUGUCGUCCACAACAAUUAACGGCAAGAGCAUUUGACUUAAUUUUACAUAAAUAGGGACCCAAUUGAGCACUUUUAAAAUUCAAAGAGCUAAUUGACACGAAUCUGCACAAAUAGGAACCUCCGAAAUGAUUAAACCUAUUUUUAAACAUGUUAACGUCAAUUUAACAUAAUGAACCAAAUUAACUCUGUAUAAAAAUAUUAAGGUUUAAUCAUUUCCGACAUCCCUAUUUCUGCAGGAUCGUCUCAAAUAGGUCCUCGUAUUCUAAAUGCUCUCAAUUAGGUCCUUUAUUGUGAAAAAUUGAAUCAAAGUAUACCUUGCCGUUAAGUUGGCUGGACAAAGUUAAAAAAUUUUAUGCGUGGCUUGGUGACAUGAGCAAGUGCCACUGGCGUGGCACACAUUGGUUGUCUGAAUUGGCUUUCUUUUAUUUAUUCAUUUUAAAAAUUCACGUUAAUCAGAAUGCAACGUUUUCUUUAUGAAAAACAGAUGACUAGUUAUGUUUAUUUAAUUUCAUUGUUGUCUGGGUGUGGAAUUUGGGGAAAUUUGGGAAAAUAAUUGGGAUUUCAAGAAAUCCCUAAAUUGGAAGAUUGAAAUCCCUAAGGAGAGUGAGGUUCGUCUUUAACCUUUUUCAGCUUUUUAUUGGAGGGUGUUUUGGUGCGACGCAGGUGGGUGGGUGUUGAACGUUGUUGUUGGAAGACGAUGUCGAAGGAGUAUUCUUGCUGUUCAUCGACAUGCAAUGUGUGGCAGAAGGAGAACAAUAAUGUGUGUUCACCAAUUUGCCACUGUGGAGUGAGAUGUGCGUUGAGAACUUCUAAAACUUUAAAGAAUCGUGGCAAGUCAUUUUGGGGAUUCUCGAAGUAUAAGGUAUGAUUUAUUUCACCUAUGUAUUAUGUGGAAGUGUUUCUGAUAAGAGAUUGUUGCUUAUACAGAGUGGUGCUGAAGAAAGUGGUUGCAAUUACUUCAAAUGGUGCACUGAUGUUACGAAAGACAAAAGGGGCACAUGCUUGAAGUCUGAAGGAAACAAAGAAAGAUUGAUGCACAGUGAAGAAAUGGAUAGUAAUAGGAAUUGUUAAGAAACAGGUAGGCUUCAUUUUACACCAAGAGGGUGGGGGGUGAAUUGGUGUUUGUUCAAAAACAAAAUCUUUUCGCAAUCUUGGUAUGAAAAUUCAAAGCUUUUGAUCUUUCCUUGAAAUGCAAGUAAUGAAAAUUAAAUGCAGCGAAAAAACGCAGUAGACUGCUAAACUGAUAAAGUCGACUGGAAAAUAAAGAGUGCAAGGAUAGAGAAAAUCAAACACUGAUUUUUAUACUGGUUCGGUCAACAAUGCCUACAUCCAAUGUUCUUCCAACCCAGGAAGCAAAUGCACUAUAAUGGUUGCGGUUUUUACAACAAGGAAUUUAUAGAAGCACCACGCAAAAAUAUCAAUAUCCUCUCUAACCUAAAACCAAAAUAUAGCUGCACACACAAAAACCAGAAUUGCAACAAGAAUCCCCUCUUCUGUAAUCUGCACCCACGUCGAACAAUCCUCAACGUGUAACCAACACUCUUCACAGGAUGACAAGCCUAUCAUAGUAGACUUCAUAGGUUGCCAAGCCUCUCACAGCAGACUUCACAGGUUGCCAAGCCUCCAAUCAAAUGCAGCAGUCUUCACAAGAUGCCAAGCCUAUCAAGAUCAAACCAGAAGCAUCUUUCUUGUGCAGAUGUUGCUCAAACAGUAUGCGCAAUUGACUCCUCCCUUUGAAUCUCUCUCAAGAAAGAUUACUACCGUCUUCUUGGAGAAUUCUUGGAGCUUCUAAAACAGAGAAUUCAAUCUGAAACAAGAUAAUGAAAAUGUCAGAUCACAAAAGUCUUACAGAACAAUUCGUGUCCUGUCUAUUUAUAGUUUUCUGUUAUAUUAUAUUGUAUCUCAGUCGAAUAACCUACUAAUUCAGUUGACUGUAUUAAAACAGUUAUAACACACAGUCAACACAAAGGCUCCUCAAUCAACAAAAUCAACAAACAUUUAUGACAGUUGANCUGGUCAGUCAAUCUUAACUAACUUUUGAAAAAUAUAGUCGUUGGAGCGUGUAGGCUUAACAGAAUUCCAAACAUAACAGUAAUAUAGUCGAAUGUGUGUUCCACACUGUCGACUAACACAUGAAAAAUCACUUUGAAAUUCUUUUCAACUCAAAAUCUCACACAGCACAGGUUCACAAAGUGUGUACAAAGACUUUAGCAUAGUCGAAUCCAUCAUGAGUGUAUUCGACUGAACUAGAACUUUGUCACAAAAAGUAUAAGUUCAUAAAGGUGCUUGUGAUCUUUUUUUUUUUUUUCAGAAAUGUGCAGUUAAUCAAAAAACAUUUUAUCCCAAAUUUCAAUACAAGCAUGUUCCACAAAUAUAACACAUCAAUCAAUCAUAGGAACAUACAUUGUAAUUCAACAAAACAUGUUCAGCAGAUAUGACAAUCAAUAGAACACGAACAUGUAAUACUGUGACAUGUGUACUGUUAUUAAGCAUUGUGUUGUCAUCAUCAAAAACUAGUUUGAUAUAGAGUCUGUGUUGUCAACAAUCUCAACAAUCUCCCCCUUUUUUGAUGAUGGACAACCAUGAUUAAUAACUCAACCAUGUUUGUACAGUUCCACAUAUGACAGAGUAAAAACAUAUAUCAGAAACAAUUAUUACAAUUCAGUUACUCUGCAUAUACAACCAAAUACAACAAAAAUAUCAUCAAACAGAUAAAGUAUGAUGCAACAAUUCUCCCCAUAUAGACUUGCUCACAUACACUCAUCUAUAGUUCUCCCCUUUGUGCAUUAACAAAAAAGGAAUGCUCAGAUAUUUGUGCAGUUUUGGAAAACAAAGAUGCAUCAUAAAGAUGCUCACAAUGAUGCUCUCAUAGUUCACAAGUUCAUCACAAAAUAGUGCAAACUCCCCCUGAAAUAUAGGUGUGUAAUGAAGCAAUGAGUAAAAUAGUGAUACUCCCCCUGUCAUUAUGCAUGAAUUUCAAAAACAGUUUGAGUGCACAAUGCAGAGUAUCACAAACUAACAACAGUUUAAGCACAAAUUUGUAUCAUAGUCAAGUUAUCAAAUCACAUGUAAAUGCAAUAAUACAAAUAUCAACAAUCUCACAGUAUUAUCUCAAUUCAGAUAUGAAUCAUGUAAAGAGCAGAGAUAAUAUCAUAAUAAUAAUGAUUUAAGCAGUAAGUAAGGAUAGAAUCAAAUUCCAGAAUUGGAAUUGUUAACCCAUUUAGACGUAGUCGAAUGCUUUAAAUCAUCAGUCGAAUGCAUUGCUUUUCCAAAUGUUGAAUUCCAAUUGUAGAUGUCCAAAGCAAUGUCUUUCCUGCAAAACCUUUCAACAACCUUUUCUAGAUCAAGCACAAUGGUUAAGAAAGAAUAGAAUCAAAUCAUAACAGAAGUCAAUAUGUAAGAAUGCAUGACAGUUUAAGCAUAGUUGACUUCAAACAAAACACAGUCGAAUCAAUCAAACAAAGUAUUACAUAUCAUUCAACAAUUUAAGUGACUGGAUUGAUUCAAAUGACUAAUUUCAUUUCCUUGGAUAAAAGAUAUUACAAUGGUGGUGCAAGAAAUAAGGAAAUACAAACAAAAGAUGGCUUUAUAUGCCAUUUCACAAAAUGAAAAGACCUAGUCUAGGACUUAAAAUUGCUACAAGUACUGGCAUAUUUCAACUGAUAGUCCUUAGUCCAUGUUAGAGGAUUUAGUGCAGUAUUCGUCCGAGUACUGUUUUCCUCUUGAGAUCUAUCUUCAUCAUUCAGGUUCCCAUUGACGGACUUUAAUUGAUCAGCCAUAAAUAUCUCAAACUUUGUCACAGGUGAAAAAAUUGGUUUCAUCUUCAAAGAACCGUCCAAUUGAAGUCUUUUUCAUUCCCAUUUCUUUCAGUGUACUAUUGUUUAUCUCAUUUGAAUAAUCACAGCAGCAGGAUUUUUCAUUAUUUAAUCUAACACCUUGCACCAAGAGAAUCCUGCUAAUGAGAACAACAUAUGGAAGAUACGGUGAGUUCUUGAAAGCUGCCAACCUCAUGUGAUUUUUGAUAACUUCUAUCUAGUUGGUGGGAAUUUUGUUGAUGAUAGCAUGCAUCAAAUAUAUGUCUUCAGUGGUUAGAUGAUUAUGAACAAUUCUCCCAGGUAGUAUGAUCCAUGAAAGAAUAUGAGCAAUAAUCUUUUCUUCCUUCUUUAAACCAUUAAGAGAAAACUUUCCUUGUAGAGAUACAUCUUCAGGAUAUCUUCUCCAAUUUGAGUACAUUUCCUUUUUCUUUAAGUGUGUAUUUAGUUCAGAGUUGGGCAAGUGUGAGAGUGCACCUUUUGAUUCAAGUUCAGUGAACAACUUCCAGAUGAAAUCAUCUAUCUCAAUGUUUACACCCUUUACUCUGGACCUCAUGACGCCAUUUUCAAAUUUAAGAUUGUGGUAAAAUACUUCCACCAAGUCAGGAUACCAUGCACCUUUCAUUUGGACGAAGCUUGAUAGAUCUUGGAACUCCAGUAAUUCAGGAAAAUUGAAUCCCUCUUUUCUAAACUUUCUAAACUUGAUGUAGUAUGGACAAGCUAUCGUUUUUGAUAGGUUCAACAAAAAUUUCCUUCUUGACACAUCAUCACUAAUCCAUCCUCAGGGAUCAAGAUUUCUUGAUACAACAGCUUCCUUUCCUUUUCCUUUGUUUGAGCUUUGGUUUGAAGUGGCCAUCGUGGGAUCACAAUUUUUCAGAAGACACUUUCUUGGUCUAAGGAUUAUCAGAGAAAUUUGCUUGUACAAUAACAAACACAAUACAAGAUUUAGAACAAAUGUGAGCAUUUAAAGUGUUUCAAAAGACCCCUGAUUCAAAUUCUCAACGUUAAAAAAAAUUUCUACCAUUAAUUGACUUAGUCGAUUGAAUUAUAAUUGGAGUCGACUGUGACUCAAGAAAAAAUCAUUUUCAGCCAAAUUCAAUCAGUCAAAUCAAUCAAUACUCAUUGCAAACAAUCAUACAACAAUAAUUUAUCAGUAUAUGCAUGAUGCAGCAGAUAGAUAUAGAUUUACCAGUUGUAGACACUCAAGGUUUUUUAUUUACUCCAUAGUUGAUUCAUCCUUGAGACCAACUUUGCAUCAGUUGUAUAUCCUGCAAAACAAUUAAUUUUUGGCUGAUGGUACCCAUUUGACUUUGGGUCCUUGAUUGUUAGUUCUUAUUACAUGUUCCUUUGGUAUCCAUACACAUAAUCCUUGAGGAAUAGCAACAUGUCUAUAAUACCAAUUUCUAACAGUAUGACCAACACAAUUGCAAUAAAAACAUGCAUUUCUAGCAGGUUUUCUUAACUCAUUAAAUUUCCUAGCAUUGGUUUUGUUAGAGUAAGCUUUGUAACCAAUUCCUUAUCUAUUAUUAAUUCUACUAGAUGAAUUUAACACAACAUCUAAAUUGUCUCUACCUUGAGUAAACUUAGUUAGCGUGCUAGUCAAGUAAUCUAUCUUUGCAAUGUGUGUAGGACAAUUUUCACAAACUUUUUCAACAGUAACAAUUUUAAUUUCACAAUUUCUAGCAGAUGACAAAGCUUCAUUAAGUUCUUUUUCUAAUCUUUCAUUUUCUGCAACAAGGUCUUUAAUUCUAUUUUCAAAAUCUCUUCUUUCUGAGCUUAGUCGAUUUACCUUGUAUUGCAGUCGCAUGGCUUCAGCAUGUAACUCUUUGAAAGCAUCUUGAAGCAGAUCAUAUAUGACUUCUACUGGUUCAUUUGAUAUGUCUGCAUCAUUGUCAUAGUCAUCCCAUGUUACACCUAUCAUAUAACAUAAAUUUGAUUCCUCCUCUUGGUCAGCAUCCUCAUCACUUGAGCUUUCAGAUUUAGAGUUCUCCCAAGCAAUGUAAGCUCCUUUUUUUCUCAUAUUUCUGCCUUGAGGGAAUCUUUUCUUUCCUUUUGGCUUUGGCUGUAAUUUAGGUCAGUCAGGCUUGAUGUGACCUUCUUUUCCACAUUCAUAGCACUGGACAACAUUUGUGUUGAAGCUCUUCCUUUUGCUUUGACCUGCAUGGUUAGACCGUUGACUAUCAUUUUGCAUAUGUCGACAAAACUUUCUUACAAUCAAGGUCAUCAACUCUUUGUCGUCCAUCUCUGUUUCUGUGAUGUUCUUGCUUGCAGCCUGCAGAGCAAUGGACUUCUUUUCUUCAAUCUCCUCCUCAUCCUUCAGUCUACCAAGUUAUAACUCAUGUUCCCGUAACUUGCCAAACAAGGUAGCCAUAUUCAUAGUUGUAAGAUCUUUGGAUUCAGAGAUUGUAGUGACUUUUGGUUGCCAAUUCCUGUUCAAGCUUUUCAGAAUCUUAAUGUUGAUCUCUUCUUUGUCAAAGACUUUGCCAAGCGCCAUCAGGUGAUUUACAAUAUGAGUGAAUCGUUUCUGGACAUCAUAGAUGCUCUCACCAGCUUUCAUUCUGAACAAUUCAUACUCUUGUAUUAAAGAAUUCUUCCUGGCUCUCUUGACUUCAUCCGUGCCUUCAUGUGUUACCUCUAGAACAUCCCACAUUUCCUUUGCAGACUUGCAUUGGGAUAUCCUGAAAAAUUCAUCAAUUGUUAGUGCAGAGGCAAUAAUAUUUCUAGGUUUAACAUCAUACUGAGGUUUUCUAUUUUCAUCAGCAGUCCACUCAGUAAAAGGUUUCAAAACAGUUUCAUUAUCAACAGUUUUUGUAGGCACAUAUGGACCAUUCAAAGUGGCAUCCAAAAUUCCUUUAUCUUGCGAUUCAAGAAAGAUCUGCAUGCGAAUUUUCCAAAAAGGAUAAUUUUCACCAGCAAAUAGAGGUGGUCUGUUUGUUGAAGCACCUUCACCAAAAGUUUGAAAAUUUCAAGUCAUCCCCAGGUUUUACAAUUGAAUAGAAUAAAAAUAGAGUCGACUGAAUUUUCAAAUAUCUUAUGAAAACCAACUCCGAUACUAAUUGUUAGGAAACAGGUAGGCUUCGUUUUACACCAAGAGGGGGGGGGGGUGAAUUGGUGUUUGUUCAAAAACAAAAUCUUUUCGCAAUCUUGGUAUGAAAAUUCAAAGCUUUUGAUCUUUCUUUGAAAUGCAAGUAAUGAAAAUACAAUGCAGUGGAAAAACGCAGUUGACUGCUAAACUGAUAAAGUCAACUGGAAAAUAAAGAGUGCAGGGAUAGAGAAAAUCAAACACUGGUUUUUAUACUGGUUCGGCCAACAAUGCCUACAUCCAGUGUUCUUCCAACCCAGGAAGCAAAUGCACUAUAAUGGUUGNGNUUUUUACAACAAGGAAUUUAUAGAAGCACCACGCAAAAAUAUAAAUCUUCUCUCUAAUCCAAAACCAAAAUAUAGCUGCACAUACAAAAACCAAAAUUGCAGCAAGAAUCCCCUCUUUUGCAAUUUGCACCCACGUCGAACAAUCCUCAAUGUGUAACCAGCACUCUUCACAGGAUGACAAGCCUAUCACAGUAGACUUCACAGGUUUCCAAGCCUCUCACAACAGACUUCACAGGUUGCCAAGCCUCCAAUCAAAUGCAGCAGUCUUCACAAGAUGCCAAGCCUAUCAAGAUCAAACCAGAAGCACCUUUCUUGUGCAGAUGUUGAUCAAACAGUAUGCGCAAUUGACUCCUCCCUUUGAAUCUCUCUCAAGAAAGAUCACUACCGUCUUCUUGGAGAAUUCUUGGAGCUUCUAAAACAAAGAAUUCAAUUUGAAACAGGAUAAUGAAAAUGUCAGAUCACAAAAAUCUCACAGAACAAUUCGUGUCCUGUCUAUUUAUAGUUUUCUGUUAUAUCAGAUUGUAUCUCAGUCGAAUAGCCUACUAAUUCAGUCGACUGUAUUAAAACAAUUAUAACACACAGUCAACACAAUGGCUCCUUAGUCAACAAAAUCAACAAACAUUUAUGACAGUUGACCUGGUCAGUCAAUCUUAACUAACUUUUGAAAAAUAUAGUCGUUGGAGCGUGUAGGCUUAACAGAAUUCCAAACAUAACAGUAAUAUAGUCGAAUGUGUGUUCCACACUAUCGACUGACACAUGAAAAAUCAUUUUGAAAUUCUUUUCAACUCAAAAUCUCACACAAUAUAGGUUCACAAAGUCUGUACAAAGACUUUAGCAUAGUCGAAUCCAUUAUGAGUGUAUUCGACUGAACUAGAACUUUGUCACAACAAGUAUAAGUUCAUAAAGGUGCUUGUGAUAUUUUUUUUCUUCAGAAAUGUGCAUUUAAUAGAAAAACAUUUUAUGCCACAUUUCAAUACAAGCAUGUUCCACAAAUAUAACACAUCAAUCAAUCAUAGGAACAUACAUUGUAAUUCAACAAAACAUGUUCAGCAAAUAUGACAAUCAAUUGAACACGAACAUGUAAUACUGUAACGUGUGUAUUGUUAUUAAGCAUUGUGUUGUCAUCAUCAAAAACUAGUUUGAUAUAGAGUCUGUGUUGUCAACAAUCUCAACAGGAAUAUGUUAAUUAAGUUUGAGAAAAUUGUCUUCGUUGUUCAAAAGUGGACGAAGGUCUUGAUAUUUUUUGUUUGUCUUUUAUGUGUAAUAAACACAAUUAUAGUUUCAAUGUUGAUGACAAUGGGCUGAUGUCUUGUAACUGUUUCGUAUCUUUCUUCCAUUUCAAUGAAAAUCAGACUUGUGUGAUGUGUUUACGAGUAACGAAUUCAAUUGUUGUUAUGAAAUUUGAUAUGACUAAAGAAUGUUUUUUCCUUUAAUUUUAUAUGUUAUAAAGAGAGGUCUAUAUAUUGGUUUUAUAUGGUAUGGACUUAGCAAUUAGCUGCCAAACGCAUAACAAUCUGCUAGGUUGGGAUAAAUCUGAGAUCUAAAGCUGCGUAACAAUCUACUACCAUAUUAGUGAAACCUCUAUCACCCAGUAAUAAGACAUAUAUUGUUUUUGUCAUAAAAAAUAUAGAGUGAUAAGUGAUAAAAAAUAAAGAAAUAUAUAUGAUGUACAAGAAAUAUUUGUGGACCAAGAUGUACAACAAAUAUAACUGUUGUAUUUUCAUUCAUAACUGAUAACCAGUGAUAAACAAACCAAAUAUAACAAACUGUUGUCUUAUACAAAAAGAAACAAAAAGAUUUGACAAGCAUUACAAUUGUUCAAAAAUGACAAGCAUUACAAAAAGCUACAAUUGUUCACAUGGUGACAUUGUCUAAACAUUAAAAUUUUUCAUUUAUCCCCUUGAACUACAACUUCAUCCUGAUUUGAUGAUGACAUCAUUGGUUGAGUUGACAGGUUAGUUUCUUCUGUUUGGUGGGAGUUGACUGGAGGUGUCUGUGUUGAUUUGAUUCAAGAAGUCCUAUUGUGGCCCAGUUCCUUACAAAUGCCACAUCUUUUCUUUAAACCACCCUUCCUCAUUCUUCUGUCAUCCUUGACCAACUCCCAAUGCUUCAAUCUUCGCUUCUUCUUUGGUCUCCCAGGCAAUAUUCUUUUUGGUUAAGGGAGGACAUCAACAUAUGUGGCAAUCUCCCACAUCUUAUUACCAUUUAUUGGAUACACAAUUGAAGAGAAUAUUGCUUCAUAUGUUGACUUCCUAAAGCAACAUGUAAUGAACUCCUCUGCAACUAGAUUUAGGAAUUUCAUAGCAGCCAAGGAGUGGCAGCAUGGUAUGCCAGUGAUAGCCUACUUCCUUCAUGUACAAAAGUUUUCAUCUAAAUUCACUACAAACUUGUCACCAGCUUGGGACACAUGGUGAACUUCAAACAUCUUGUUUGCUGACCAGCUGUAAAGUGAAAACAAGAAACAUAUUUUAAUUAUAAACAAUUGACUAGCUGUAAUAAUAAUAAACAACUUCACAGUUUAACAUAAAUCACAUAAACAAUAUUACAUUUAGCUUACCUCAGAAUCCAAUAUUUAGUUAUUUGAGACUCCUUAUUUAGUCUAGUCUUGAUUUUAGGACAAAUCUCCCUAAACAAUGAUUAUAUUUUUGUCCUGUUAGUUGCCCAUCUCUUCAUCAAGUACAGGCGGAUCUCUUCCAACAUGCUUAUGAUUGGCUUAGACCUUGUAUGCACCAUUACACUAUUGAUAGCCUCUGACAUGUUGUUUACUAAAGUAUCACAUUGAGCUUUGCUGCUAAAUCUUGAUCGUGACCAGUACCUACAUUAGAUAAGGAUAAUCAAUAUUAGUGUUGAAAGCUGGGAGAUUUAAAAUUAACAAUAGAAGUUGAAAUACAAACCUAGGAGGGAUUUUUAACAAGUAUUUGAAAGCCUCGUCAUUAAGCUGUUUUAUAUUUCUCAUUUCUGAUUCCCAUGUUUGUGGAUGAGUUGUUGUAGCUGCCUUCAACAUCAAACGCUUUAGCUGUUUUCCAGGGAAUUUUUUUUUGAAAUUUGCAUACAGAUGCCUAACACAUAAACAUUGAUCAACUCCAAGGACCACUUCUUGUACAACUUGCAGUAGUCCCUGUUGAAUCAAAUUAUGACAAUGUUGUUAGAGAUAUCAUUUCAAUAUGAAUGUUAAUGAACAUAAUUAGGGAAAAGGUCAUGUGCAUUACCUUUUGUUGGUCCGACAUAAAUGUAAAUGAUGAACUUACUGCCUCCCCACCAAGAUCUUCAACGAGAAGUUCAAGGAACCAUUUCCAAGUAUCCUUGUUCUCUACUUCCACCAUAGCAUACGCAAGAGGUAGCAUUUGGUCAUUUGCGUCUCUACCAACAACACUUAACAAUUCACCACCAUAUUUUCCUUUCAAAAAAGCACCAUUCAGCUCAAUAAUUGGCUUGCAGGAUACAAAACUAUCCUUGCAGACCUUCAGACAAGUAUAAAACCUCCUAAAAAUGUGUCCAUUCUCAUUCUCUUCAACUUUAACCUUCAUUGUGGAUCCUGGAUUACGAGCUCGGAGCUCAUUCGCAUAAUCAUAUAUCCUUGUAUAUUGCUCUUUGAAAGACCCAUCAACAUGGUCUGAAGCAAUGGUUUGUGCCCUAUAAGCCAUGCAUCUAAAUACACAUACAUUCCAUUUUCUAUUUAUCUUUUCACGAAUUUCCACUCCCUUUACUUUGGGAUUUUUUCUAACAGUUUUUUCCAAUCUCUUACUCAGCCAUUUUGCAUUAAGUAUUCUUAGUUUGUGCUCUCUACUACAAUUGUGGUUGUUGUUAAGACUCCAGCAAGUGUAUGAAUCGUAUCAAGUAAUGUAAAUGGUAAGACCAAGUAUCGUUUUCCCUAGAGACUCAUUGGCCUAAAUAGUCAUGUGAUUUGUUGAUUAUUUAAAACUUGAGAAUGAAAAUUAGGUUUAGAAUGCAAGAUAGAAAAUAAACAUGAAUGCAAUUGUUGAUCAAUUUGACCUAAAGAAUACAUAGGUGAAUGGUUGAUUAAAAUAUGGAAUGUUGUUGUUGUUGGGGUUUCUGACUUAUCCAAUCCACUCUCAUGUAUUUACGAAUUCGACUUCUUCAUUAAUGUUAAUGCCACUUUCUAAUUUACCCUAAACCCGAUGUCUCGGUGAAGAGAGCUUACUCUUAAUUACUAGUUUAUAAUGUCUUGUCUCCCUAGCAAUUAAUUAUGCAUACAUUCGCACAGAAGCUUAAAUGCAACCAAUCCUCCUAUCCCUAUGUCUAGGUAAUAUUGCUCUUGGGAGAAUUUCAUCAAUUCUAGAUUUUCCCGUAUGUGUCCAUAUCAAGAAAAUCAAUGAUCAUGCAAUUGAAUGAGUUAAACAAAGCAUGCAUAUAGUGUAGAGGAAAAACCCUAACAAUUAAUGAAGUAAAGCAUCUGUAAUAUAAAUCAAUUCAAUACAUGAUAGUGUUUCUGCAUUUCUUUCUGUCAAAAGAUAGACCCUGUAGGUCGACUAAAUCCUUAUAUAGUUUAUAAAAAUAACAAAAAACUGGCCCAGGCCCACGAUAACAGCGCUCAGCGUUAAAAUCACGCUCAGUGGUAGGUGCGACACUUUAGAAUAACGCUCAACGUUGGCGCUUAGGUGCGAAACAGUGAACUUCAUCAGCAAGACUGGCGCUCAGCGGCAAAGUAACGCUUAACGGUAGGUGUGACACUUGGAUUUUGCCCUCAGCGAUGACGUUCAGGCGUCAAACAAAGAUCUCCAUACCAAACGUGGCGCUCAACGGUGAAACUGGCGUUGAGCGGUGGUUGCGGUUCUUCUUUUAUGCUAUUUCUCAGCUUUUCCUGAGUCCAACUCCUUGCUACUUCAACUUCUUUCAUCCAAUUCUUCUUAAUUCCUGUCAAAACAAGGAAAACCAAGCAUAAAACCAAUAAUAUCACCUUCAACUCUCUUAUUCUCUCAACUAAAGCAAAAACAUGAUUUCAAGCUAGUUUCUAAGUCAUAAAGGGUGUUUUUAGUAUCAAAAUUAAGUAUAAAAAUAACGGUAUUUCAACUGUUAUCAGUUGUCAACAAUAGUCCUUAAUUGCCACGUAUGAAUGGCUUCCAUAUAAGCACAAUAUGCCAUCCAAGGGCACUCUCCUUUUUAGGCACCCAUACAUUUUAGCCUAAUUCUCUUCUUAUCAUUUUUAAAAUAUUUAAUAUUUCUGCCAUUUUCUACUGUAUAUGUUUUGAUGGCAUCAACAAAGUCUUGCUUGUCAGCAAAAUAAGUUUGCAGAUCCCAUUUAUAAUCUACCAUUGUCUUAGGCAUAGAGAAUGUUACAAACUUCCCAUAACCCUCCUCUUCAUCAUCUUGUCCAUCACUUUCUGCUCCACUGUCUAAUUCAUCGGAUUGCCAUUCAUCAUUGGACAAACCUCUAUCAUCAUCACUAUUUAUUCCAUCAUCAACAUCACUAUCAUCAGAUUGCACAUCAACUUGGUCAUUACCAAACAAAUCUGCAACUCCAUCUCCUACCUCCUCUUUUAUAUCACACUCAAUAUUUACAUCAACCAAACCUUCCAUAGAAUCAUAAUUAACCUCAUCAUUGCAAUCAUCAUCACCACUAGAACUCCAACUACGAACAUCACCAGCAUCCUCUUCAACCUCACCCACAACAACCUGUGUUUCAAUAACACCUUCAACAACAUCAUCACCCUCAACUCUUUCUUCUGAAACAACAACAAUUUCGGUCAUUCCAUCACAUUGACCUCUCCCACCUUCCUCUUUACGUUGACCCUCAACCAUACCCCCUUAUUGCUCUUCACGUUCACCCUCAACCAUACCCCCACCUUCCUCUUCACGUUGACCCUCAACCAUACCCCCUCCUUCCUCUUCACGUUCACCCUCAACCANNNNNNNNNNNNNNNNNNNNNNNNNNNNNNNNNNNNNNNNNNNNNNNNNNNNNNNNNNNNNNNNNNNNNNNNNNNNNNNNNNNNNNNNNNNNNNNNNNNNNNNNNNNNNNNNNNNNNNNNNNNNNNNNNNNNNNNNNNNNNNNNNNNNNNNNNNNNNNNNNNNNNNNNNNNNNNNNNNNNNNNNNNNNNNNNNNNNNNNNNNNNNNNNNNNNNNNNNNNNNNNNNNNNNNNNNNNNNNNNNNNNNNNNNNNNNNNNNNNNNNNNNNNNNNNNNNNNNNNNNNNNNNNNNNNNNNNNNNNNNNNNNNNNNNNNNNNNNNNNNNNNNNNNNNNNNNNNNNNNNNNNNNNNNNNNNNNNNNNNNNNNNNNNNNNNNNNNNNNNNNNNNNNNNNNNNNNNNNNNNNNNNNNNNNNNNNNNNNNNNNNNNNNNNNNNNNNNNNNNNNNNNNNNNNNNNNNNNNNNNNNNNNNNNNNNNNNNNNNNNNNNNNNNNNNNNNNNNNNNUAGUAGACCAGAUAUUAUGCAGAGUGUUUGUGUAUGUGCUAGAUACCAAGCUAAUCCUAAAGAAUCUCAUUUGACUGUUGUUAAGAGAAUUCUAAAAUAUCUUAAGGGAACUACUUCCUUUGGACUUUGGUAUCCCUCUGAUGCCUCACCUAGUUUAAUAGGUUACUCUGAUGCAGAUUAUGGUGGUUGUAAAAUUGAUAGAAAAAGUACUAGUGGAACCUGUCAUUUCUUGGGUUGUUCUUUAGUGUCAUGGCACUCAAAGAAACAAGCAUGUGUAGCUUUGUCUACCACUGAAGCUGAAUAUAUUACAGCUGGAAACUGUUGUGCCCAAAUUUUGUGGAUGAAACAACAACUGGAAGACUUUUAUAUCUUCCUUGACAAUAUUCCUUUAAAAUGUGAUAAUACUAGUGCUAUAAAUCUAACCAAGAACCCCAUAAUGCAUUCAAGAACUAAGCACAUAGAAAUUAGGCACCAUUUCUUAAGAGAUCAUAUUCAAAAGGGGGAUUGUCAAAUUGAAUAUGUUGAUACCUUGCAUCAAUUAGAUGAUAUUUUCACCAAGGCUCUACCUAAAGAUAGAUUUUUUGAGCUUAGAAGAGAGUUAGGAGUGUUAGACAUGUCUAAGGAUCAAAGUCUAUGCAAUUUUUUGCAUUUUCGUAAACUUAACGCUUCAUAAUCGAUUAUCACAAGGUCAUAAUCGAUUAUUCAAUCAUAAAACUCAAAACUGGAAAAUUUUGAGCAGAUAAUCGAUUAUCAUCAGCCAUAAUCGAUUAUCGCGCUGUCAGUUUCAAAAAUAGAGUCGUUGGAGCGUCCAAUAACGGCUAUAAACGACUAGUUUUUCCAUUUUUCUUAUAAAUAGCCCCCCAUAAUCGAUUAUUAGACACCUCUUUGCACCCAAAUACUGCUGAAAUCAAAUCCAGAGCUCAAAAUCUCUUCAUUUCUCUUCACCUUCUUUAAAUUUCAUUUUCUCAAUCUUCAUCCAUGGCUGAACCAAGAAGGCAUCGUCGCAAGACAGUUGGAGCUUCCUCUUCUUCUCAACCACGUCUUGCAAACAUAGAUGGAUGGGUUUCAGAUCAAGGGAAACAUGCAGACUUUGUAAACUCUUGGCAGGAAAGGAAAAUCAUGGCGGUAAAGUAUAUCCGUCUUGACUUUUUAUGAUUCUAUGGCUUUCAAUUUCCAAACAUUUUUGCUGAGCAGGGACUAACGCAUCUGGUAGAGCAAAAAGGAUGCAUUUAUCCCGAUCUUAUAAGAGUCUUCUACUUCAACUUGCGCUAUCGGGAUGGGAUAAUAUCCACUAAGGUUAAGGGUGUACGCAUCAUUUUAGAUGAUGACGUGUGGACCAAUGUUGCUCAACUUCCCAUCUGGGAUGAUGCUGUCAAAGUUCACUUAGGACUUGAAAAUUUCAACAAGAUGAUGACUUUCCAAUCCUUCCUGCGUCAUCCUGAACGGCAAACAAAUAGAAGGCAAUUACUAGUUGGAGGUUUCAAAGUUGAAGAAAGGAUGAUCCACUACUUGAUUGUUUGGAUUUUAUGUCCUAGAGCAACCAACCAUGCUCAAUGCUCUGAGCAGGAUCUACUUCUUUUGUAUGGGAUUCUAAAUCACAUACACAUCAACUGGCCUGCUCUCAUUGCUGACACAAUGGUAAAAGCCAAAAAAUCUCAUUCAUAUCAAUUUCCCUAUGCUCUUCUUAUUUCUAGGAUUUUAGAAUACAAAGGUGUAACUGUUGAAGGAGAACUAGUUCAAGCUAUUGAAGCUGUGGGAUCAGAAAUUGGAGAUACUACCUUUCGUCAGAUGGGAUUCAUUACUAGAGGAAGAGUUCUUAUUCACAAAGAUGAUGAUCAUCCUGAUGAAGAUGAAGAUGAUGACAUAGACACUCAUAUGGCUGACCCAGUGAGUGUUGCUGCUCCAUCUGAUGCUGGACCAUCUAACAUACCUUCCUCUUCCUCAACUUCUAUGGAAGAACACUUUGCAAGGUUAUCUAAGCAAUUGGAGGAUAUGAGUCUAGCACAGAAGACACAUUUUGAUGACGUUUAUGAGUGGCAGCAAUCUCUUGAUGAAUACAUGGUUGAUCAAUUCCUUGAGCUUGAUGUUCGCCUAUCUAACAUUGAGAGUCAUCUCAAUAUCCCACCUACUGAAAGAUCCCAUAGUCCUGAAUUCUAGAUUUUAGGCCACUAAGAUUGUUUGUUAUGUUAUUUUCUUUGUGGUAUUUAGAAUUGAUCUUUAUGAAUUUCAUGUAAUUUCCUUUCUGUUCUUAAUAUAAUGAGCUUUUAUGUCAAUUUUAUGCAUAUAUUAUAUAAUUGAGGGGGAGCUCAUAUUAAGGGGGAGAUUUUUACAUUAUUCUUUUUUGCUUAUGAUCAAAAAGGGGGAGAAGAAAUAUAAGGGGAGAAUUAAGGGGAGAAAUAUAUUACAGGUAUUGCUAACUUUGUGUUUGUCUAUUAGCUUGUAUGUGUUGCAGGUAAACCAGAGUUGCUUUUAAAAAGAGAAUUUUUUAUCAUCAUCAAAAAGGGGGAGAUUGUUACCAAUAAGGAGUAUUGGUAAAACCUGAAGAUGUAUUUUGAUGAUGCUGCAACUUGUAGAUUUUGAAUGUAGUAGGAAAAUAUUAAACCUUGUAAUUUUUACUGGAAUAAUCAAUUAUGGACAAGCUAUAAUCGAUUAUCACAUGCUUUUUGUACUAGAAUAAUCGAUUAUCAUGAAGCAAUAAUCGAUUAUCAGAAGUCAUACUUGAAUAAUCGAUUAUCACUUAAAAUAAUCGAUUAUCACUUUUUGAAAACUCUGUAACGAACACGAAUAAUCGAUUAUCACUUACAAUAAUCGAUUAUUCAUGGCAAUUGGGAGCUUACCUUUGGCAUUCAGAGUACUUGGCUAUAUAUUUGUUUUUUGAAAUCUUCAGAAGCAACGUUUUAAACUGAGAAAGCUAAUUAGAACACUGUGUGUCAGAGUGAAGUUCUCAGAAAGCUUUUGUUCAUUGUUCCCUUGCUUGGUCUUGUGAAAGGAGAGGCUCGCAUAUCGUGUGUCGAUAAUCGGAGCAGACUCUCUUCAAGUUAGCAAGGUGCUCUGCGUGGUCUUGUGAAAGGAGAAGCUCGCGAAUCGUUGGUUGAUUGCCGUAGCGGUUCUCUUCAAGUUGGUAGAGUGGUUUUCUUCGUUUUAUAUUUUGUUCAUUUGAUUGUAAUCUGCAAAAUUGUUUUUAGUGGAACUGUUAANNNNNNNNNNNNNNNNNNNNNNNNNNNNNNNNNNNNNNNNNNNNNNNNNNNNNNNNNNNNNNNNNNNNNNNNNNNNNNNNNNNNNNNNNNNNNNNNNNNNNNNNNNNNNNNNNNNNNNNNNNNNNNNNNNNNNNNNNNNNNNNNNNNNNNNNNNNNNNNNNNNNNNNNNNNNNNNNNNNNNNNNNNNNNNNNNNNNNNNNNNNNNNNNNNNNNNNNNNNNNNNNNNNNNNNNNNNNNNNNNNNNNNNNNNNNNNNNNNNNNNNNNNNNNNNNNNNNNNNNNNNNNNNNNNNNNNNNNNNNNNNNNNNNNNNNNNNNNNNNNNNNNNNNNNNNNNNNNNNNNNNNNNNNNNNNNNNNNNNNNNNNNNNNNNNNNNNNNNNNNNNNNNNNNNNNNNNNNNNNNNNNNNNNNNNNNNNNNNNNNNNNNNNNNNNNNNNNNNNNNNNNNNNNNNNNNNNNNNNNNNNNNNNNNNNNNNNNNNNNNNNNNNNNNNNNNNNNNNNNAAGUUUUAUUCCGCUGCGUUAUACUCUUCGAAAAAUACCCCCUCCGAUACCAACAAGUUUCACUGUAGAAGUCUUUCAAAAACUUUUUGAAUAUAAGAAUGCUAUGCACCUAGAAACCAAACGAAGGUUUAUCUAUAUGAUAGCGCACCUAGGUAUCACGGAGACGUAAAACAGAAAUAACAACAAGCAAAAUUAAAGAAAGAAUGCAAAUGAAAAGGAAGAAGGAGGCAUGACCCUAAGUGAAAAUGCAAGUGACACUUAGAGCCACUUGACACACUUUCACCCAAAGAUGCGCAACUAAACUAUUACAAUGUUUAAUGGAGGACUUGGAAUUGCUUGGAAAUAAUUUUCCCAAGUCACACAAGUUUCAAAAAGGAAAAACAAUUAACAACAAAGGUUUCGUGAUACUAAGCCAAUAGUACAAGUAAAAGUGUUUGCAAAUAAACAACCAAGUGUGGCUGAUGUUUCAUAUUGCUGGAAUGCCAAAUUUUUUGGUAUGUUUUGCUACUGAAAAAAGGGCUGGAACAACAAUGUUCAAGUUCUCUUGGAGUCCAAGCUUGUGGCAACUUUAACAAGUCUUCCACUCCUUAAGAUGCUACCCCUUUGGAGAAACAAUCUAGAUAGUUAAAACUGCACCAUAAUGUCACAACAAGCCAAACAAACCAGUAAACACAGUUAGCACAAAACACGUUACUACAUCAGUUUUUCUUUCCAAACCAGGUUGCACUUUGGCAUUUUAGCAAACAGGUUGUGUACAAAAUUUCCAAACAAUGUAAAUCAAGAAAUUAAGGGCUGGAAAGGCAGGAUGGCACACAAAAGGAACAUAUGAUAUGCUUUAGAGUAGAUCAAUAAAACAAUUAAACGAAAACAAGCUGCAAUGGUGUCGAAAUCGAACUCAAUACAAAGUGGACAAAUCUGUUUGACAAAAUGCCCCAAAGGGAAACCAGAUUUGUGUCUAAAAAUUUCUGAUGUUGCUGAUGCAGAUUUGUUUAAAAUGGAUUGUACUGGUCUAGUUGAUUUUUAAAAAUGUGGUUAAUGAUAUUUUGAGGUAUAAUGCAAUAUUUGUGGUACCAAGUUAUUUCUACAAUCCAUACACAAUUGUGAAAUGCACAAAUCAAAUUCAAAACUUUUGCAGCAGCUGAUUUCUAGAGAAAAUAGGCUUAAAAUGGCUUAUUUGAGAGGCAUUUUUGUACAGAGAAAUUUAGACACCUAAUUUGAUGGUUGGAGCAACUUUGUAUCAAUAAUUUGAAGGUGUUCAAACAGUCAAACAGCCAAGAAACACACUAUAGCAGAAAUUGACUAGUUCACUUCCAAAUUAAAGCAAAUUUGAUGGUUUAGGAAGUGAUUUUGCACAUCGACUUAAAAUGGACCAAAUGAACAGUGCAUACAUGUUUCAAAUGGUAAAAUACAAUUACACAAAUGUUCACAAUGCACUGAAAUGAACAGAUUUGACAAAACACCUCUACUGUAGCCAAUUAUGCAACACUUUUUACACAAAAUUUGCACUAGAACAAGGGUGACAAUAGUAACUACAGUAGUCAAAAUGAAUUGCAGUGUACUCAAGGCUUAAAGGAUACUUCAAACAGGUUUAUAUUAUCAAAUGGAAUGUGUGCAAACUGUGAAACAAUGAAGACAAAGUCCAGUUCAAAAUUUCACUGGUUCACUUCCCAAAUUUGACAAAAGUUGGCUGUUUCAAAUGUGAAGUUGCACCAAACGCCGAAAAAUUACAAAUUCAACAGUUCACACAAGUUUGUACUGAGCAGAUACACUUAUACAAAUGUUCAAAUAGUACAAAUAGACACAAAUUUCCCAAAUGACAAUAGCAAUUGCUUAAAAUGUAUAAAAAUAAAGUUAAAUUACAGUAGAAUGAAAAUUUCAGUAGAGUCAAUGUUGGCUAGUUCAAUCAAAUGCAGAGGAAUUAUCCUAAUCAACUAGAUCUAGUUGCAGAUGAUCAACUAGGAGAUAUUAAGUGACCUCAGAUUCAACAAUGACAAAAGCACGGUGCAAAACUUGUGGACAACGUUUGACAAUUUCUGAAAACUUGAAAGUAAUCAACUCAAUCAUUCAUUUGGCAAAUUUGUGAUUCAUAUGAGUUAUGAUACUUCUAGCAAUGCUUAACAACACUAAAGAAACUUGUUCAAAGCUUUAAAAUCCAGAAAUCUGAACAGAAACAGAUUAUAGCAAAUCAAACUAGAAAAUGAUUAUUCUGCAAAAUUUGGAUUGGAAAAAUCAAUGUGCACUGGUGUAAGCUCAAAUGAUCAAAGUUGGACAUGAUGUCAUUGCUUAUACGAUCAACAUAUAGCUUGCAACAAACUGGACACACUUAAAAACUGAAAAAUUAAAGUUGGAGUGGAUUGAAACCAGUGAAACACGACAAUCACUUGCACAUGAUCGAACAAAAUUGGAAAAUGAAAAUUAAAAGCUUAAAUGACGAAAACCAAUGAACUGCACCGAUUAAAAUAAUAAAGAAACAGUAAGGAACAGUGAAAGAAAGCAAUUAUCCACUCAAACACAAAAUCAAACCAGGAAAUGUAAUGGAACAGUGAAAACAAUGAACAAAACAACACGAAAGAAAGAAAAAUUGAAAGAAAUAAUACUUAGCUCUUGAAGCAUGGUGUGGAUUCAACUGGCUCUAGAUGUCAAAUGAUGGAAGCGACCUCCACCUUCAAGAAUGGAGUGGCUCCUUGAUUCAGAAGUGGCAGCGGAAUGAAGAAUGGAUUGGAGAUGUUCUGUGAUUGCAAGGUGUUUGUGGUAAUGUGUGACUAUGUUUGGAUGUGGUGUGAAGUGAAGUUCUAACUCAGAAAGCUUUCCUAAGGGGAAAUGAGCUAGAGGGAGAGCAAGCUAAAGAGGCUCUAAGUUUGAACUCGAGAGAAUGGAUGGAUUUUGGCAGCAUUUCAUUAUCAUACUCAAGUUAUUUAUACAAGAGAUCAAGCUUCUUUUUUAUAGAUGGAGAAGAGUAAUGAGUCGUGUAGAGGAAGCUACGGGAAUGUGCAAAUACAUGUGUUGAAAAUGCAUAUCCCACGUGGAUUUCAAGCUCUAUGCCAAACACUUUUAUCACGUGUUUAAUGAGUUAAAUGCUGACUUUGAUAUGGCUAAGCGAAGAAGGGUUUUGGUUGGGCACCCUUCUUUUCCUUUGAUAUUUCAAGGCAUCUUUUCAUUCAUCUUUAGCAUUCUUGUUGAAUUCUGUGUGCCUUCCUUUGCUUGGCCAUCUUUGGCAAGGUUUUCCUCCUUUAUUUGGUGAUCUACAAAACAAAAUAAAUGUAUCUUAGGUAAAGAGAAUCAUGCUAAGACUUAGAUAAGGAAAGAGUUUUGGAAAUCUUUAUUUUACUUCCCUUUUUUUAGUCUUAGUUGUAGUUGAUACUUCUUUGGAUAGGAAGUCCCUAAAGGGGUUGCCAUCAGUUAGGUUUAAAAAAAUGAAAUUUUUUAAUACGGACCAAUUUUCAACCUAGCUCACUUAGAAUCCAGCUUACUCGGGUUGAACUCGAGGUGAGUCGGGUUGAUUCACCAACCCACCUAAUUUAAUUUAAUUAUCUAUUAUUUUGUGUUUUAAUAUUAUUAGUUAACAUUUUUUUAUUGUAUUGUAAAUGGGAAUAAAGAAAAAAAUGUUUUAAGAGUGCAAAAUAUUAUAAAUUUACCCAUUAAGAUUCUAAUCUUAUAACUAGAUAAGUGAUACAAAAAUUAUCAAUAUCGUAAACUUACUAUUCGCUUUUUGGGUUUGCUUUUUUAUUAUAUUUAAAUUCUAUUAAUUUUUUUAAUUGUCUUUGGAAUUUAACAUCAUUUUAGAGUGAAAUUACUUAAAUUUAAAUAAAAAAAAAUUAUUUAGAAAAAAACUUGUAAUUAAGUGAAUUAGUAAGUCAAUCCCUUUAACUCACCAACCCAUGAUAGACUAGACUAUAUUGGGUCAAGUGGUCUGUUUUGACAGCUUUCAAAAUCUAAUUUAAAAAAUCAACGAAUUCCAAAAUCUAAUUUACGAAACCAUCCAAUUUUAAAAUCGAAUUUAAGAAAUGACCUAAUUUAAAAUCCAAUUAAAAAAUCACUAAAUUUCGAAAUCAAUUUUAAAGACUUAUUGAAUUUCAAAACCGAUUUAAGAACUUACCAAAUUUUGAAAUACAUUACUUAUUUAUCUCAUAUUUUAAAACCAUAUUUAUUUACACUAUUUGAUACAUUUUUGCUUCAAUGUUAACUGAGAAACGCAUUUGAAACAACAAAUAAAGUUAAAAAAAUUUGAUAAAAAUUGACUAAAACCAGAGUUUUCUAAAGUUGAAGGAUUAAAUUGUACCUUAGUUUGAAAGAGGGACUAAAACCAAAAUCUCCCCAAAAUAUAGGGACUAAAAACAUAUUUAACCCUUAAUAAUAUCAUAGUUUAUAUAAUACUAUUAAUCAUAUUAUAACACAAUAUAAUAAUAUUAAUGAUAUAAUUUUGCAUGAUUAAUUAUUUAUCAAUUUUUAGUAUUUUUAUUUAUUAUAAUCAAAUUCAUUCGCGAAAACAAAUUGUAUGCUUUAAAUAAUUAAUUUAAUUUAUGAUAUUCCUUCAUACUCAUUAAUAAUAAUUUAUCUAGUUCCAAAUUAAUAAUAAGUUGUUGUAUGGUAUUGUCUAGAGCCGUCAAAAUGGGCCACAACCCGCGAGCCAACCCGGCCCGUCACGGGUUCGGGCCGGGUUGGGUUUGAAAAAUACAACCCACUUUUAUGCGGGUCAGAUUUCAACCUGGCUCAUUUAGACCUGGCUCAUGCGGGUUGAAGCCGUGGUGAGCCGGGUUGGCCCACCAACCCAUCUAUCUAAUUUUAUUUUUUUAAUUUAUUAUUUUAUUUAUGAAAUACUAAAAAAAUAAAAUACUUUCUUCACUCACUGUGUAUACCAAAAAAGUAACCUCUGCUCUCACAAAUCACUCUCAUGGUACUUGCUUUCAUUUGACGGUGCUCUCACCCUCACUUCACUAAAAUUCUUCUAGGAGCAGGUAAAACGCCCUUCCUUUUUUCUUCUCUUUUCUCCACAUUUUUGUUUUCUCACUUCUCUUUCUUUUUUUUUUUNNNNNNNNNNNNNNNNNNNNNNNNNNNNNNNNNNNNNNNNNNNNNNNNNNNNNNNNNNNNNNNNNNNNNNNNNNNNNNNNNNNNNNNNNNNNNNNNNNNNNNNNNNNNNNNNNNNNNNNNNNNNNNNNNNNNNNNNNNNNUUUUUUUUACUAAUAUUUUUUUAUUGAUUGUCGGAAUUGUUCUGAUAUUAGGAAAAUCUUUAUUAGUGAAUUUGGAGACAACAAGAACAAGGGUCAAGGGUUACAACAAGAACAAAAAAUGAUGAAUAUAAGAAACUUAUUUGUAUGAUUUUUGUGUUUGUUUCUGAAUAAUAUUUGGAUUAUAUUGUACUUUUUAUUAUUAUUUUGAAUUCUCUUUAACAUAAUUUGUUGGGAGUGAAAAUUGUUUAAAUUUAAAUUACAGAAAGUUUGUAUUUUUUAUUAUUUUAAAAAAAAUGUAAUUAAAUGAGCUAGUGAGCCAGCCCGUUUACCCACCAACCCAUGGUGGGUCGGGCCGGGUUCAAGUUUUUCUGACUCGCUAAUAAAUGAGCCGGGUUGGGUUGGCUCACUAAGUGACUAACCCGUGGUGGGCCAGGCCGGGUCAAGCCGGGUUACCCGUUUUAACAGCUCUAAUAUUGUGAAACGUAAUGUUUCCAACAACUUAUUAUAAGUUUAGAUAAUAAUAUAAAAUUAGAGUUCAUACUUUUAUUAAGUUUCAAGUAAUUUGUGGUUCAAUUUUUUUUAACUUAUUUUAAUUUUUAUAAACACUAAUUAAAUUUAUUUCGAUAAUUAAUAGGUCAGAAAUUUUCCCAUGUAUACAAUACAUAGAUUAAUAUAUUUACAAUUCAACAGUAUUAUUUAAAUAAUGGAUUACAUUGGAGCCAUUCGAUUCCUUAUCUAUAUUAUAAAUAGAAACCCGUUUAAAAAUUUUAUAUUUAAUAAGUUUAAAUUUUAAUAACUAAUAUUAAUAAAUAUUAUAUUUAAUUAUAAAAUGAUAAAAAAUGAAUACAAAUAUUUAUUGUUAUAUUUAUUUAGUAGUACUUAAUUUGAUUCUUCUGAAAAUAAAACAUAAUAAAUACAAAUAAUAAUGAAGCAUAACUAAGUUUUUGAAGAAAAUUAAAACUGGAUACAUACUAUAGUUGGAAAUUUGAUUUAGAUCUCCUCCAGUUUUGAAACCUAUUAUUUAUUUAUCAUUAAUUUUCAAAUUUUUAAUUUUUUUCUUGGAUUUCAAAAUUUGAUAUUUAUUUCUCUUCAAUUUUAAAAUUGUUAACUGUGACAUCCCAAAAUAUAUAACAAUGUAUAUAUAUAUAGAAUGCAAAUUAUAAUAAUAGAAAGCAGUAAGAGUAGUAGAUGAGAGUAUAUAAGCUACAAUCAUCCAAAAUUGAGAGGAAAUUUAAAACUUUACAAACAUAAAGUCUUUCAAAAUAUAGGAAAUAUGUAAACUAGAUCCUAAAAGCUAGGGGCUGCCUCAUCUCCCUCUAGAGCUUGCUCCAACGGAACAUCAUUUGCCUCUGCUCACACCCAAAGUUGGAUGAUCAUCGCAAAAAGAGAAAACCAUACACAUGCAAAACACAAACAAACAGUGCAAGGGUAAGCUAGGUUACAAAAUAUGCAAGUUAAUAUUUAGAAUUUAAAUGAAGUAUCGCGAGAAAUCAAGAAAUCAAUCAAAACAGCCUAUCAUGGUAAGACAAUAACUAUACUCGUCCGGACUUAGAAUGUAUGUAGAGUUGGGGCAGGUUGUGCACUUGUGGUGGCCUCUACUGCUUUGCAAAGCCAUUGUCGAGGGGUUUCACCCGACCACACACAAGGUUAGUCCGUUACCGCGGAAUAGACCUCCAGUGAUAGCGCCUACCUUAGGACCUCCCACUACUCUCACCACACGCGUCAAUCCUCUCUAAGUGAGAAUGAAAGACCGUUAGAGUGUUAGGGAUAACCCCCCAUAUGGAAGCCUCUUACAUUCAUUCUAACACUAAAUGAUCUCACCUGGAGAUCUUACUUUGAUUCCCAAGAUUUUUCCAUAUUCAUCAAGUUAUACUCUUCUUUGAAUUCCCAACACAACAUAUUACAAUUAUAUAAGCAUCUACCAUAUCAUUCCAAACUAUAACCAAAAACAUAUAUCCUUAAUCAAACAAGCAAAAGAAGGAAUGAAUCAAAACAGGGUGUUCCACAACUAGGCUGUAAAAGUUUCCACACUCUGUGGAUUUAGCUUGAGAAAACUGAAGGCAAAACAGAAAGCUCAACAGGUGAGUUGUGGUUUUUACCACAGGAAUUUGCAGAAUGGGGAUUUCUCCAUAGGUUGUGAUGUUUUCCAGAAACAGUUUCUAAUUUCUUCUAUGACUAAUUUAAAGAGAUCAAGAUUAAAUAAAAAUUGAAGGAAGUUACGUAGAGGGAAUAACCACUCUCUAAAAAAAAUUGAUGCAAAAUGAGGAGAAAAUUUCUAGAAGGAUUUCUAGGAGGAUUUAUAGGAGAAGAUUUUGAAAACGUAAUUGGAUAUAUAGGAUUAAAAACGUAUCAAAAAGGGAACACACAUAAACAUGGAGACGGCUUCAACGCUUUUUCUUCUUCUUCUUCUUUUGGUUUCCAACCAACAAUUCAAUAUCAACAUAACAUUGAAUCCAAACAGUUCAUCAACAUCAAUUUUGCAGUUAAUACCAAAACAACCAACAACCUUUGAUUCAAUUAGGAAAAUUCACAAAUUUCAUAUUAACUAAAAUUGAAGUUCAACAUAGCAUAUUCACAUGCAAUCUAUCACAGUUCUUACUAAAUCAAAAUCAUAAAAGUCUAAGAAUUUCACAUAAUAGCACAAACACCCUAGCUUCCCUUACCUUUGAUUCCCGCAGCUAAACUCAAGAGGACCCUAAACGCACCUUGAUGCUUCCAGAAUCGCUAUAUUCACCUAUAAAUCACCAUUUGGUGAUAGAAUUCAAAUUCAAAAGUUUUAAUUGAAACUAGAAUUGGAAAAGAGACACAAUGGGCUACAUGCAACAAACUCAUUACAUGAUUAUAGCCCUAAAUUGCACAGAAAAGGGGAAAACACUUACUAGUUGAAAACGAAAAUUCAAUCGGUUGAAGUUGGAGUUUACGGCGUCCAGAUUCCUUAAACUUUCUCAAACUGUGAAAUGGUUGCUUCAGUAGAGAAUGGACCUAGAGAGAAGGUGGAGAAAGUUGAAGAAGGGAACGUUAGAGAGAGAAAAGUGUUUUUGAGUUAUGCACCAGAUACGUUUUCCUUUUUGCCUCCAAUUAAGUGCCUAAUAUAUUUUUAAUUAUUAAAAAAAUUGGUUUAUCCCCCAAAGACCCUCAUCAGCCCCCUCUUUUAACUUAUUCCAGGUUAUUACAUUCUCCCCAACAACAAAAUUUUCGUCCCCGAAAAUUAAGACUUACCAGAGAACAGGUGAGGGUAAUACUUCUUCAUCUCUUCCUCUAAUUCCCAAGUGGAAUCGCCCGUCUUGUUGUCCCAAAUGACCUUGACAAGUCUAGUAGUUUUCCCGUCGAGUCGUUUGGUCAUCCUAUCAUCCACUCUGAUUGGCUGCAUCUCUAUGGAAAUAUCCUCCUUGACUUGCACAGUGUUAGCUUCUGGUAUGUGUGAAGGGUCAGGGACAUAUUUCCUCAGUUGAGAAACAUAAAAGACUGGGUGGAGGUGAUAAAAUGGUGGAAAAAUUAGUUAACUGUUUAGGGGAGAGUAUAAAUAAUUGAUUAAUGAUUUCGAAAGAGGAGUAUUUAGGUAUUAUCGGUUUAGGGUAGAGACUAGACUGCUUGGUCAGUAAAGUAAAGAGGCUUUAUAGGAAUCAUUUACUAGAGUUUUCUUCUUAAUUUACCAUACCGGUGAGAUAAGAUAUCUAUAUAUAUAUAUAUAGAGUUGACGAUUUAGAUUUCCUGAAUGAAGAAACCUAAAGAAAAUACUUCACCUCUGACCCCUAAAUGAUUUAAUACACACACCCAAACACAUACUAAAGCAGAGAGCAUGGACUGAAAAAGUAAAAGUAAAGGAACGAAAUUUUCAUGGCAAAAUAACAUUCCCAGAAACUCUAGAACACUUUUUUUUUUUUUUCCACAUUGCUUGUAAGUAUAAUUUAAAAUAACAAUAUAUAUUUGAAUUAUUAGAAGGUAGAAAAUUAUGCUGCCAAACCCAAAACUACUUGUCAUUAACUUAUGUCUUAUUUGAUGUUGUUUGAACUUAUUUAGUAGUAAUGAACCAGCAGACUUGUUGUUUUAUUAUUGAGAUUUACAGUUUUGCAUUAUUAUCGAAUUACAAUAUUUGAUCAUUAUGUUAUUUAUAUGUAUUUUAAUAAUUUUUUUUUAUAUGAAAUCUUAUGAGAAGAGUUAACGGACCUCUCAUAAUUUUUCGUAAAUUCUCUAGUUUGAUAACAUUAGUGAGCCUCCACUGCAAAUGUGAGUUCUUUUCCUACCCGUAAAAAUUGGUGACAUGCUCCAGUAACAUACCAGCUGCAUAUUGCAAUUUAUGGUUCAUACUUAUUUCAUGUUUGGCCUAACUUCUUUGGAGCUAAAAAAAAACUUCUAAAAUUUAAAGUUGAAAAUAAGAAGUUUAAACUUAAAAUUAGAGUUGUUUGCUUACUCUAUAUUUUAGGCUUAGAAAUUAACUUCUUUUUUUUCAUAAAAAAAAACUAACUUUUGAAAAGUUCAAUUUCUCAAGUCUACCUGGAGCAGCUUCUCCUCUUAAGGAGGAGUUCAAAAUAAGCUGGGCCGAAAACUACCCCUUAAUAGGAUAACUAAGACGCAAGCAAUCAAAAGAGUAGAAUUAAUAAUUCCAAUACCAUGUCUUUCAGGUAUGAGUGCAUGAUCAAAAUCUCUCCCAACUCUCCAUAGUAGGAAUCAAAAUAUGUUUUCAAUGAGGAACAAAAGAUAAGUAAUGAGUAUGCCUAUCAAAUAUUUACUACAUCUUUUAUUUUGUUCCCCUUUUGGCCAAGUAUUAUAACCCUCAAUGGCUAGCAUUGGGUUCAAAAAAGCACAAUUUAGCUACAAAAAAAUAUGGAGAAACAAUUCAUCAAUUGUUUUUUUUUUUUAAUAUUUAGUUAAAACGGUUCAGCUGAAUUGAUAGCAGACGCUGCAUUUUGUAGGCAUGAAGAGUAUUGAUAAAGUUUGGUUAUCAAAACACGUUCUAGUAAAGAAAAACGUGGCUUUUCUAUUUACAGAUCAUGACCCUACACUAAAGAUGAACUAUACAGCAGCUUCUUUUUGCAUGAGAUAAACACCACUAAAUUUACCAAUAAGUUGGGUAGAGAAAUAACAUCAACAGUCAAAAACUUGAGGUGGCUCUAACAAGAAAAAAAUCAAUAAUGUUUCCCUAAGGCAUGGUUGCACCGCAAUGACAUGCAAAAACCACAAUGGAAAACGAUAUUACUUUCUGAAUGCCAUAGCAACAUAAGAGCACACUAUUCCCUACUGAUGAAAAUUCAGUCAUAAUUAACAAUUAAAAACAUCAUGGGUCGUUACACAGGAUUCUAACUAGAAUCACAAGAGGAUGAAAAUUCAUGACUGGCGAUAGUAAAUCCGAAUCGUAGAUUGGAUCGAAAGAUCCUACGCUCAAACAAAAAUUAUACUUUUUAUGCCUAAUUAAUAUAAUAGGACCUAAAAAUAACAAAUAAAGAAAAUAACCUCUAUAUUACAACCUUAAACAAACUUAAAUUGAAAUUUCAUAACCAUGAUAAUAUAUUAUAAUUAACAGAAUAACUAUAAUAUAUUAUUAUGAAUAUUAACAGUUAAGAAAAAAAAAAGGAAGCAGUUAGGCUAAUAAAAAUAGAAUAGCUAUAUAUUAUAACAAGUUUUAUUGAAAGCGGUAUUGUAUUCAUUAUAUGAAUAUUUAUAAUUAUAUGUUAUACGCUUAAGUUCACUGAUAACUCAAAAUACACAUGCUCCUUAAAAAAAAUCUUGGCAAACCAGAAAAAGACACGACCACAAAAUGGAUGGAAAACGAAAUUUAGUUUGCAAAUGAGAGUAUAGUUUUCUAUGUUUGUUUGAUUUUCCAUUUUGCAAGCCAAAAUCCAUCUCUUUACAUGAUUGAAUGUUUAAAAUCAUAAUUGGAUAACUUUUAAUCUGAAACUAGUUAGGUCAUGAAUGUUGAAGAGAAGAAACAGUAACAUUGGGGGGUUUGGAGUAUUAGAGAGAACAACAUCAACUCUACCUAUUAUAUUCACUUUUUCAUAUCACUUCGCUUAAUAUUCAUACCAAUCAAAUCAUUUUUAUAAAAUCAUCUAAAACAAACUUUGCAAACACUGGUCAACAUCCUACUUGGGAUUGGCAGAGGAGGGCAAAAGAUACUAAAUAUAACAAAAAUCAAAGAAUACAAUAAAAGAAAGCAUAAAAGAUAUCUCAAAGAAAGGCUAGAAGAACCCAACAGAACAUAUAAAAGAAGCCAUGGUUUGUCAAAAACAGAAUAGAGGUAAAAUCACCCCUUGAUCGAGAACAAAACAGAUGUGUAAAAUAAUAGAAAAGGUUUUGGCCAAACUGCAAUGAAAGAAGAGGAGAAAGGUAGAGCUCCAAGUUGAGGUAGGAAACUGUAGGACCGUGAUAAGGGUCUAAGCCCAAAAUACAAAUAAGGAAUAAUAACAAACUAAUUAAAGAUAAAGAUAAGAUAUACAAAAUAGCUAAUAAUCUAAUAUAUCUAACAAUACUCAUUGUGAUUUGUUUUCAAUUUGGAUACGCAACAUUCUUAACAUUCUCACUAUUCUUAAUAUUCUCACUAUUCAUCCUUCCAUUUUCUUUGCACCAUUUGAAUCACCACCAACUUUCAGUUUACAGUAAGCAUUUUGGCCUAAACUUUCUGGCCUUUGAAUUGAAAUUUGAGCUAUUGCUGAAAUGUAGGGGUGUCAAAGGAAGACAACCAAGCUCACACAAUAUGGCUCACCACGAGUUGAGCUAAAAUUGAAUCAACUCAACCAAAUUUACUUUUUGGUGAGCCAGAAAUUUUGUAAUCCUGAUCAACCCAUCACGGAUUGGUGGAUUAGUGAGUUGACUCACUUAGGCCUUGUUCUGUUGUUACAUGGUCGUGAUUAAUGACUACAUCAAUCUCGUAGAGUUAGGUGCAUCCAUACGUGCAGGUGAGGAAGAAGGAGACCUAGAUGUCAUCUUCUAAAUAUUCAUAGAGAUAGAACCAGUAGUCUAACUUAGGAAGUAAGGACACUAUGGAACUGAUCGUUGAAUACAACCAAAGGUCGAAUCAGUGUAGUCAAUGUUAAAAUGAGAGUUUGACAGUAAUGACCGAACGGUAACAAAUAAAAGAACGAAAUUUGACCAUUUAGGCUUAGAGGAAAUGGUAUAACAUACCAUUUAGACUCAUCUUUCCACAGGAAAGACAUGACAAACCAGUAACUCACAGGUCAUCCUAAGGACAUCACCACGAGACUUUCCAGGCUCUGAUACCAUAAUGUAACGCCCUGGCAACUUACAGGGACUGUUGACUGCCCCCACACAUCACCACGAGACUUUCCAGUGUGCUUUGUCCUCACUCGCACACCAUCCCAGAAUUUCUCCAGGCUAAGCACGCUUAACCAUGGAGUUCUUAUGGGUUAGGCUUCCGAGAAGUAAAUGCAUUUUGGUGAUAUGGGUAGCCAAAUCAAUUCCUUUAAGCUAUCCUUCAACUGUAUAGUCCCAUACCUAUACAGUCUCCAGAUCCCUCUCAUUCCGGUGUAUGUUCGAUUCGUCCAUGUGCACCUUCCACUCGAAGCCUGCCAGGAGCCGCUCCUUGUCCGUGCCCCAUGCACCAUGCUUCUUGCACCGACGAUCACUUCCCGCCCUCGGCCCGGUUGUCACAUUAACACUCCUACCAAAUUUCAAAAUUCACUAAAUACUAAUAUAAUAGAUUUAUCUAUUACAAUUCAUAAAUGAUUUAUUAUUAAUACGAUAUUAAAACUUAUAUAAUAAUUUUAAUGAUGUUAUAACUGAUAAUAUAAUGGUCUUAAUGAUAUAAUUUUCCAUCAUUAGUUAUUGUAGUAUUAAUUUAUAAAUUUUUACUAUUUUUAUUUAUUAUAACUGAGUUCUAUCAACGAAAAUAAGUUAUAUUCUUUAAAUAAUUAAUUUAAUUUAUGACAUUCUUUUGUAUUUAUUCAUUAAUAAUAAUUGACAUAUUUUCAAAUUAAUAAUAAUUUUUUGUAUGGUACUCUAACACCAUAAUGUUUCCAACAACUAAUAACAGGUUUACAUAAUUAAAAAAAAAAAUAGAGUUUAUACAUUUAUUUAUUUUAAUUUGAAAUACUAAAACAAUAAUGGAUCUAUAUCCGAUUUCAAAAUUAAAUUUAAUCAUCCAAUUUCAAAAGUAAAAGAAAUAUAGAUGAGUGGAAUAAUAAAAGGAAGAAAACCUAAAUUUGAAUAAUCCCAUACUAUUGUUGUUUGGAGCAAAGAUGUGGCUCUCAAAAAGUGUUAGGGUUUCUCUUCUUCCUUCCAUUGCCAAGUUUCCUCCUUUUCUUCCAAUGCACAAUUCCCUCUUUUGCUCUCACUCUCACUCUCAAACUUCCUUAUACGACGAAGCCGUCUCACAAUUCAAUAACUUGCUUCGUGAGCGUCAUGUUCCUCCCAUCUUCGAAUUUGGAAAAAUUUUGGGAUUUCUUGUGAGGAUGAAGCAGUACCCUACUGCUAUUUCUCUCAUCAAGCAAAUGGAGCUCAAAGGAAUUCACAAUGACCUUGCUAAUCUCAACCUCCUCAUCAAUUGUUUCUGUCACUUACACAAAUUGGCUCUGGCAUUCUCUGUAUUUGCCAAGAUUCUCAAACAGGGUUAUCAUCCAAAUGCCAUAACCUUAAAUACACUCAUGAGAGGUCUAUGUGAUAAGGGUGAGGUCAAGGAAGCCCUAAAUCUUCACGACAAAGUAGUAGCAAUAGGAUUUCGGCUCGACGAAUUUACUUACCCGAUUCUAAUCAAUGCAUUGAGCAAAAUAGGAGAAAUUGAAGCCGCGAUCAAAUUGUUCAGAACUAUUCAAGAUCCAUCGACAGUAAUGUAUAGCAUUAUUAUUGACUGUUUACUUAAAGAGAAACAUCCGCAAGAAGCUUAUGAUUUUUAUUUUGAGAUGGUUAUCAAGGGAAUUUCUCCUGAUGUUGUUACUUAUAGUACUCUAAUUUAUGGCUUUUGCUUAGUGGGACAGGUAGAGGUAGCAGUUGGUUUUCUAAAUGAAAUGCUAUCAAAUAAUAUCACGCCAGAUGUUUAUACCUAUACUAUAUUGAUUGAUGCAUUGUGUAAGGAAAAAAAGCUGGGAGAAGCUAAGAAUGUUUUAAGUGUGAUGUUGAAAGCUUAUGUAAAACCUAAUGUCGUUUGCUUUAAUGCUCUAAUGGAUGGGUAUUACUUAGUUAAUAAAGUGAAGAAUAUUAAACAAGUAUUCAGUGCAAUGACCCACAUGGGAGUGAGUCCUAAUGUUAGGACCUACACUAUCAUGAUAAAUGGACUCAUAAGGAACGAAAGGGUGGAUGAGGCCAUAAAUCUCUUUCAAGAAAUGCCCAGUAGGAAUAUCCUUCCAAAUAGUGUAACUUACAGUACUCUUAUUGAUGGUUUAUGCAAAACUGGAAGAAUCUCUCAUGCUUGGGAUCUUUUUCAUGAGAUGCAUGAUAGAAAUCAACAAGCAGACGUAAUCACUUAUAGUUCCUUGAUUGAUGCUUUAUGCAAAAAUCAUCAUCUAGACAAGGCAAUUGAAUUAUUGAGGAAAAUGUGAAAGAAUGGGGUUCAGCCCGAUAUGUACACUGCAACCAUACUUAUUGAUGGGAUGUGUAAAAGGGGAGACUUAAUAAUGCACAAGAGAUUUUUCAAGAUUUAUUGAAUAAAGUUCACAAUCUCAACAUCUCUACUUAUAAUGCCAUGAUCAAUGGUCUUUGUAGAGAGGGUUUGCUUGAUGAGGCAUUGACCUUGUGGUCCAAAAUGGAAGACUGUGGUUGCCUCUCUAAUGCUAUAACUUUCGAAAUAAUCAUCUUUGCUCUCUUUAAGAUGGGCGAGACUGAAAAAGCAGAGAAAUUUUUGCACAAAAUGAUCGCUAGACUUGUUGAAAUGAUGAAAGGUGACACCUUAUUUCAAUAACAAGUAACAUUUAUGUGUUUGCCGUAGAAUGUGCACGAAUGGUUUGUAAAUUUUGUAUUAGAUGAGUUGGUUUAGGCUGUAAGCUCUGUUGCUGAUGUUUUCCUGGUCAAGGGUUGAUACAUUUUUAUUUUCUACUCUGCAUUUUGAUUGCUAUCAAACUUCUAUUUCUUUUGACAUUACAUUUUAUUUGUAGAAUUUGUUUAACUAAGUAGUGCAAAGGUUGAAAUCAAUGAUUUUAUUGUCUUUCAAGACCAAAACUGUGACCUCCCUCCCUAUAUAAAAAAUCUUGAUGAUUUUUCUAUUUCCAACUGUUUGAUAUUCCCCAUUCAUGUUUGUCAGAGACCAAAUAUGUUUUUUCUUUAGGGCCCUUUGCACUUCAUGGAAACAUUCCCAAAGAAUAAGCACACUUACUAAGUUUCGGGAUCUUAACCUUGGAAUAAUCAUCUUCAUGAUAUGUCUAUCCCUAAAGAACUUUUAAGUCUUUCUAAAUUCUUCCGAUAGCAAAAUCUCACAUGUCGAUUUCUUACUCUCACUCUAUUAAUUGCUGGUUCAGUACCACAAGAACUUGGUCAUUUAGCACAAUUCAAUACAUUGUCUCUCCAUAAUAAUUGCUAACUGGUUCAAUCCAUUCUGCAUUAGCUCUAUUGAAGAAUGUGGUCAGAUUUUAUCUUAUUUCAAACCAAUUUGCAGAUAUAUAACUCUGAAAUUUGACACAAUUAAUGGAAUUACAUCUAUCUAAUAAUUUACUCACAAAUUCAAUCCCUUCUGCAUUGUGCCAAUAAGAGAACUAGACUAUACCGGUAGAAUUUGGAAAUCUGAAAAAGAUAUUUGCUAGAUGAGUGUGCCUUUUUUUUCUUUUUUGUUCAUAGGAUUUGAAUUAGUUCUCCAUGUUGUUCCCACAAGAGUUAUUUGGAAAAUUUCCUGGUUUGUUUUUUUUCCCUUAUACUUUGAUUUCCCAUAUACUUUGAUUUCUUCCUCCUUAAAACCUCUGUUGUAUGAACAUUAUGCAGCCUAUUGUCUCACUUCAUAACAUGGAGAUGAUCAAGGUGAACUCUAAAAGAACUAGAGAUAUACCACUUGUUUUGUGUUGGAAGGAUCAUGGCACAACUUCCUUUUGUUCAAGUAUGGUUAUACAUAACCAACUGAUUUAGUUCUUACUUAAUUAUAUAUGUAGAAAUUACAUAAUUACAAUGAUAAAGCUCUUAGAUUAAUUACAUACCCAUAUAUAGAACUCAUAUAUUGUAUUUGUUGUUGAGUUAAGGUUGCUGAAGACUAAUCUAUAGUUUCAACAAUGGUAUUGGCACUAAGUGCAUGGCUGUCAGAGUUGGAAACCAAAGUAAUCAAAAAGACAAAUAGAUUCGUGGUUAUAACUGCCGAUGUUAAGUCCUCUUUGUGCAAAGUCCCCAACGCAGAGCUCACCAGCCUUGGAGAAAAUAAUUGGAACGUCCCCUGAUAUCAUUUUAACAUCCUCCCCUGAUUUGUUCAUGAUGUUCUUUAUCCUUGCUAAGGGCAGAGAGUGGAGCCCUGUCCUUCCAGAUAUCCCUCCACACAGUAGCCCUGAAUAUGCACCAGCUUCUUUCAUAUCUGUUCUACUUCACUACUAUGUGUUUCUGAGCUAACUUUAGUGUUAAUGUUUGCGAGCAUACUCUUAGUUGUAGCAUCAGUGUCAAGUUUCAGUGUUAUAUACACCAUUUUCAUUGAAUCCUUCACAGUUUCAUUCCAAUAACAUUGUGGGCCAAGACUAAUUUGGUUGGCCGGCUAAGUGGUUUUGUAAGAAAUAAUUAUGAAUCUUUAACUCCAACAUUAUUAUUCUAUUUAUAUAUUUGUUGCUUGUGUCUAGAAACAUUAGGGAUCGAGAACUGUAAAAUGAUUAUGUAAUGAUUUGACUUAUUUCUUGGUAAAGCAAUAUCAAUAAUGACAAGGGUUCUUCCCUACAAGUAAUUAGCAAUUUGAAACGAUUGCUUAAUCAAAGAAAUAUUUUAGGCACAGAUACAGUUUUUUGGACUUACAAUCUGCAACAAUCAGUUCUCUAAAAUUGGACCUGUCAUUUUAUUUUUGGGUCCCAAGGCCAGCCCUGGCCUUUUCUAGACUUAAGCCAAUUUUCUUAGCCUACAGUUCAAGCAGCCCCCAUGAAAUGGGUUGCCAUUCCACUAGGGUUGGUUCAACCCCCAAAUGUACAUUUUUUUCUGCACAAACAUUUCUCCACUGAUGGAGCUUCAGUACUGGCAGCAGCACAUAGUGAAGUUUGACAGCAUCACAGUUCGACGCGAGCACUCGACGACAGGACACGGUGAGUCUCAUAGGGUGUCAAACAUCUCGUGGGCUUUCUUAACCCUUUGAGACUCCUUUUUAGCUUCUUUGGAUGCUUGAGCUUGUCUGUCUUUUAACUUGUCCAGAGUCUCUUGGCAUGAUUUUAAAAGUGUGACUGCCAUCAAAGUUCUUACAUCGUUGUCUUCUAUCUCUGUCCCAACACCAAAAUUAUCUUGCAACACUAAGUCUGUGAGAAAAAAGAAAACCAGAUAGAUGAAAUGUGAAGUAUAUUAAAACAGAGAUUACCCUUUUGUGCUCUAGCCUUUAUGAAGCUUGAGAUUAUACCCAGCUCAUACCUAUUUCCUUCUUAAGCCUAGUAUAGUCUAGUUUAGAAUAUCUUUGUUUUAGUUGGUGUAGGUUUUUUAACAAUUUUUGUUUUACAAAUUCCAGCAGAUAGUUGUUUUUCCUUUAGAAUGAGUUAAUAUAGGUACCGUGUUUUUAUUCUCCUUAGGAAGUAGGUAGGUUAGUUUACAUACAACUCUAUAUUGAUGAAAUGAAUUUGCUUAGUCUAGUUUAAUUGUAGUUUUUGUUUCUGUAAUUGAAUUCUGCUAAGUCCAGUGAAUUUUCUUUUAGUUAUAGUCUAGUAGCAUAGUUAAAUUCUGCAGUUUUAAUUUUUAAUAACUAAAAAGAUAUAAUUGUAGAUUAGUUCAGUUAAUUUGAGUUUCUUUAAAUAAAGAUUAGAGCUUAGAAGUAGGAAGUUAAUUUUUAGGUUGUUCUGUUUUACUGCAGUACUUUUAGGCUAGUGUAGGGGCAUUUUCAGAUUUUGGUUUUAUAAUUAUAGAGAGUAGAUAAUUUUGAGAAUGGUUUCUAAUGGUAAAUUUAGGUUUGUUAGCAUAGUUAUGAUAAUGUUUUGGUAGUUUUAGCAUUAGGAUAUAUGUUGAUGACAAUUUUAAAAUUUUCUAAGCAACUACUCUGACAUUGCAUGCUGGUAUAAUUUGACGAGGUGCAAUGCUACAAAGAAGCUGCUAACAUAUAUUAGAAGAAUAAUAUAUAUUAGAUUUUGAUGUAUCCAAGUAUCUCACACUUAUUGGAUAUUGAUGUUUCCGCCAUAAUUGUAUAGGCAAAAGCUACGAUAUGUAUCAUUUCAACCAUUUACUGUAUCUUUGGUUUUUAGCUCAAGUAAAACCUACCUGAUAAAAUGUUUCACAUUGUUAAGGGUCUCGUGUUCAAUUGCAAGUUACUUAUUCCAGAUUUUGUCUCUUUUUUAUUCAUUUUUCCAGAUUUGCACAUUUUCUCAUCUUGCUAGCUUAGCUCUCAGUUUUAUAUUAAUUCCAAAGUGACAUUGAUUUUAUGAACUGAUUGUCUUGGGAAUUAUUUGAAGAGUUGUUUAAUUUUCAGAAAGUUGUUCAAUAGUUUUUGGAGUCUCGAGGGAUAAGUGCACAAGUUUGAAUGAAUAAGCUACUCGUGCUUUAAGUUUCAACCGUGAUGAUUUCAUGGUCUCAUGAUUGAAAGUUUUUUAUUACAGUAGGUGUCUCAGAUGUCUGCAACAAGUGAAGUUAAAGUACUGUCUUGUCAAGAAUAAGCUUGAAACACUUUUCAUGGUAUUAACUAGAUGAAAAACUUACAAAAUUGAAUAUCAUUCUAUUUACAUUUUUUAUUUGUAAUUUAUAUUUCUUUUAUGAAUUCUUGAUGCUGCUUGAGCAACAGAUUGUGAUAGCUGGUGGGUCAAUCUUUAUGGAACUGAGUUGGGUGGGUUUGUAGAGAUGCUUGCGUUAUGGUUCUCAUCUUUUUUUAAAGAUUAUCCUUUAUCUUAUGUCCAUGGUUUUUGUGAAGAUAUAAGAUUCCAUCUAAUGUACUUUUUUCAUUAUUUAAAAUCUAUUGCAUGCUUUAAUGAAGGAUAAUAGCACCAUCAAAUGAUCUUUGCCUCUUGUAUUUUUCUUUCGAAAAGGGAUUAGAUAUAGUUUUUUUAUUCUAUAAAUAUGAUGUUUUUUGUUUCAGCAUUUGAUCACUAAGAUAGUCCUUCAAUUGUCAUAUGUUUGUUUGCAGAGGUGUUUCUAUUACGCACGUCAAGUUGGGUUUGGGUUUGUUAUUAUAAAAGUGACUAUUUUUUGUUUUUACUUUUAUUAUUAUUUUUUUUAUAUUAAAAAGGAAAGCUCAUGGCUUGUCUUUAAUCAUAGGGUUUUGGAGAUAUUUGACCGUAUGUAAGGAGAGAUUUUUUUUAUCAUAAGGCUUUGGUAAUAUUUGAUAAUGUGAAAUGUGAGAUCUUUUUGAUCAUGUGAAUUAUUUUUGUCUUCCGAACUUUAUCCAAAAGGUUAAAUCGUAAGAAAUGAAUUAUUUUGACAGCUCUAUAAAAUACAUAUUAUGUGUGAGAUGAAAAAUCCAUAUUUCUAAUAGCAUAUGUAAUAUAUAUUUCUAUUGUUUAACUUCAACAAAAGAAAACAGCCACAUAUGUUAAUAAAAUAUUAUUUCUAUAACAAAUAUGUAUCCAUUGUUUUUCUUUGGUUUUAGCACCACCAUUAAUCUUUUGUUUUAUACAUAAUAAAGCGUGAACUAAUAUAUUUAUUAUUCUAUAAAAACACUAUCGUAUAAAUAAAAAUUCUCAUAACAACAAAUAUUAUUAUGCAUAAGAUAAUUUUUAAUGCAAAAUAACAUAUAGAAUUGGUCAACUCCUAAUUCAUGCUUAGCACACAAAAUCUCCUUUAAAUGUUAAAGUAAUAGUCAGUAAGUGUUUCAGGUGAAAAUUAAAGUCUUAAAUUUUCUUGCUAACAAUUUCUAACCAACUGGGUUACAAACACUGUUUGAUCAUAGUUCAAUUUUAAUAAUAUUAAAAAGAGUUUCAUCUUAUUUAUUUAUUCUACUAAACUUUAAAUUAUUUUUACUUGAGUCUUACACAGUGUCAACCUAAUCUUAGGUCUUUUCGGCCAGCCCCUCUUUGGUGUGAAUUAUGUCACGUCCACUCUUAAAUUUUCAAACAUGGUAAUUUCGAGCCAGAACAUUAAGCCCAACCUUAACAAGCAUAGUUUAUUCAUAAAAAUUGUAAAAAAUAGCAAAAGUUGCCACAAAUCACGGAAUUCAUAAGUUCAUCUUAACUUGGAUAAUUAUUUCCUUUUCAAUUUCCAAACUAAGGUUCUACUAAUUUUUAUCUUUACCAAUCAAUUCCUCAAACUUUUGUUUUAGUAUUGCAUUUUUUUAUUUAUUUUCUUGUGUUCUCUUGGAUAAAUUAUGAAUUAUUUACUCCAAUUUUUACUAUUUAUUUAAUUAUUUGUAUGAUUUUUUUACAUAUUAAGAUUAAUAUUUAAAAAAAAAAAUUAUAAGAGUUACCUUUAUUAGUAAUGUUUAUAUUCUUGCAAAGCCAAAAUGUAUUUACAAUAGUCUCCACAAGAAACACUUCUGAAUCUUCUUCAUCAUUAUAAGUUUAAGAUGUAUCUCCCUAUGAACUCUCCAACUAUUGAACACACAAGAUGCCUACAAAGACAAUUCAACAUUCAAGUUAGAUAUGUACUAAAACAAUAAUAAAUGCUAAAAUGAAUACUUAAUAAUUAUCUCGUACUAUUUAUAGUAUUAUCAUGGACUUUUACCUGGAUAGGCUUAGAUUACCUAGGUUGGAUACAUUUCUUAGACAGUUUAGGGUUUUGUUAAUGCAUCUCAUUCUCUAAUCCUUUUACUAACCUUUCUCUCGAAAUCCAACAUGGUCAAGGUAUGUGUUGCUAUUACAAUUAAGAUGUUCAUGUCGAUAGGAUGUUAUCUCGUAUUGAUUACAUCAUUUCUAUCAUAACUCAAUUUUAAUAAAUUAUAUGCUGACACUUUCUUUUAUUAUAAUAGGUUAUAUAUUCUUGAAUUAUAAUUCAUUUUAAAAGUAAUUUAUUAGAAAUUUUGUUUUAAAAUCAAAAUUUUAAACAAAAGAAGAAACUAUUAAGUGCAAUUGAGGCUUUUUCCACGUCCAAUGAAAGUAUAAGAAGAACUACAUGGUGUAAAAAAGUAAUAGUAUUAUCCUUGAUAACUUCAUUAGACUACAAAUAGCCACUCAAGGCUUGUUACACUAUGAACCUAAACUAUUUAAAAUCACUCAACCAAGCUAUUGUUUAAAAUUAUGUUCUUUAAAGUUCACAUAUUAUUAGUAAAGGCAUUGCAUUGCAACAAAUAAAAGGUAUUUUGUUCAAUUUACAAGUUAGAAAUAAAUAAGAUAACACAAGAAAAUAAAAGAGUUCAAUAUGAUGUAAGAGUUAAAAAUAUUAUAUCCUAUGUCUUAAUCCAUGAUGAGUUUUACAAAAUCUCUAUAUGUAAAAGUAGAAAAAAAAAUGUGAAAUAUACUUUAACUUAUCUAUGAGGCCAUAAAUGAUGUCAAAGGAGUUAAAAAAACACUUUAAUACAAGAGUAUGAAAUGUUCUAAUACAACAAAGAAAAUAUUUAUGAUGUGCAAAAGAAAUUUAUUCACAUCAUCAACCAUCUAGGUAAAAGUUUUGAUACCAAUGAAUUAAAUAUAAAAAAAAUUGUGUAACUUUCUCAAUUUCUUACCCUCUUUAUUCUAUCAUUGUUUUGCAAGAUUAAAUUUUUAUAAACUUUCCAAAGAUCUAAUACUAUGAUAUUAGCAAACAAAGCUUAAAAUAAACUUAAGAUUUAUUAAAAACAAGUUUUGAAUAGCUCAAAAGUUUUGAAAAUCAAAUAUUUCACGUUAAAACAAUUCACCCCUCUUAUUAAUUUCGUUCUACCCCUCCUUUUAUUCUAACACAAUUAUUCAUGAAUGAAGAGUCAUUUCAUUAGAUCAUUGCCUACAGAUAAUGCAGUGGGUGAAACAACGUAUUCCUUUUUUUAGGGAAAGAAAGUUCUUUUUCACCACACUUGUUAAGAAUCAAGAUAAAGAUUCAAAAGGGUGCCAUUCUUUGAGUGUCCUGUUAAGAAAACCAAUAGUUCAACUACAACUAAAUAGAAAACCAAUAGUCCUUCAAAAACCACCUUUGAAUCAUUGACCAUGUUCUAUGAAUGCUGGAAAUAAGAGUUGGUAAAAUUGGAUGUCACCCUGAAGAGUUAACCUUCCAGCCUCCAGGUGCAUUUUAGUUAAAGAGAGGGUUGAGGCUGAAGAUCAUCACUUGGAAAUCUUUGCAGCCAGUUCUCUCACCAGCUUAGCAGCUACCAUGGCAGUCAUUCCAUCGACAGUAUCACGUUGAGGGUUUAAUUCAACCACAUCUCCGGCGACAACAUCACCUUGAAGAUUGUGCAGGAUGUUGAGAACAUCACGGAAAGAAAGACCUCCCGGCUCUAUGUGAGACACUCCAGGAGCAAAGGCUGGAUCAAGACAAUCCACAUCUAUUGAGAUGUAUACACCUUUAACACCUUCCCCUAGUUUCUGCAAAAGAAAAUCCCAGGUUUACAUAUCACAAAAGCAGCAAAUCUCAGAACAAAAGAUAUUAAAUUCCAUCAGACACAAUUUUUUUGCUUCAAUAGAAUCCCAUUCCCUUCCCCGCCAAGGAUACAAAAAUGCAGAAAAAUCAACUUUCCAAUGAUAGUUAUGACUGUUUAUCAUAAAAAAAAAGUAGUUCAGCCAAGCAAAAUGAUUGAAAUUUUUUAUAUUCAAAGACAUUUCAGAGACGGUUAGGUUUCUGGAUAUGAAACCAAUCGAGAACGCCACACGCACACUCAAACAAGAACACAGAACAACAAAGAAAGAAUCUAUAUUGAAUUUCUCUCAACUAUACAGUACACCCCCACACCUCUAAGGGAGCCUAAUUUUCCCUCCACAGGAUAACAGAAUCCUGACUAUACAAAAGAAUUCCAAAAAACUCCCCUGUACACAAAAUAAGAGAUGAACUCUUUUCCUACGCCCUACCUAACUGCCUAACUGUUAUGAAAGUUAGGUUUCACUCUAUCAUUUUCUCCUUCUCUCAUAAACCCUCCAUACUCUAUCAUUAUCCGCCGCCUGAUGAUUAACCUUGUCCACAAGGUUGAAAUCAAGAAACUGAUCCUUGAUCAUCCCGACAUCCUCCCAAGUGGCUCCUUUUGAUUCCCCUUCCUGCCAUUCCAUCAGGACCUGCUGUCUAGUCUCCCCAUCCUACAGCUUUCAUCUUCAAUCUAUCACUCUACGAGGCCAGAAUGUCGGCCCAUCAGUUUGCAGAUCAGCUGGUAAGUCCUUUUCCACUGGUUGCGUUCCCACUACCACUUUUAAUUGUGACACAUGGAAUACUGGAUGUAUUCUGGUUGUGUCUGGCAGUAGUAGCUUGAAAGCUACCUUCCCCAACCUUACAUAUACUCUCAUUACCCUAACAUUACCCACCCCUCCAUCCACAACCUUGUCCUAAAGGUUGAAUGCAGGGAAUUGGUCCUUAAUAGUUGCCUCGUCCUCCCAUGUAGCACCUUCUCUGCCCCCUCCUUUUGUCCUUCUACCAGGACUUGAUGAGUUAUCUCUUUCUCCUUGUUGGAUUUGUCUACAGAGCUGGUCCCUUUGCUUGUAGCUCCUUAUAUCCACUUCCCUUCUCUUUCUGUUGGCUUGUUGCUUUGGACCAGGCUGGAUACAAGAUUUGAUCAAAGCAGCAACUUGUUCCCGUUGUUCUUGUUGAAAGGACGCCAUAGAUGGAUCCGCCAUUUCUUUGAGGGGUCGAUCCCCAUGUAAAUAUUGCGAAACCCAGUCAUCAAUAUGGUUCACUUUUGAUAUGGUAUCUAUCUUCUUCCUAAAUUGGGCUUCUAAAGUCUUUGACCAAUCUUUUGAUGAUAUCGCUGCAACAGAGGCCACGGCUGUCAACACUAGUGGACAAAGCCCCUUUGUAUACUGUUAUGAAUGCCUUCUCAAGUUGUCUACUUAAUCCUAUCGCCCAAGGUUUUACAAUAGCUACCUUAUUUGUUUUGCAGAGAUAUAUGCCCAUGAUUGAAAUGACAAGAAAUAGAACACUUCCUAUAACUCCAGCCAAAACAGCAACAAGAUUGCUAUCUAAUGAACCACUUGGAGAUGGGGGUACAGAGCGCGGUUCAGACCGAGAAGGAGAAGGAGAAACAGAAUCAUUUCGGUCCGUGAAAGCUGGGUCCUCAACCGAUGGUGGUGUUGUUGGGGCGGGUGAGGGAGCUUUCUUAUUUUUGCCAAUGGGCCGUUUGAUGAAUCUUCUUGUACAAGCGGCCACUUCUGCUGCCAGACUCAGUUGCCUUUCAUCGGAACGAGUAAUCCCCCUCCUUCCGCCUAUUCUCGACCUGCUUCUCAAUUUCGCCCUUCAUAAGGUGAGGAUAUCGAUAGGGUCUCACCUUUAUAGGAUCAACUCCAUCUUUGAUUUGUAUAUGGUGUUCUUUGUUUCGUGGUGGGGGUAAUCCCUGUAAAUCUCGACACAGGGGAUAGUGCGCCUGCAGCACAACCUUUAAUUGCUUUUUUUGCGCCUCUGUCACGUCGUCACCCCACUCACCGCUGUCCCCUGCCUCCACUAUGCACAGAUUCCAAACCGCAGCCCAUGACUCAGCUUCCACUAACUUCAACAAGCUCCUGGAGUUCACCAGUUGUCUCGACAAGGUUGGGUUGCCUUUUAUACAGAUUUUUUUAUCCCCCACAUUAUAAGCCAUGGUCAUUUUUCCCCAAUUGGUACUUACUUCCCCUAGCUUUUCCAGCCAUGCAACGCCCAGAAUCACAUCCACGUCCCCCAGCUCAAAGACAUAAAAUUCUUCUUCCACGUCAACCUCUUCCAACUGCACCGUCACCUUCUCACAUCGUUCACGGGUCACUCGCCGAUGCCCAUCACCCAGACUCACGAGAUACGCCGGGGUGUCCGUCAUUAGUAAUCUCAAUUCCUCCGUGAUUCGCCGGCUGAUAUAGUUGUGGCUUGCGCCACUAUCGAUUAGCACUACUACACUCCGUUCACCGAUCUUCCCCGUCAGUUUCAACGUUUUGGAAGAAGUCAACCCCUCGGCAGAACAAGCCGAUAACUCCAAAAGCUUCUCCCCCUGGUGAUCGGAUUCUUCACCCACUUCUUCCUCUUCGUCUUUCGCUAACAGCACCCUGAGACUCCUCUCGGUGCACCGGUGGCCUGGAGCAAAUGGGCCUUCGCAUCGAUAGCAUCGACCCUCUUCUCGCCUCUUGAGAAACUCGGGAUAGGGUAAGUUUCGGACCACUCUGGCUCGACCAUCACCACCAGUCGCAAGGCUCCCUCUCGCCGUCAUGCUCGAUGCCACUCCUUCUCUUCUCGCGGUUCCUCCACCCUCCGUUCUUCCCACUUGGGUCAUCCCACUUGGGUCAUCGUGGUUUUAACAGGUUCCGAUCGCGUCACGCUCCCGAUGGGUCGCGCAAUGAAUGGGUUCGUCUUAAACCCACUUGCAUGCCAACCUUGAACCCUCAUCGUCGCAUCUUCCACAUCCCUCGCUAUCCUCAUCGCCUCCAUCAAUUCAGAAAGAUUCUUAAUUCGCACCUGCCCCUUCACGUCUUCCCGUAACCCGGCCAAGAAAUAACCCAACACCUGUUCCUCCGGUAUCCCUUUCGUUUGCCCCAUCAAAACUUCGAAACUUCGAACAAAUUCUUCCAACGUGCCUUCUUGACGCACAGUGGCCAGUCCUUCGAACACCGUGCCCCUGAAUCCCCCUCCAAAGCGAUUAAUCAUGGUCGUCUUCAAUCCAUCCCACGAUCGGUUCGAUUUCGGGCCUUCUCUUUCCAAAACGUAAACCAGUACGCCGCACUCCCCUCCAUACUCACAUAAGCAAGCUCCACCUUUUCUUCAUCAUCCGUUACUUUCUGUCAAAAAACCUUUCCGCCCGAUUGAGCCAACUGAGUGGCUCCUCUCCUUCAAAGGUAGGUAACUCUACCCUCUUCCUCCAAGGUUUCUGUUCUCCUCCUUUUCCACCAUUUUCGCCCACUCCGUUCACCUUGGGUCCUCUAUGAUGAUUAUCGUUGAUAGAGCUAUCCUCCGAACUCCCUUCCGUCUGAGGACCGUGAUGGCCUUGCGUUCCCAAAAUCUUCAUCAUUUGUUGAAGGUCCCUUCGUACCGCCACCGAUUCAGCCUUCAUACCCUCCAUCGUAAUCUCAAUUGCUUCAAGCCUUGCCUCCGUCGCAUUCUCCAUCCUCGCGUCGUUCCCAAAUCGUUUGGAUCCGGCAAGUCGGACCAAAUUGAUAGGUUUCUAAUAGAGAAACCUAAUCACUGCUCAAACAAACACAUCUUAUUAGACAAUGAAAAGAAUGCAAGAAUGAAGUGGACUAUGGGAGCCUAACCUCCCCCAACAAGACUAAACAGUCUGUUCUGAAUACACGAAUGAACAAAAGUAUCCUCUCUUAUUCCACACAGCUAUUUAUACAGAUGUAAGUCUCCCGCCCUUCCUAACUGUCUAAACAGUUAGGCCAACUAACAUCAACUAACAUUUCACUUACAUUUCUUCCUCCUUACAUAUACUCUCAUUACCCUAUCACCUCCACUUGUUUUUCAAUCUCCCCCUUCACCAUAUGGGGAUAUCAGUAAGGUCGAACAUUGAUGGGGUCAACGCCCUCUUUCAAAGGUAUCUUGUGAACCAUUUCACGAUCUGGCGGUAAACCUCUGGGUUCCUGAGAAACCCUUGCAUAUUGUUCUAACUCCUCCUUCUGUUCUCUCGUCAGGCCCUGACUAGUGUUGUCCCCCAUAUUCACCUUUGUUCAUCCCAAACUCCAUACCAAUGUUACUGCCUCCACCUCUUUCAUUUUGGGUAGCGCCUCUGGUUCAACAACUUCCCUGGUGAGGGUGGGAUCUCCUUGAAUGGUCACUUUCUCCCUCCUUGUCUAAAAGCCAUUGUUAGUUUCCCCAAUUGAUGGUAACCUCUCCUAAUUUGGCCAACCAGUCCACCCCUAGUAUCAAAUCAACCCCUCCUAACUCAAAAAAAUAAAAAUGUUCUUCUAUCUCCGUUUCCCCUAUCUGCAACUCCCCUACAACAUCCCUGGGUUCUUUUCUUUUGACCAUCGCCUAGACUCACUAGAUAUGGUCUGGUAUUCUCCACUGGCAGUCCCAGUUCCUCCACUAAUUCUUUGGCUAUGAAAUUUUGGCUAGCGCCACUAUUGAUCAGUAUUAACACCCUUUUUCCUCUCACCCACCCCUGCAGUUUCAUUGUCUUAGGUUGGGUGAGGCCCCCAGUCGAGAAUGAAGAGAGUUCUAUCUGUUUCUGAACCAUCUCUUUUGCUUGUUUUGCCUUGUACUCCUCCUCCUCCUCUUCGUCUUCCCCCAGAAUCCACUCUUUGACUUCUUUCUAGGCAGUGAUGGCCACGGCUAUAGGGACCCCCACAAUGGAAACACUGGCCCUCCUGCCUCCGUUUGAUGUACUCUGGGUAUGGCAGGUUUCUCACUCCCCUGCCCGCAGGUGUCGCUCACCACACUGUUCCUCGUUCUGGAUGCCGCUGCUCCCAGAGUUCCCUCUUUCUUGGUCGCGUUCUCGCUCUCUGUGAUCCCUUGCCUCCCUCGACUGUAGCGGGUAGGUUUGAAUCUCGCAACCGUCCCCACACUACCUUGAUAUUGUCCCCACGACUGACCACUUGGUCAUCGUUCCUCCAAUAGCUUUCACCCCUCAAUACGCUUCUUCCACAUCACGCGCAACCUCCGUGGCCGUCAACAAAUCUCUCGGGUUGUCCGGCCUAAUCUGCCUCCUUACGUUGCCUUGCAGGCCAGCGAAGAAGUAUCCUAAGAGUUGGUCUUCUGUCACCCUUGUCGCCUGAGCCACCAACAUCUCAAACUCCUGGAUGUACUCAUCCACCGAACCCCUUUGUUUGAUCGUUGCAAGCCUCUCAAAUACAGUCCCUCAAUCUCAUCCCCCAAACCGCCUCACCAGGGCUUCUCACAAGUCCUCCCAAGAAGGAUUAUGGGCCUUGGCUCUCCAUAAUCGGAACUAGUAACUAGCACUCCCUUCCAUGCAAAUGUACGUCAGUCGGAGUCUUUCUCGUCCCAUAACGUUCUGUGUCUCAAAAAACUUCUCUGCACUAGAAAUCUAGCCCAAUGGGUCAAGCCCUUCGAAGGUGGGUAAGUCAACCCUCUUCACCCAGUUGAGUGGUGCCUCGCCCCUAUCACCUUCUAACUCCUUGUUUGAGCCCUCUCUCCUCCCUCUGCGAUUCGCGUUCACCGAAACCUAACUCUCCUCAGAGUUUCAUUCAAGAUUCCUUGCCCGCCCACCAAGAACCCUUGUGAGUUUUUGGAUUUUUUGUCAUAUAGUCGUAGUGUCUGCCUUCAAACCAUCCAACGUCGUAUCGACUAUUUCCAUCUACCCUUCUAACACGUUCAUCCUUCCCUCUAUUCUCCAAUCUCUCUCGCAAAACGGAUCCGACAGAUCGGACCAAAUGUUAGGUUUCUGGAUAUGAAACCAAUCGAGAACGCCACACGCACACUCAAACAAGAACACAGAACAACAAAGAAAGAAUCUAUAUUGAAUUUCUCUCAACUAUACAGUACACCCCCACACCUCUAAGGGAGCCUAAUUUUCCCUCCACAGGAUAACAGAAUCCUGACUAUACAAAAGAAUUCCAAAAAACUCCCCUGUACACAAAAUAAGAGCUCUUUAUAUGAACUCUUUUCCUGCGCCCUACCUAACUGCCUAACUCUUAUGACAGUUAGGUUUCACUCUCAUUUAACUCUUCUCCUUCUCUCAUAAACCCUCCAUACUCUAUCAGAGACAAUGUCAACAGAUACCCUUGUUCAUUUGCACAACACAAUUUGAUUCAGGUCCAAAGGUAUCUCUAAAAAACUGUUAUACAUUUCAGAUGUUUCCAAAAGGUAACAAUGUUAAGGAAAUAUCAUUAGAGAGUAUUGAUGAGUGAAUCAUUCUAACAUGUAUGACUAUGCCUUGACACCAACCAAGUAGUCAACAUGGAUAUAAUAUGUAAGGUUUAUAAUUCAUGCUUGAUAGAUGAAGAGUGAUAUGAAUUAAUGUGUAGGUGUGUUUUUGUUAUAUAAAAGAGGAAAUGAGCGAUAGAAAGACCAGAUUUUCUAAGAAGUGACGAUCUCUUGAAAAUGUCCGCAUUUCAUAUUGCUCAACUCCAAAUUUUUUGGCUUGUGCACGCCCUUCAGCUGUUAUUGAUCUUAUACCAACCUGAAAUAGAUUAAUGAGUUAAAAACAGCAUGAAGAAUACUAAUGUGUCAUGCACAACAUAGAUGAAGAAUGAAAUAUUUACUAUCAUUCAUGAGGAAAAUUGCAUCAACUUAACUACCCAAACAAAUUAACAACUAAUGUGCAGACUAAGAUAUACGUGAAAGAUUUAUCAGAUAAAUUCACUAUAAGAGAAUAAAUCAUUUUGAGAGAAUGGUUGAAUAUAAUGAACUAAUUUCAGCAAAGCAUGUUUUGCUUUGUAAAAGGUUCUAAGGAAUUCAACUAACAGUUCUAUUAACUUCGUGGACAAGUUACACACUGUUUCAGAUAAUCAGUAAUAAAUCAUAACUGUGCAAAAAGGAAUCAUAAAAUGGGAAUUAGAUUCCUUCAUUUGUGAAAUCAGAUACGUGAAGGAUUAGCCACAUCAUCCAUAUGUCCUACACCUAAAUUGGUUGUCCUCUUGCAAGGGUUCCAUAUGAUUACAUCUUGAGUCCUGAUCAAGUUAUAUUUAACUUCUAAACAAAAUCCCACCUAUUCUACGAAAAAUAAUCAGCCAAAAUGCACAAAUUAACAGAACAUAAAGGCUAAAUGAGAUUUAAGUUAUUGCAAUGUAUUAACAAAUUAAACCAUUUAUAUUACAAAUAAAUCUGCAAACAUCAAAUAAUUGCCUGCAAAAGUCGUCGAACAUAGUUGCCCUCCAUGACUCGAGCAAAAGAUGAAGCAUGUGAAUAAAUGUUUCCUUCAAAGGCAUCGUAGUUAUCAGGAUGUGCAUCAAGAUGAAGAACAUCAACAGGUCCUCCAAGCUUCUCAGAGACAGCUCGGAUAACUGGAAAUGAUAUUGAGUGAUCACCACCUAAAACUAAGGGGCGUAAUGGUUCCUGUAAUAAUGUAGACACUAUGAGAAUUAUGCAAAGCAAAGUUACAGAAUAUUAUCAGAUACCAGAAUAUGAGAAAAAUAUUAAAAUUCAAAGUAGAUUUGAUGGAAAGAAUGCUAUUAUUUUCACUAAAAAGCCCCCAAAACAAGUCAGUUUUUUGGAUAAAUAAACCCAAUAAUUAAAUAAAAGGACCUUCAAAGACUUUCUCUUGUCAUGUUACACAUGGAUCCUUCCUUACUCACGUUCAACAAUUGCCAAGAAGCCACUCUUCAUUUCAGAAAAUCAGGAUUGAAGACCAGAGUAUCUAUCUCCUUUUAAAAUGAAGUUUUUUCUUACCAAUAUAUUAAAUUGAUCAAACAAUUAAUGACAGUAAGCUUUCAAAAUAAUGCCAGUAUCAAACCUAAAACAUAAAACAAAAGAUCAAUAGUUUUUCAUUUCGUCACUUUUUCAACACUUUAUCAGGUGUAAAUCACUAUGCACUUAAAAUAAUAAGGAAAUACGAACCAAAAACAAAGAAAUGACAUAUACUGCAAGUUGUGGGUCAUGUGAUUUAAUAAUUCCAAAUAAUGUGACAGCAUUCAAAGCACAAGUUCACAAAUUUCAAAUUUACCUCAUCCAUCACUAACUUUACAGAUUCACCAAUUACAUUCAUUAAUCUGUGAUCAUCUACCCCACAAUCUCGAAUUUCUUGAAUUGGGACAUCACCAACAUCAGUAAGAACCCGUGCAUCUUGUAACUCCUUGCCUGCAUAAUCAAAAUUGUCAUAUUAUAAGCUACUUAUUAUCAAAAUUUACAUGUAAUUGCAGGCCAAAAACGAUAAUAAUGAGGGCACUGUGAAGUAACAGUGGCAGUGAUCUAUAUCCCACGAAAUAAGUUGCUUCCAUGGACACUGUAGAUUCACAAACAAAGGAUAACUAGAGACAGGUGAGCAGGCAUCUUACACAACUCCAUGCUAUCCUAGGAGGAUACAACCAAAAGAGAAGGGAGGUAACAGAAAUCCAAACAACAUAAAAUGUCAGAAUUGUUAACAACGUAAGAAAUAACAUCCAUUAUUUCAAUUUCCAAUUGGAUAUUAGUUUAAAUCUUCUACUAAGAUAACUUGAUGCAAAUAACCAAUUACCAUUUGAGUGAGUUUACAAUGCAAACUUUAACCUGUGCUAAAACCAAAAACAAUUCCAAAGAUUUCUACUUCCAAAGAAAACGAUAUGACUAUACCUUCUUCAGUUGUUGAGUUUGUGCUACCACACCAAAUGGCCUCCCUAAUGCGAGGAGGCGCAAAUGCAGGUCCUUGUAGGAAUGAUGAAUUAUGUCCCAAAGGAACUCCAAGAAGAGUUGAAGUUGCUUUAGAUCCUCCCAAAGCACGCACAAGUUCUCCCUGAGAAAAAGAGAACUCUUACAUUCACGUUACUUUCAUGCACAUCUCAAAAUCACUGAAAUAAAAUAUAAAAUUGUGGGACAAAAGAAACAACACUAAAGAAACACAAAUUCAGGAAAGAAGGAUAAAAAUAAAUAUGACAUGCCUUUAGCUUUGCUCUUUCUCGAAUAAGUGUAAGUGAAGCAUCUAUGACACGACUUUGGCCUUUCUCUAGCAUAGCAGCAGAUACUUUUGCUGCAUUUAGUGCUGGCAUGUAAUGGAUGCCUCUGCGUACUAUAUUCGACAUCUCUGUAUCAAACGAAUAAAACAAUUAAUAUAUAUCUAGAGGCCAAGUAUUUAUUUAAAUUUUACUCAUUAAAUACAAAUGGAUUUUUCUAUUGAAGAGAAGUGAACAGAGAAAUUUGCAAAUGUCAAUUCAGACUUUAGAGUAUUAGAGCCAAUGACACUAUACACAUCCAGUAUACAGAAAUCCCUAGAUCAAGGGACAUUUCGGUUUUAGAGAACAUUAUUAAUUGCAAUUUCAGUAAAAAAAAAAUAUAACACAUUAUUUUCACUUUACUUUUUGUUCUCAAAAGUUUGUAUAGGAGACAAAAAAAACAGACAACUUAUUAAUGUUAUGUUGUACAAACUUUUGAACAUGGGAAACAAAGUGAAAACGUGGUAAAAUUUAUGCAAUUAAAGGUGAAAUCAAAUAAUAACAGAAAACAUUUUCCCAGAUCAAACCUCUUCUCAACCUAAAGUCCUAAACGCACAAACAGACAUGUGACUUAAACCACUAGCAUACAUCAGGAAUCUAUUCAACCUCAAUGUUGAUCAAAAUGCUUUUCUUUUAUUCUUUCUGAGUUAAUUAUUCAAAUCAAACAUAUUACCUAUUUAGUUGUUGACAUUAAUACUAACUAAAACUCACAUGUAGCAGCAGGAAAAUACACUAGAAAAUGAACAAUACAGGGAAGGAAAAAUGAUUAAUUACAUAUGAAUUAUGUCUUCAAGCAAUACAUAUGAAACCAACAAGCAGAAACAAAAAGUAUUAGCAAUAUGAUUUAGAAAAACAUUCUUUUUGCUUUGUUGAAGCAGUAUAUUGAUUAUAGAAAAUCAUAGGCUUUCAAUUGCAAUCGUGAUAAAAAUUCAUGUAUGUACGAGAGCCAAGAGUUUUAUAUACAAGUACUCAAAAUUUCUUUAACUUGAACUCUUCUUCGAGUAGAGUACAGGAAUUCAAACUCCAACGUAUGUAAGUAUUCUCCAAGAUUUACAUGACAUCAUUAGAUUUUUGUGCGCAUCAUGUAGGAACUUCUCUCACAGAGAAUCCUAUAAACUUAGCCUUCAACAAUAAAGCCAUUCAGGGUCAUCUGACCCAGGAUUUGAUUCAACUUGAACAAGGACUGACACCUUUCCAAGUGAGGGAUGUUUCGAACGAAGAUGUGGGAGGUGUUCCAAUUACGGACAAGAAUGAGUGUACAAAGAACAUAGGAAGCCUAAAAAUGAGAUUUUUAAAGGGUAUCUGAAUCUGACUUUGCUCACAAACAGAAUAAACAUGGCUCGACAACGAUCAACGAAAGUAAGUUCCAUUGUCUGUUCUCUUACAGUGUCACACUUUUUCAAGGAGACCUAAAACUAGGGUUGUUGUUAAGGGUAUCAGAAUCUGAGUUAGUUCCAAACAUAAUAAACAUGACUUGACAAUGAUCUAUGAAAGAAAGGCUCAGUGCUUGCUCACUGACACGAACAUUGUACCACACAUUAUACAAAAAAAAUAACAACGAAUCAACCAUUGAAGGCUUUACCUUUUUUUUUAAUUUAUUCAGAGUAAAAUUGCUCCUAAGUCUUACAUAUAAAAAAAAUUGGAACAAAAAAAAAUUAAAUUGGUACAUAAUGAGGGAUUGAAUAUAGUUAGGGCUGAUAAAAGAGAAAAGAAGUAGAAGAAGAAGAAGAGGCUCACCUUAUUGAAGAAGAUGAAGUGUAGUUUUAGUUUGAGAAGGUUUGAUUUUUGCUAAAUAGAGUGAAAUUGUGAUGUGUUCUUUCCCAGGUUGUGUUUUGUUUUGUGUGCACACCAAACCAAAUCUGCCAAAUCACUACAAAUAUUCUUGAAUCAGUGGAAUGAUAAAGUGUAUUUAUCAUAGUAUGGAAAGAUGUAAAAGCAUGGGCAAAGCAUGUGUUGACAUCACUGUUUAUUUAUAAAAUAAUUAUCAUGUGAUAUUUAUAUUAGGGAUAAUAUUUUUUAACAAUAUUUUAAUAUUAUUUAUUUGUUAUUAUGUGGGUGGUUUAAAAUUACUCCACAAUCAACAAAAAAUAAUCAUAAACACCACAUAAAUCAAUCACACCACACUUAGAUGUCGAUGUUAAAAUAUUAUCAAAAGAAUAUUGUCACAAUAUUAUUAUAUUUUUUUAGUAUGUGUCACAAUAUCAUUAUAUUUUUUUAGUUUGUGUCACAAUAUCAUUAUAUUUUUUUAGUAUGUGCCACCACGUAUUAACUUUACAUAGUUUUAUUCUUCGGAGAGAAAAAAAUAGAGUUAAAAACAAUUUCUAAGAAGAUUCUUAAAAAUAACAUUAUUUUAUGUAUAUAAAAAAAGUGGCUAGAAGAAAGAUUAAGUAAGCCAACUUUUAAAUAUAGCAAUACAUCUAGUUUGGCUUUUAUAUAAAAAUAUUUUUAAAUAUCACUUUCAUUUCAUGCAGUAUUCUGCACGAUAAAAAAUAGAUAAAAAAAAUAAAGGUUUAAUGUUUCAAUAGAUCUUUAUUUUGUCUAGAAUCUAAAAAAAAUAAAGGUUUAAUGUUUUUAUUUUCGUCGAGAAUCUCAAAUAGGACCUUUCUUUUUCGAAAUAGGAACCUUUCUUUUUCUUUUUUUGCAUUUUAAACAUGUUUAAAUUGUAUUUUAUAUUAAAAAAAUUACAAACAGGAGAAAUCAUAUUUACUUAAAAGACAAAGUGGGCAAAAGAAAAGAAAUUAAGUGCAACCUAGCAACUGAGAAAUCAAUUUAAAGCUCGACUCCAAUUCAAACAUUGCAAUUUUAAUUACACCAGAGAAUCCCUAAUUUCCCCAUUACACCACUUUUUUUACACCAUUUUUACACUGCCACGUGUCGUCACGGGAUUGGCUAUUACAUUUUUCAAAAAAAAAUUGGAAAUCUGAAGUUACAAUGGAUGAGAAAUUUUGAAUUCUAGGUUUCCAUUUUUACCCUUAUCCUUGUUUUAUCAUAUUUACACAUUCCCUUUGCUUUGUUCUCAUUUCUCCAUCUUUGUUCUCACUAUUGUCGCCCCUUCCUCCCUGUCGGCCUUCGAUCUCAUUCUCACCAUCUUGUGUUCACGGUCUUUGACGAUUCCGUUGCAUCUGUUCGUUGUUGGUUGCCUGUGUCUUCGGUGUGCAAAAUGGACGCUUCCACUCACCACGGUCCUUCGAUGAGCAAGGUAAGUUUGUUGUUCCAUUCGCCCAUUUUGUUUUUGCCUAUUUUGUUCUUCGUUCCUUCGUUUGUCCAUUUUGUUAUUUGCGUUUUCGUUUCUCGUUUCUCGUUCCUUCAACGCCUAAGGUAAAUUUGUUCUUCGUUUUUCGUAUGUCCAAGGGAAAAAUGGGCUUUCCCUUUUACCUUAUGUGUUUGUAGUUGUUUUUAUUUUAGGGUUUUUAAUUUUGUUGUUGUUUUGUUUGUGGUUGAUGCAGUUGACAGUUCGGCACUCCUUUUCCACAAAGUAUAUUUCAACUUUGAACAACCAAUUGACACAGGAGCACCGAUCAGUGAUUUUUGGGACUCCUUUUCAUUGGUUCCUAGAUUUGAGUCCUAAAGUUAGAAUAAGGAGGAAUAUAUUGAGUGAGUUAGUGGUUAAGUGGGUGGAUUUGAGUGGUUCUUUUUUAAUCGGAGAUAAACUAGUCCCUAUGACAGAGAAGGACUUUUGUUUAGGUCUGGGGUUGAGUUCUGAUGGUAAGGAUUUGAACUUGAAGGAAAAUUUUAAAAGAAGUUCAUGUGUUAAAUAUGUAGGCAAAGACACAAAAGAUUCGGAUUUGGUUUACAAAUAUUAGUUGGGAUAUUUGAGAUAUUAUUUCCCAAUCGUAGCGGAAGAGUGUUUCCACUUUUGUAUGAAAUUGUUGAUAAUUUAAGUGGUUUGGGUGAUUUUUGUUGGGGUAGUUUAGUGUACCCUUAUUUGGUACGUAGUUUGUGCAAUGCUUCAGAUGGUUUGAAGAAAGGAAAAGGCACAAACAACGUUUAUGUAGAUGGUUGUACUUACAUGCCGCAGUUAAUUUAAGUUAAUUCAUUUUUUGUUGUGCAUUGUGGCUUGAAUUGUAUUUUUGAGUACCAGUUGUGAUGAUGAAAUUUGUAUAGGUAUGGUUUUGUGAGAAUUUUAUACCUCCCAAAGUUCAAAUAGAUAAAUUUCCUAGAAUAUUGCAUUGGAUGAAUGUACAUUUGGGAGACAAAGUUGUGAAACGAGCUUUGGAGAGUGGUGUGGUAUGAUCUUUAUUGUUUGAGUGAUUUUUGUUAUCAUAUAUAUCUUCUUGGUAUGAUAUGAUUUGUUGAAUUUUAGGUUCAUCAUGAUGUUGAUGUUGGUACAAUGAAUGAUGACAAGGAUGACCAACCAAGCCCGAAAAUGAAAGAUGACAAACCACCUUCAGCAAAGAAGCUAUUGAAAUGAAAACUCAAAGAGAGUGUAAUGCUUACCAUAGAGCAUCAGCAAAAUCUAGUUGCAGAGCUUAAAAGGAAGGUUCUUGUGUUGGAGCAAGAGGUUGCUUAUGAGAAAGCUAGAUGAAGAAGACCAGAGGAUGGUGGACAGAGUGUGCCACGUGAAGAACCUUCCAUCUGGCAUAUCCCCAGAAGGCAUGUCCACUGAUCUAGCUCCAAUGAAGACUUUUGUGAGGAUGGGUUCACAAAGGCAUUUCAAAAGUAGAGCUCUUAGGACUCCUUUUACUGGAUGCCUUAGAAUAAAAAAAGUGUGACAUUAUUAUAGGUUUGUUGAGAGAUUGUAAUGUAUAAUUAGUCUCAGUCUUACUGUUGACAGAUGUUUUGUAAUUUCAAUUGCAAAGAUUGUUACUUUGAACUUUCCUUGUUUGACAUACUAUUACAGUUAAAUGAAUGACAAAUGUUAUUGGCAUUGAGAAAUAAUGUUACCAUUGAAUUGUUAAAUAUUAAAGUUGACAUAUUGUUUUAGUCUUGAUGGAUGUAAUGGAGGAAACAAACAAUACAUGUGGACAUAGAAAACAAUUUUUGUUGAAUAGACAAACCUAGUUGAGUAAAUAAGGCAUUAGUAAACGUUUACAGGUGGUGUGUAAACGUUUACGCGCACAAAAUUAGGGUUUUGUACAAAAAGUUGUCCUGCAAGAGCCAGUUUUUAGGACAUAUGGGAUCAGUAAGUGAAUUGUCCAAUUUUGGUGCAAAGAUUUAAGUGUUUUGUCUUGUUUUUGUUGUCUAGGUGUGUCUUGGGUGUGAUGAAUCAGGUUUGGGCACCCCAACUUGCAUAUAGGGAGUAGUUGUUUUGACUACAAGUAGUUGGUUGAAGUCCUAAAACAAGUUUGUGAAAAAAUACACUUGUAAACGUUUACAGGAGGUGUGUAAACGUUUACGCGUACGAAAUUGGGGUUUUGUACAAAAAGUUGUAUUGUAGGGGCCAAUUUUUUUUAGUACAUAGGAGACCACUAUGUGAAUUGUCCAAUUUUUUGCAAAGCUUGAGUUGUUUUGUCUUGUUUUUGUGGUUUAGGUGUGUCUUGGUUGUGAUGAAUCACGUUUGGGCACCCCAACUUGCAUAUAGGGAAUAGUUGUGUUGACUACAAGUAGUUGGUUGAAGUCCUGAAACAAGUUUGUGAAAAAAUGCACUAGUAAACGUUUACAGGAGGUGUGUAAACGUUUACGUGCACAAAAUUGGGGUUUUGUGCAGAAAGUUGUACUAUAGGGGCCAAUUUUUAGUACACAGGGGACCACUAUGUGAAUUGUCCAAUUUUUUUGCUAAGCUUGAGUUGUUUUGUCUUGUUUUUUGUUGUUUAGGUAUGUCAAGGUUGCGAUGAAUCACGUUUGGGCACCCCAACAUGCAUACAGGGAGUAGUUGUGUUGACUACAAGUUAUUGGUUGAAGUCCUGAAACAAGUUUGUGAAAAAAUGUACUGGUAAACGUUUACAAGAGGUGUGUAAACGUUUACGCGCACAAAAUUGGGGUUUUGUACAAAAAGUUGUACUGCAUGAGCCAAUUUUUAGUACACAGGGGACCACUAUGUGAAUUGUCCAAUUUUUUGCAAAGCUUUAUUUGUUUUGUCUUGUUUUUGUUGUUUAGGUGUGUCUUGGGUGUGAUGAAUCAGGUUUGGGCACCCCAACUUGCAUAUAGGGAGUAGUUGUGUUAACUACAAGUAGUUAGUUGAAGUCCUAAAACAAGUUUGUGAAAAAAUGCACUGGUAAACGUUUACAGGAGGCGUGUAAACGUUUAUGCGCAUAAAAUUGGGGUUUUGUAUAGAAAGUUGUACUGCAGGAGCCAAAUUUUAGUACACAGGGGACCAUUAUGUGAAUUGUCCAAUUUUUUGGUAAAACAUCACUGGUAAACGUUUACAGAGGACACAAUAUGGUGAGUUCACCCUACGUCAUUCAAUACAAGAAACCAUAAAGAUAAUUAUUAUGAAAUAUAAAAAUUACAUGAGUUGAACAUAAACUCAUCAUGUCGUUUGUCAUUCACACUGAUAUUGGGUGGUUAAGAUUACAACUACAUCCAUUAAUGUGAACUUCUACUGUAAUAUCAUGGCAAUGGUGGUCAACCUCGAAGACAAUAACGUCUCCUUCCUUCAAGCCAUAUUUGAUGCAAAUUUCUUUCCAACCUUUUCCAAACUUUGUUGAAUUCCUAGUAUGUGAAACCAAAACCUUGUAGAGGAUGUCAUCCUUAUGACCAAGAAGCUCAACCUUUGUCAAGCCUUUGUUCCUAAUUUCAUUCCCAAAUUAUUUCCCAAGUCCUGUCAAAGAAUGAACAUGAAGUGAAUGAUAGUGGGAAAUUUUAUUACUGAUCAAAAUUAAUUUGAAAAAUUUGUACUUUUUAAUACAUACCAAAUGACUUCCUUCACAUUGUGAUUUAGUCAAUUUGACAGCGAAUAAUGACGAAUGAGGAUCAUAAGUACACAGAUCAAUGAAAUAUUCCCUACUCUUCUCGGUGCAAGGACCAAAAUAAAUUAUAAUGUUGACAUUAUUGUGACCCAAAUAUUGGAAGGUGAUGUGGGCAUCAUUAAGCCUUUCAUGGUAUAUGUUUUUCAGUGAACAUCAUUCAGUCAUAAUUCUAGGAUGCAAUAAGUUCAUGUUAUAGGUUACCAAAUGUGUGUGGCCGUGAUUGUCCAACAACGACCACGUAGUUUCUAAUUCAUUUUGAAACACUGCAGCAAAAUGCCUAUCCACAUACCCAAAAUCCUGCAGUCAUACUUUCAAAAUAAGAAUAAUAUAGCAUUUUUUAAGAAAAUUUUAAAGAAAGACAACAUGUUUACCAAAUCUGUGAGGUGGAUGGUUGAGAACUCCCACAAGAUUGUUGUUGUUCCUGCGCUUGAUGAUGCGGCCAUGAUUUUGACAAGAACAAAAUGAAAGUGUGGAUAUGUUUGUGUUAGUUCAUUUGAAAGAUACCUCAUCAAGGAAUUUAUAGGUCAUUCACAUGUUUCUUAAAGACUCCCAAGUCUUUUGGUCAAAGCAUUGCAUUCAAUGUUUGGAUAAUAGUCAUGUUGAAUGUCAUUGGGAAAAUAUUGGAGAGUUAAAUGCCUUUUAAUGUACCAUUAUGGUGUCUUUUAAUGUACCAUUAUUGUAGUCAAACAGUUUCACCUCCAACACUCUGAACACGGUUUAGCAACAAUAUCCACCAACAUGCAUUGCAUUCAUGGAAAAAAAUCACAGAUAUCAUAUUUGGUCCCCUAUGUUCUAAAAACUAGCUCCCUCAGUACAACUUUUUGUACAAAUUCUCUAUUUCACUCGCGUAAAUGUUUACCAAGGCCAGUAAACGAUUAUCAGUGACCUGUAAACGAUUACAACUAACUUUUUUCUAGCACAACUCACACGAAAUCAAACAACUUUCUAAACUGUAAACAAUUACCAAUCACUGUAAAAGAUUAGCAGUCACUUUUAUGAUGCAGAAUUUUCAGUCAUUCACUUCAAUUGGACAACUAUAGCGUUUAUUAAAAGAUAUUAUUAUUAUCGCGCUUGACUUUAUAAUUCAUACACAAACAACAUAAAUAAAUAGACAUUGAAUAUAAUAUUAAUUGCAUAUAAAUCGUAUGUAUAUAUCAUUCGUCUUAUAAAUCUGUACAUAUUACAAUAUAAUAUGUAUUCAUAUAUCAUUGUGGCUCUAAAUACAUAUACAAGUUUUCCAUAUGUAUUCAAUCUUGCAACAACCCAUAUAGAGCUAACACUUCCAAUAUUCUAAUGUUCUUGAUCUCAAGGAUCCAAUCCUUUACGUAGUUCUUUCUAAUUUCACGCAGUUCCUCCUGAAACAAAAUAUAUUUUACUUUAGAUAUAAUUAACAACAUCAUGAACUAGUAGUAACAAUAAAUUUGGUACUUACAUUCAUAUACUUUGGCAUGCUCUUACCAUUGUAUUUGUCCUCUCCAUUCCAAAUUUCCAUAACUUUUAACAUGAUGACUCCACAAUCAUAUCUUAAAUAAUAUAACCAAAACAUAUAUCACUUAUCAAAACAAACAAUAAUGAAAUAACCAAAUAUUUAAAAUAAUUGAUUAAAACAACUUACAAGUUCGGUUGGGAUGGGAUAUUUAAUUAUUCAACAAACAAAGGACCAAUACUGCCUUCGAGUCUAUCAUACAACAUGCAAAAGAAUUUGGCCAUAUUUUCACCCUACCAAAGAAGUUCAUUAACCAAUUAAAAAAACAUCACCACAUCAAAUAAACAAAAAUAUUCAAAAACAUACCACAAAUUUGUCAAUCCUUUUCCUAUCUCUAACACCCUUUCCCAAUGAGUCAAUGACAUAUAUUUCUAAUGUUGUAAUUUUCACUGCAUAGCACCACCAAUGCUCAUCAUGGACAAAUGGCAUAAACAACUACAAACAAAGACAAACCAAAUGUCAAUACUUCACCAAUCUAAAUUUUCCAAACAUAAUAAUUACAUAUGUUUCUAACUCACAAAGUCAGCUGUGGGAAUGUCUCCAAGACCAAAUAGAUGAGACCUCAUAUAGUUGGCAAAAUUACGCAUGGUAUAAACAUGUCGAUUUUGAGGAUGUCUCCUAAAAUAAUCAAGAACAUAAUGCUAUGAACAAUUUCAAAUGAAUCAAUGCAUUGCUAAUAUUUCUACCAAGAAAUAUAUCAUACAAAAUAAAUUACAAUGUACCGAAUAUAAAGAACUGAAAUGAACCCUCUUGACUAAACCGGUCGACCUUCUUUGGAAGUGCAUAAAGAUUGUAGACACCAGCCCAAUGUUUCACCAUAUACUUCAAAAAUUUCAAAUUCAUCUCAAUAGGGUUUAAAAUUUGUGCACACCAAUGAAAUAGGGUCAUCCUAAUACGCUCUAUGUGAGCGUUUCUCAAUAAACUAUUCAUUUCAAGAAGGGUUGUCGAUUCCAUGGAGACACGCAGACGCCACUACAAAACAUUAACAAAAAUAUCAUAAAUACUAUAACACAAAACAUCACCCAUACAAAAUGUGCACAAAAUUUACAUUCAAUCUUACACUUGGUUUUCGGGAUGCCAUUGGACCUGCGCUCAUAACAUGCACAAAACAAGAUUGUCCACAACAUCGUUAGGGUUCGUGAAUGAACAAAAAGUAAAUGGAGAAGAUGCUGAGAUAUGGUCCAGUUCCACUUACCAGUCCCAAACGUAGACGAUACAGAACAUGGCUUCCACGCUACACAGCAACACAAAAAUGUCACAUGGCUUCAACAGUCCACAACGACAAAGCGACAAAGAGCACGAAGCCCAAAGAAAGGGCACUAAAACAAAACCACACAAAAAUAGAUGACAGCGAAACUGAUGACCGAAAGGGCUUCAACGACGAGAGAGAGAGAGAGAGACAGGGCUUCAACACCGAUAGAAAGGACAUAUCAAUGGUUGACGACAGCGAAACUGAUGACCCAAAGCAAUUGUAGAUGAAAGCAAGAGGUGCGAGUGAUGAAACGACAGUGAUGAUACGAGAGCAAGAGGCGAGAGGAGAGAGGCAAUGGCUUCAGAGAGUCGUGACAGAAUGAGAGACAGAACGAGAAAGAAGAAACCGCGAAACUAAAAAUUGAUUUUUCCCCUUCCAAGUUUACCCUUGGCUCAGAACUAAACCCUUUUUUUUAAUUCAAAAUGCCCAAUGACACUUUCCCACGUGUGUAGUGUCAAAUUGGUGUAAAAAAAUGGUGUUCACGUAGCGUUUUCGUUACCUAAAGGACAAAGUGGGCAAAAGAAAAGAAAUUAAGUGCAACCUAGCAACUAAGAAAUCAAUUUAAAGCUCAAUCCCAAUUCAAACAUUGUUAUUUCAAUUACACCAGAGAAUCCCUAAUUCCCAAUUUCAGUAGAUCUUAAUCUCCAAAAUCAGAUAACAAAAGGAACCCUAAAUCACAGAGUCAAGAAUUUCCCAAUCACAACUCGUAGUUGACGUUGUCAUCGUCUGAUAAGGCAAUCACUCACCCUCGUUGUUGUCGCCAGAGAUCACUCCUGACGCAUUGUCGUCGUCUUCUCGCACCACCACGACGCCGUUCGCACAUAAGCUCGGUUAGAACUGAACCCGCGUCCACCAUUGCAGGUUGAUUCUAAGGAGGAAAGCUUUCGCGACCCCCACCGCGUCCUAGCCACCGGUAAGCUUAUCCCUACCUAUAAAACCCGUAGCAGAACCAAGAAGAAGAGAAGGAAGGAAGACGUCUACUUCCAACUCCAGAGUUCAAACAAGGUCGAAAGGAGGAACAACCUCUCAAGCGAAACACGCCAUUGCCGAAAACGACAAUCAGAUCUUCUCCCCACAAGGUCGCAACCAUGGUACGAAGAAUCGAGAAGAGAAAGAGGAAGAAUUUUCCUGCGUGCGCCGUGAGACUCCCAUUGCUGGGGUUUUUGGUUCAAGAAAAGAAAGGUGUCACCUUAGCAACUUUCUCGCUGAAACAAAGAGAAAGGAAAUGAAGUUUCUCAGAAUCCUACAAUUCAUCUAUUAAUUUAAUUUCUCAACUUUACAGCUUAAAGUCUUUCAAAAUAUAGGAAAUAUAUAAACUAGAUCCUAAGAGCUGGGAGCUGUGCCAUCUUCCUCCAAAGCAUGCUCUAGAGGAACACCAUCUGCCUCUACUCACAUCCAAAGUUGGAUGAUCAUCGCAAAAAGGGAAAACCAUACACAAGUAACACACAAACAGACAAUGCAAGGGUAAGCUAGAUUCUCAAAGGCAAACAUACUACUAUAAUUUUUAAAUCUAACAUUUACAAUCAGAAUUAGGCAUACAAGUACUUAGCACGUUGCAACAGACCACAACUAAAAUAAGAAUCGUCCGGACCUAGAAUGAACAUCGAGAUAUGGCGGGUUGUGCACUUGUGGUGGCCUCUACUGCUUUGCAAAGCCAUUGCCAUGGGUUGAACCCUACCACACACACAAGUGUAAGCCUGUUAUCACUCGCCUUGGGUCAUACUGGAAGCACCCAAGACUAGGACCUCCUACUACUCUCACCACAUGAGAAAUUCUUCUCUAAGUGAGAUUGAAUAAGUCAUUAAAGAGUUAGGAUAACCCCCAAGACCGAGCUUACCUAUGUUCAUUCCAAACACUACUGAAAUCUCACCAAGAGAUCCACUUAACUUUCCAAAUUACAUCAUAUGGAACUCAAUAAUUUGUUCAAAACAAUCUCAAAAGCAUUCAAUAUUCAUUAACAGAUAAUAAUAGUUUUAGAAGAACCACUAAACAACACAAAACNUAGUGAACUCCUACUUAGAAAAGGAAAUUGACUUUGAAACCAUCAUCAACAGUUCCGGAAGGGUCAAAAACCCCCGGAACGACCUAAAGAACGUCUAAAAAUGAUACCCGAAACCCCGAAAACCACUCAAAAUUGUCCGUGAUGAUUUCCUGACAACUAUAAUCGAUUAUUACAUAUGAUAAUCGAUUAUUUAAGUGAACUUUGAAGAAAAUAUGACGUUUUGACUAGAAUAAUUGAUUAUUAUAUAUAAUAAUCAAUAAUUACAUAUAAUAAUCGAUUAUUCUUAUCAGUAUUGGACAACAACCAUAAUUUUCUGGUUUUAGUGCAUCUGAGACACUCUGAUGAGUUUCUAACACUCCUAGAUUGAUCUAUCCGAUGAAUUGAACUUGUCUAGAUUGUUACAAAUCUUCCUAACCUCUAUUCCUAGUGGUUAUGCAUCAUAUUAGAGUCAAAAACUUCAAUUUUAGUUACUAAAAGACUCAAUUUCGGAUUUACCAAUUUGGAAGUGUUUCAGACCACUUUGAGGCUGCUAAUAGAUCANAUUUGACUUAACUAAAAGACUACAAUUGCCUAAGCCAAACCCUAACCUCUAAAAAGUCACCAUCUAGUUCCCUAAGUUUGACUCCCCUAUUAUCAUUAACUUGACUGUGUUACUACUGAAAUGUAUAACUUGAACUCAUAACUCUUAACACUAAAUUCCAGCAAUCAAAUACACACUCAUACCAAUUCCUAGUUCAUAUAUACAUCAACACAUAGCUCACAAAUAAGAAAAUACACUCUUCGUUCUCAAUUAACACCUCCACAUAACAAAUAUCAGUCACAAAAGUUCACAACAAUUUCUCAGGAAAACAGUCAUAUUUAUAAACACACAUUCAGUUCAUGCACAUUUCAUUCCACACAAAAUCUAAGAGUCUAGCUUCCUUUACCUCUAGAGUGAACGGUCCAACCCCAGGAAAAUGCACAGUGUCCUGUUCUUAGGAAAGAAACCUAAAGGCACCUAUAUUUCACCAAAUGGUGAUAGGAAUUAGUCUCUAAAAUAAGAUUAGGGUUAAGAUUUUGGGGAAAAAAAAAUCACAAAUGAACCACAUGCAGCAGAACUUGCUACAUGAUCAAGGUUCAAAAAGAGGAAAGUUGCUUAUCUUAUGAAAUCCAAUGACUCAAUGGAGGAGAAAUCUAGAGAGAAGAAGAAUAAUUUUUUGGAAAAAGUAAGGUUAGAGAGAGAGCCGAUGUGGAAAAAGAAAAAAGUACGCUUCUGAACUGUGUAAUGAAGCUACUGUUAUGUUUAAAUUUUUCUAAAACAAAAUCUUAUUAAUUUAAUAUUAUUAGAAAUCUUAAACUUAAAAUUGUAAGUUAUUACACUCUCCCUAACUACAAAAAUUUUCGUCCCCGAAAAUUUGACUUACCAGAGAACAAAUGAGGGUAGGACUUCUUCAUUUCUUCCUUUCUCUCCCAAGUAGAAUCACCGGUUCUGUUGUCCCAUAAAACUUUGAUCAGUGUAGUAGCUUUCCCAUCUGGUCGUUUGGUUAGCCUCUCAUCUACUUUGACCGACUGCAUAUCUAUAGAAAGAUUUUCCUUGACUUGUACAGUGUCAGCUUCCAACACGUAGGAAGGGUCGGGGACAUACUUUCUCAACUGAGAAACAUGGAACACUGGAUGGAGAUUAGCUAGCUGAGGCGGCAUAGCUAUCUCAUAUGCAACAGGUCCAAUGCGUCUCAGUAUCUGAUAAGGUCUGAGGUAUCUGGUAGAACACUUCUUUGCACGGAUGGCCUUUCUCACUCCAGUAGUAGGCGUUACACGAAGGAAAACAUGGUCCCUAGCCUCAAACUCUAGGGAACGACGUCUCUUAUCAGCACAUGACUUCUGCCUACUCUGAGAAGCCUUCAUUCGUUCUUGAAUUUACUUUACUUUCUCAGUUGUCUGCUGCACAACUUAUGGUCCAGUAAGCACUAAUUCUCCAUCUUGGAACCAGCACAAAGGUGUCCUGCAACGUCUCCCAUAAAGAGCUUCAAAUGGUGCCAUUCCUAUACUUGCUUGAAAGCUAUUAUUAUAGGUGAACUCUACCAAAGAUAACACUUCGUCCCAAGCUCCAAAGUGAUCUAGGACACAUGUUCUCAGUAGAUCUUCCAGUGAUUGAAUUAUUCUCUCAGACUAACCAUCUGUCUGAGGAUGAUAUGCUGAACUCAUCUGGAGCUUACUACCCAUCUCCAUCUGUAAAGUUUGCCAGAAUCUGGAGGUGAAUCGUGGGUCUCUGUCAAACACAAUGCUAGAUGGCACCCAUGUAGUCUGGCAAUCUCCUUAAUAUAAAGUUGUGCAAGCUUAGACAUGGACAUCUUCAAACUGAUAGCCAAGAAAUGAGCGCUUUUAGUCAAUCUAUCAAUAAUAACCCAGAUGGCGUCAUGAUUCCUGACAGUACGUGGUAAAUGGGUCACGAAAUCCAUGGCAAUACUAUCCCAUUUCCACUCAGGAACAUCAAGUUGUUGUAACAUGCCACCGAGCCUCUUAUGUUCAAUCUUAACUUUCUGACAUGUCAAGCAAGCUGAGACAAACUGGGCAACAUCACUUUUCAUAACGGACCACUAGAAAGAUUUCUUGAGGUCCUGGUACAUCUUAGUCAUGCCUGGAUGCAUGCUAAAAUGGCUGCGGUGUCCUUCCUCAAGUAUCAGUCUCUUCAAUUCAGCAUCAUUUGGAACACAUGUUCUUCCUCUGAAGCGCAAGAGACCAUCAGUCCCUGUGUUAAAAUCUUUUCCUUUCUCAGUGUCGAUCAAAGCUACUGUCUUUUGAAGCUCAGGGUCCAUCCAUUGACCUGUCUUAAUGCAUUCAAUUAAGUUACUAGAUACCACUAAUUUGUUGCAUCUGAUACUAUCUUCUUCAAACUCCACUUGUAGCUUCAAAUCUCCAAAGCUUUCCACCAGCUCUAAUUCUUUGACCAUUAAGGUACACAUAUGUGCUGCUUUUCUGCUUAAGGCAUCUGCUACCACAUUAGUCCUUCUUGGAUAGUAUAACAAGUCAAAAUCAUAAUCGUGUAAGAAUUCCAUCCAUCUUCGCUGUCUCAUAUUUAAUUCUUUUUGGUCAAAGAGAUAUUUAAGGCUCUUGUGAUCACUAAAUACUUGAAACUGAGAGCCAUACAAGUAAUGCCUCCAGAUUUUUAGUGCAAAGACUACUGCGGCUAGUUCUAAGUCAUGAGUAGGGUAGUUUUUCUCAUGAACUUUUAAUUGUCUUGAUGCAUAUGUUACCACCCUCUUGUCUUGCAUCAGUACACAUCCUAGCCCCUGAUGUGAUGCAUCACAGAAAACCUCAAAAGGUUUCUCUGUGUCAGGAAUGAUAAGCACUGGAGCACUAGUCAGCUUUGUCUUCAACUCUUGGAAGCAAGAUUCACAUGUAUCCGUCCAUACAAAGGGAUGAUCCUUUCGUGUCAAUUGAGUUAACGGCACCACGAUUCUAGAAAAGUUUUCAAUAAAGCGGUGGUAGUAGCCCGCUAAACCCACAAAGCUUCUUACUUCAGUAACUAUUUUAGGCCUUUCACAUUGCAAUACAGCUUGCACCUUAGCUGGGUCAACAAAAAUUCCACCAGUUGAAAUCACAUGGCCUAAAAACUGCACUUCUUCCAUCCAAAAUUCACACUUAGGCAGUUUAGCGUACAAUUUCCUUUCCCUUAGCACUCCAAGAAAUGUUCUAAGGUGAUGCUCAUGCUCCUCUCUUGUUUUGGAAUAGAUGAGUAUGUCAUCAAUAAAGACAACGACAAAUUUAUCUAGGAAGGGCCAGAAAAUCCGAUUCAUGUAAUCCAUGAAAACGGAUGGAGCAUUUGUCAAACCAAACGGCAUGACCACAUACUCGUAAUGGUCGUAUCUAGAAUGGAAGGCUGUCUUCUGAACAUCAUCAGGCUUUACUAAGAUCUGAUGGUAACCCGGUCUCAAAUCAAUCUUGGAGAAAAUAGCAGCUCCGUGCAAUUGAUCCAUCAAAUCAUCAAUUAUGGGCAGCGAGUACUUAUUUUUAAUGGUCAAUUUGUUUAAUUGUCUAUAGUCCACACAUAGUCUUGAAUUACCAUCUUUCUUCUUUACAAGUAAAACUGGAGCACCCCAUGGAGACACGCUGGGUCUAAUAAAUUGUUUCUCAAGUAAUUCUUCAAUCUGUUUCUUUAAUUUUGCUAGCUCCGCAGGCGCCAUCCGGUAAGGAACUAUAGAUAUCGGUCCCGCUCCUGACACCAGAUCAAUAGAAAAUUCCACCUCUCUAGGAGGAGGUAAUCCAGGAACCUCUUCUGGAAAGACAUCCAGAAACUCACUCACUACAGGAAGAUUUGCACCUGGAGUGCUUUGCAACGAUGCAUCCAAUAUCUCACUUCCCUCUACGUGAGACAAUAUCAAAAAACAGUUAGCUCUUUCAAUCAAGUCUUUCCUCAGUACGCCAAGAAGACAGAGGCAUGUACUCGUGUUCAUUAGGGAACACUAAUUUCUUCUCUCCACAGUCCAAAAGAAUGCGAUUGGUAGAUAACCAAUCCAUCCCUAGAAUAAUAUCUAAUCCUUGCAAAGGCAAACAAAUGAGGUUCACCUUGAACCUACGACCUUCUACGAUUAUCGGGCAUCGAAUGCAAACAUUCAAUGUCUUGAUCAACCCAGACACUGGUGUGGACACCACCAGAUCAAAGUGCAACCCGUCUACAGACAAUCCUAGCUUCUCCACACACUCCUCGGAUAUGAAGGAAUGAGUUGCCCCCGAAUCAAACAAUGCCACACAUGGAUGAUCAUACAACAAGCAGCAACCAAUAAUGAGGUUACCUGAGCUGGCAGCCUUUGCACCUGUCACAGCAUAAACCCUGCCCGAUGCCUGGGGUCGAGCACCUUCUCUCUAUAGAGAUCUACCGGCCUGUGGUAACUGAGAAGUAGCCCUCUUGCUCAUAGGACAAUCCCUCUCAUAGUGCCCUUCUUUCCUACACCGGUCGCAUCUUCUAUAGCUUGUUUUCUGAGGGCAUACAGAUAAAAGAUGGGCAUACAGACAUAACACCUGACAUUCCCUGAUAUGCCAGGCUGAGUGUACUGAACAGAAGACUGAGAUGAAGCUGAACCUCCAGACCCAAGAGAAGGAGUGGGUCUAGAGUAUGGGGUCCUUCGGGAGCUAGAUCCUCCCCUAGAUAUCACUGGUCUGCCUACUCUCUGUGAUUGUCUCUGCUGGUUAUCCACUUCCCUCUUGUUCUUCUCCAUUAUUUUUGCCCUUUCAACCAAGACAGGAAAUUGAGUGAUACAUAGGCCAGCCACUAAGAGUUUGAGAUCUCCUCUUAACCCAUUCUCAAACUUCCUACAUUGAUAUUCUUCAUUCAUGGCUAGAGUGUGGAAGCGAAGCAAGUGUUUAAAUCUGUCGGCGUACUCAGAAACGAUCAUAUCUCCUUGGACCAAUUGUAGAAAUUCCAACUCCUUUGCAAAACGAACACUGUUAGGAAAGUAUUCUUCAUAGAAUUUCAUCUUGAACAAGUCCCAGGUGAUUGAAACGUUAGUGCUCUCCAACAAGGCUCGGGUGUUACUCCACCAGUGACUAGCUUCCCCAGAAAGUAGAUACUCUGUGAAAGCUAAUUUGUUUUCAUCUGGGCAGUGUUUGGCUUGAUAAAUCCUCUCCAUACCUCUAAGCCAAUGGCCCGCCUCAUCGGGAGUACCCUUGCUAGUGAAUCUAGCUGGGCGGUGUUGCAAGAAGUUCUCUAAACUCCAUUCCUGAGUAGGGGCAGCAGUAGAAGAACCUGCAGCAGCUCUUCCUUCAGCCAUCAUCUCCACAAAUUGCCUCUGAGAGGCCUCAGCUGACACUCGGGCUGCCUUCAAUUAUUGCAAGGAAACUGUAUUUUGUUGGACAAGAGCUGCAUUUUGUUGUUGCAUUGACUGCAACACAUUCUCCAACAUCCUCAUCAUAUCUGGAGCUUCAUGAUUAUCAUUAGUUAGAGGAGGGGGAGGAGGUCUACGUGACAUCUUCUGUUCUCAUGGAGGGAAAAGACAAUUAGUUUUAUUUCAAGAAAUUAGAAAGAAUGCACACGUACACUUAAAGGCACACAAGCACAAGUAAGGAUGCUCAUAACCUACAGGUUCUCUAAGGAUAAAAACUGCUCUGAUACCAAAAUGUGACAUCCCAAAUUAUAUAAGAUGAUAUAAUAUAGAAUAGAACACAAAAUGAUAAAAGAGAGCAAUCAAGAGGAUAUGAAACAUAGGUUUAUGAUUUUACAGUCAUCCAAAAUAGAGGGGAAAUUUAAAACUUUACAGCUUAAAGUCUUUCAAAAUAUAGGAAAUAUAUAAACUAGAUCCUAAGAGCUGGGAGCUGUGCCAUCUUCCUCCAAAGCAUGCUCCAGAGGAACACCAUCUGCCUCUGCUCACAUCCAAAGUUGGAUGAUCAUCGCAAAAAGGGAAAACCAUACACAAGUAACACACAAACAGACAAUGCAAGGGUAAGCUAGAUUCUCAAAGNNNNNNNNNNNNNNNNNNNNNNNNNNNNNNNNNNNNNNNNNNNNNNNNNNNNNNNNNNNNNNNNNNNNNNNNNNNNNNNNNNNNNNNNNNNNNNNNNNNNNNNNNNNNNNNNNNNNNNNNNNNNNNNNNNNNNNNNNNNNNNNNNNNNNNNNNNNNNNNNNNNNNNNNNNNNNNNNNNNNNNNNNNNNNNNNNNNNNNNNNNNNNNNNNNNNNNNNNNNNNNNNNNNNNNNNNNNNNNNNNNNNNNNNNNNNNNNNNNNNNNNNNNNNNNNNNNNNNNNNNNNNNNNNNNNNNNNNNNNNNNNNNNNNNNNNNNNNNNNNNNNNNNNNNNNNNNNNNNNNNNNNNNNNNNNNNNNNNNNNNNNNNNNNNNNNNNNNNNNNNNNNNNNNNNNNNNNNNNNNNNNNNNNNNNNNNNNNNNNNNNNNNNNNNNNNNNNNNNNNNNNNNNNNNNNNNNNNNNNNNNNNNNNNNNNNNNNNNNNNNNNNNNNNNNNNNNNNNNNNNNNNNNNNNNNNNNNNNNNNNNNNNNNNNNNNNNNNNNNNNNNNNNNNNNNNNNNNNNNNNNNNNNNNNNNNNNNNNNNNNNNNNNNNNNNNNNNNNNNNNNNNNNNNNNNNNNNNNNNNNNNNNNNNNNNNNNNNNNNNNNNNNNNNNNNNNNNNNNNNNNNNNNNNNNNNNNNNNNNNNNNNNNNNNNNNNNNNNNNNNNNNNNNNNNNNNNNNNNNNNNNNNNNNNNNNNNNNNNNNNNNNNNNNNNNNNNNNNNNNNNNNNNNNNNNNNNNNNNNNNNNNNNNNNNNNNNNNNNNNNNNNNNNNNNNNNNNNNNNNNNNNNNNNNNNNNNNNNNNNNNNNNNNNNNNNNNNNNNNNNNNNNNNNNNNNNNNNNNNNNNNNNNNNNNNNNNNNNNNNNNNNNNNNNNNNNNNNNNNNNNNNNNNNNNNNNNNNNNNNNNNNNNNNNNNNNNNNNNNNNNNNNNNNNNGAGUCAAAAACUUCAAUUUUAGUUACUAAAAGACUCAAUUUCGGAUUUACCAAUUUGGAAGUGUUUCAGACCACUUUGAGGCUGCUAAUAGAUCACAUUUGACUUAACUAAAAGACUACAAUUGCCUAAGCCAAACCCUAACCUCUAAAAAGUCAUCAUCUAGUUCCCUAAAUUUGACUCCCCUAUUAUCAUUAACUUGACUAUGUUAUUACUGUAAUGUAUAACUUGAACUCAUAACUCUUAACACUAAAUUCCAGCAAUCAAAUAUACACUCAUACCAAUUCCUAGUUCAUACAUACAUCAACACAGAGCUCACAGAUCAGAAAAUACACUCUUGGUUCUCAAUUAACACUUCCACAUAACAAAUAUCAAUCACAACAGUUCACAACAAUUUCUCAGGCAAACAAUCAUAUUUAUAAACACACAUUCAGUUCAUGCACAUUUCAUUCCACACAAAAUCUAAGAGUCUAGAUUCCCUUACCUCUAGAGUGAACGGUCCAACUCCAGGAAAAUGCACAGUGUCCUGUUCUUAGGAAAGAAACCUAAAGGCACCUAUAUUUCACCAAAUGGUGAUAGGAAUUAGUCUCUAGAAUAAGAUUAGGGUUAAGAUUUUGGGGAAAAAAUCACAAAUGAACCACAUGCAGCAGAACUUGCUACAUGACCAAGGUUCAAAAAGAGGGAAGUUGCUUACCUUAUGAAAUCACAAUUGCAAUCGGUGAAAAUUGGAGUCCGUGAUGCCAAGAUCGCCUAGGCGUCUACAGAAUAGGAAUCCAAUGACUCAAUGGAGGAGAAAUCUAGAGAAAAGAAGAAUAAUUGUUUGGAAAAAGCAAGGUUAGAGAGAGAGCUGGUGUGGAAAAAGAGAACAGUACGCUCCUGAACUGUGUAAUGAAACUACUAUUAUGUUUAAAUUUUUCUAAAACAAAAUUUUAUUAAUUUAAUAUUAUUAGAAAUCUUAAACUUAAAAUUGUAGGUUAUUACAUUAACUAUUCUAUUUCAUCACAUUAAAAUAAACAAGUUUUACAAAUUUAAAUUAAAUUUAGUAAUAAUUCAAAAACUUGUUAUAAUUGGAAAAAUUAAAUAAUUUUAAAUGUUAUAUUUCUAUUUUUUUUUCUUAGCAAACAAGGAAGAAAAGAAAAACUUAAAUUAUAACUGAAUGGAGUACACUUGUUUUUUAUAUUUAUAAUAUUUAUAAUUAUAAUUCUCUCACUUAAUUUCGUUCCGUCAAUUAUAACCAAUUAAAACAAUUUCAGAUGUGUAUUUGAUCAAUGACUUUGAAACAUUAACAAAAUGGCAUUGGUUGAUACCUAAAUAAAAGAAUUAUAUAAAACAAAAAUGAUGAAUUUUAUUGCUUUUACUCUAAAAGUAACCACAUCUAAUUGACUACGAGUAAAUGCAAAAGAUAAGUUAAAUUUUAGAAAGUGUAAUAAUAUUACUAACAUUAUAUUUUUUUUAAUAAUAAUAAUAUUAAUACGAUUAACAUUAAUAAUUCAAGAAAAGAGUUUCAUUAAAAUAUAUAGUAAUUGAUUAAGAAUAANGUUAGAACAAUCUAUCUAUCUAUCUAUCUAUAUAUAUAUAUAUAAUCAUUGAUUGAAUUAUAAUAAUAACAGUAGUAGUAAUAAUAACUAAAAGAAUUUUUUUUGAUACAACAUAAUUAAUGGUUAAAUUAAUAAUAAUAAUAAUAAUAAAUUAAUAAUUAAAGAAAUUAAAAUAAAAUAUAACGGUUGAUUAUAAUUAUAAUAACAAUAUUAAUAGUAAUAAUAAUAUUAAUAACUGAAAACAAAUGUUAAAAUGAAAUAUAAUUAUUGAAUAUAAUAAUAAGUAAUGAUAGUUAUAUUAAUAAUUAAGGAAGAGAUAAUGCGAAUGGACACUUAAACUUUUUUUUUUGUUCAAAGUCAAAUAUAUGAAAAUCUUUUUAAUAAUUCAUAUAAUUAAUGGUUUUAAAGAUAUAAACUUAAAAAAUUUUAAACAAUUUAAAUCUAGAAAGUCCAAUAGACAAAUUAAAGAAUCCAAACUAGAAACGCAUGGAUUGAAAAAAUUCAUUCAUAGUUUAAGAAAACAAAAAUAAUUAAUUGAUUAAUAUAUAAAAAAAUUUAAAAACAAUUCCCUAAAAAGUUCAACAAAGUUUUUCCCUUUAUAAUCAAACCGAGCACACAAAUAGAAGAAUCCAAAAUAAAAAGGCAUGGACUAAAAAAAAUUCAUUCAUAGUUAAAAAAACCAUUCAAAACAAUUAAUGAAUUCAAUUAAAAUUUACUUUAAUGGACUACACAUAUCUUGUUUGUUUUUUAUAUUUUUAAUAUUUAUAAUUUAUAAUCUUGUCAGCAUGAAUUCAAUUUGGUUGCAUCGAUUACAACCAAUUAAAAAUGUGUAUUUCAUCAAUCACUUUAAAAUAUUAACAAAAUAACAUUGAUUGAUACCUAUAUAAAACAAAAAUAUUUCUUUGGUUGCUUUUAUUCUAAAAAUAACCACUUCUAAUUGGGUAGAUGGGAAAGAUAAGUUCAAUUUUAGAAAGUGAUUGAAAUUAGUUUUUCUCGAGUGUUAUUCUAAAACAUAAAUACAUUAUGGAGUUGUCUUAUUUAAAAUUUGAAAGAAAAUCUUAAAUAAGAAAUAAUUAAAUAUAUUUUUAGUAUUUUGUCACUAAUGUUUUACUUUUAAUGAUAAUAUGAUAAUAAAUACUUUUACUCAAAUCAUAUUAUUGGCUUCGUCUUCGUUAAAAAAAAAAAUUCAUUAGUUUGAUCAGAAAUACAAUAUCAACCAUUCACUUUAAUUUUAGGCUUUUUCCAGUUCGAUCACUAUCUUAUUAGAAUCCUCGAAUCCUUAAAAGUGUUAAUUUGUAUCAAUUAAGCCUCUAUAGUUAAAUUAGUUUAACAAAGUUAAUUUUUUUAUAAAUUGAAAGUUGACGUGGUCAAUUUUUGCACAUCACUCCUGUCACAUUAGCUCAUCUUCUCCAAACAGCAGAACCUUAAGCGCAAAUUGUCCUUCGCAAUUCCUUUAGCAUAAAGAACCCCCAACUCCUUCCUGUUCCUUCGUCUCGUACACGAAAACCUCAUGCACACCAUCAUUCAGCAACGAUGUUCCCAUCCCGCACUUCAGGUGUUUCACCAGGCCCUUCAGGUAAAUUUCCAGCAUAGUCGUAGUUUGCGUCGAACUCAUUCUCGACGACACUAAAGCUAGGCCAGUUGGUUUCGGUCACAACAAGGGGGAUGGUGUCGUAGCCGGUGACAGCAAAGGCGAUGACAACGGUGUCGACCAUGAUGUCGAAGACGUUGCGGCGGGGUAGAGCUCUACUGAGAUGGUGGUGAUUUUGACAUGCCAAAAGAAAUGAACAUCUUAUUUUCUUUAACGUGGGGACAUUAAUCAAUUUCAUAGAAAUGUUCAGUUGCCACUAUCAUGUUCAUUUUGUUUAACAGUUAAAUAUUUUAUUGUUUACGAUGCAGGGAAGAGUUGUUGAAUAAUAAAGAGAAUCAACAUUUUGUGUGUUAAGGAACCUAUGAGUACGUGCUCAGAACUUCUGAACAAAAAUACCUUUAUCACAUAAAAUAGAGGGGGCUAUCGAAGUUCAUCCUUGGAGAAAUGCUCACAUAAAGUUACAACUUUUCCUAAUUAAUGAAAUAACUCGCAUAAGACUUGAAAAGGUCACUAGGUGAUUUGUGUAGCAUUUUGACAGAUUGAGGGAUCUCGCUUUCAGCUGUGGGAGGCCACCAGAGAUGUCCUCCACCUCCUGGGAGUGGUGGUUGGAGGAUUCGCUGGGAGCGGAGUAGGUGACACCGAUGUAGGGGUGGGGAAGAGUGCGAGGGAGAAGACAGAGAAAUCAAAGAGCCACAUGUUCAAAAAUUGAUACAUCACCCUCCCACCUGUGCAAAAACUUAACCCAUUAAGUAAAUUUAAUGAUAGGGGCUCAAUUGAUUCAAAUUAGUACUUUUAAGGAUUCAAUCGAGAAUUCUAAUAUGAGAUAAAACCCACAUAAAUGGAAACAACUAAAUGGUUUAAACCUUAAUUUUAUUAUCAUGUCAUCUCAUUUUAAUAGUAGAAAUCAUCUCAUAUCUAAUAAGAGAACAAUUAACUUAAAAGAUGACAUAUAAAAUAUUAUUACAAUUAUUCAAACAUAAAUAUAAUACCAAAAUUUAUAUAUUAGAGUUUUAUCAUAUUUUAUGUAAGAUUGGACAAAUCAAACUAAAGUAUACUAAAUUAUAAUUAAACUAUAUUAUAAUAAUUUUUAGUUAAUUAAUAACUAUACUAAAUCACUUGUCUCUAAAAAUAUAACUUUAUUAUUUAUAUACACUGAAAUCGUGCUGAAACACCGAAUAUCUAAACAAGUGACAAUUAAGCGUUGUUAUAUUGUAUAUUCAUUGCAAUUAUUUCAUGGAUACUAUUAGGAAAAUAAAAUUUUAACACCAUUUUUUGACACCAUUUUGACACUGCACACGUGCCAAAAUGUGGUUGGACGAUUUCAAAUUAAAAACCAAACUUUGGUUUUUUUCUUCUAAACAUACCCUUGUCUCAACUUUUUUAAUUUGAAAUCGUCCAAUCACAUUUUAACACAUGUGCAGUGUCAAAAUAGUGUCAAAAAAUGAUGUUAAAAUAUCAUUUUCCAUAGUAUUAUUUUGAAAUCUAACAAAUUUUACACACACAUACCGGUGUUGCUUAUAUGUUAAUAAUAUUGAAUAUUUGUAAUAUUAAAAAAAAUACUAGUCAUUAUUUGCACACGACACACAAAAUAGAAUAUAUAUAUAUAUAUAUAUAUAUAUAUAUAUAUAUAUAUAUAUAUAUAUAUAUAUAUAUAUAUAUGAUUGUAUUAUAUUUUAUAAUUGUUUUCUCAUACAUACAUUUUUAUCUUUUUAUUUUUACAAAUAUAUUUAGUUUUAUUAAUUUACNNNNNNNNNNNNNNNNNNNNNNNNNNNNNNNNNNNNNNNNNNNNNNNNNNNNNNNNNNNNNNNNNNNNNNNNNNNNNNNNNNNNNNNNNNNNNNNNNNNNNNNNNNNNNNNNNNNNNNNNNNNNNNNNNNNNNNNNNNNNNNNNNNNNNNNNNNNNNNNNNNNNNNNNNNNNNNNNNNNNNNNNNNNNNNNNNNNNNNNNNNNNNNNNNNNNNNNNNNNNNNNNNNNNNNNNNNNNNNNNNNNNNNNNNNNNNNNNNNNNNNNNNNNNNNNNNNNNNNNNNNNNNNNNNNNNNNNNNNNNNNNNNNNNNNNNNNNNNNNNNNNNNNNNNNNNNNNNNNNNNNNNNNNNNNNNNNNNNNNNNNNNNNNNNNNNNNNNNNNNNNNNNNNNNNNNNNNNNNNNNNNNNNNNNNNNNNNNNNNNNNNNNNNNNNNNNNNNNNNNNNNNNNNNNNNNNNNNNNNNNNNNNNNNNNNNNNNNNNNNNNNNNNNNNNNNNNNNNNNNNNNNNNNNNNNNNNNNNNNNNNNNNNNNNNNNNNNNNNNNNNNNNNNNNNNNNNNNNNNNNNNNNNNNNNNNNNNNNNNNNNNNNNNNNNNNNNNNNNNNNNNNNNNNNNNNNNNNNNNNNNNNNNNNNNNNNNNNNNNNNNNNNNNNNNNNNNNNNNNNNNNNNNNNNNNNNNNNNNNNNNNNNNNNNNNNNNNNNNNNNNNNNNNNNNNNNNNNNNNNNNNNNNNNNNNNNNNNNNNNNNNNNNNNNNNNNNNNNNNNNNNNNNNNNNNNNNNNNNNNNNNNNNNNNNNNNNNNNNNNNNNNNNNNNNNNNNNNNNNNNNNNNNNNNNNNNNNNNNNNNNNNNNNNNNNNNNNNNNNNNNNNNNNNNNNNNNNNNNNNNNNNNNNNNNNNNNNNNNNNNNNNNNNNNNNNNNNNNNNNNNNNNNNNNNNNNNNNNNNNNNNNNNNNNNNNNNNNNNNNNNNNNNNNNNNNNNNNNNNNNNNNNNNNNNNNNNNNNNNNNNNNNUAUAUAUAUAUAUAUAUAUAUAUAUAUAUAUAUAUAUAUAUAUAUAUAUAUAUAUAUAUAUAUAUAUAUAUAAUUUAAAAGAUAACUCAGAAGACAUGUAUUUUUAUUUCUUUAUUUUUUAUUUUUUUAUGUUGUCGAAAAAUAAAAAAAAGCAAAGCAAGUAAAAGUUUCAAACCAAACUAAAAUAGAGUUCAUAAUUCAAAACAGUUAACUAAACUCUUAAUAAUAGGAAAAGUUUAAUUUUUUUUUAAACUGAACUUAAAAACAAUAUAAUUCAGUUUUUAUAAAAAUAAUUCAGUUUUUAUAGUACAAAAUAAUAAUAUAAAUUAUCUAUAAUUUAUUAUAACUAAGUUAAUUAUGCCCAACCCUAACUCUAUGCUUCCUGUUACAUCAUCAUCUUAUACUUGGUUUACAAAAAUAUUUUCAUUUGCUCAUACCAUUAAAAGGAUCAUAAUAAACAAGAAAACUAGUAAUUACACAAAGAUAGAAGAAGAAUAAGCUAAUUUACCAAACAAAAAUACCUACAAUUGAGUUAUGAAUAUAACAAUUAAACACAAGUCAGUCAAUCAACGCCUAAGCAUACAAACAUUAAUUUUAGACUUUUGUUCGGAUAUAUGUACUGAUGUCAAACUCUGACGAGUUGUACACUUGUGAUGGUCUCUAUUACUCUACCCAAUUAUUGUCAAUGAGUUUCACCCUAUCGCACAUAAGAUUAUAUAAGACUAUCCUCUGAAUAUAUAUAAGAAGAACUUGAGAAAAAACAUUUCCCACUUAAAAGAUCUAUGACAAAGUCAAAGAUCAAAACACAUCUCCUUGAAUUUUAUAAUGUUCCACGAAUAAGAGAAUAUAAAGAACAUGAAGAUUAUAAGCACAAUUGAAGAAUACUUUAGGAAAUUAAAUAAAUUGUAAUUUCAUUUUAAUUUUAUAGGAUGUUAAAUUCGUGGGCGAGCCAUGUUGUGUUAAGGCAAAAGUCCACUUCUAUAAUUUUCAUUUUCUGUUAUUUUUUUUUUGUUUUGGGCUUUGAGCUUUAUUUAAGAGUUUCUAGGUUUUCUUAAACUUAUGUGACUAUAUAUAAAGGUACCAAAAGUUGAUUGAAACACUUUUGAGUCAUAUUAUAUGCAUUUGCAAUCUUCGAGAGAGGAUUCUCUUAAUUUUUGGAUUAGAACUCUGAUUCUUAUCAAAGAUUAGCAUCUUUGUGAAAAAUCAUCACUUGACUUAUCAAUAUGCUAGAUAAUUGUGUCCUCAUCCCUAUCUUAUUCAACAUUCUUCUCUGAUUUAUUUAUUUUUUUGCUUUUUGAGAAUUCAAAUUUAAAAGUGAUCAUACUUUUUCCUGGACAUGAUCCUAUCAAGUUAAUAUGUUAAUGCCUUAGGCCUAGGUAAAGCCUCUAGACUAGGAUCUUCUGCUCCUUUCACCAUAUAUUUCAUUAUUCUCUACUUAAGAUUGGAUGAUUAUUAAAGCACCAAGGUAACUCCCAAUACGGAAUCCUUACAUCAAUACAUACACAACUUGAAACCUUACAAUAAAUUCUCCUUGAAAUUCUUUUUACAUCAUACUUGAUACAUGCAUACAUAAAUUCAUAAUAUAACUCAUAAGGCAUUGAAAACUUCACACUAAGCAUACAUAACAUCCAUAGAAAACCAAUUUAGAUAAGCAAAGAUUAGAGAAUCACAAAACAACACAUUGGCGCUCAAACUCACACUUAGUGUAGAAGUUGCUCCCGCAAAAAAAAAAACACUUAAUGCCAAAGAUAGAAAAUAGCUUCAGACCUAUAGUUGUAACGAGCGCUCUGCGAUGCCCUGUUACCGCUCAAUGCUAGACCAUUCGCAUUUUGGCCGCUCAACGGUAAAAACUGACACUAAGCGCCAUACUAGAAACCUACAAUUUCAAACAAUGAUUUGAUUGAACUGAUGACCUAUCCAAAUGACCAAAUUAGUAUUCUUGCCUCAGUACUUAAUCCAAAAACAUGUUUCAAAUAAAAAUGAAUACCAAUUUGCUCCAUUGGCUAGAAACUCAGUCCAUCAACUCAAUUCCAAUUUCAAACUGCACAUCAACAUGUUAAAUAGCAUAUUUCAAUAGCAAAUUUAACUAACACUUAAAUUUUCAUCCAUUUCAGAUAAUCAACAACAAGAACACUUUCAACAAGCAGUCACAACAGAAUGUCCCUAUAAUAGACUACCAAUUGUAAACCAAAUCAAGUAUGUCAAGUAACACAAAAUCAUCAGACUCAAUAAAUUUUAAUUGUGAUUCAAUCAACUAAAUCAAUAAUUUCAAUCAAUCAGAGUCCAUCAAACAUGCACACAUAAUUCUAAUUAUAUUAGAACUUGAGAAUAAUGGUAUUUAGCUUCCCUUACAUGUUACAAGCUCAAACUGCUCUACGAAAACUAGUAUAACUCCCUCAGCUCAAGGAACUCUACAUGCUCUUAUAAACCACAAAAUCAUGAUCAAGGCAUAUUGUUAGUACCACUGAUUAGUAGAGAAUCUUAUAGAAGACUUGGAUGACACAUGUGACAAAACAAUGCUCACAUGCAUGGAAAAAUGCACAAACUAUAGAAAAGAACAAAAACUACUCUUUUGCAAGAACUGAUGACAUAGACUUGAAGAUCUCGUCUUAGCGAUCAUUUAGGCACUCUCUGAUAUUCAAAUAGAUAAAUUAGGAAUGAGAAAGGUUAGAGAAAUGGUACAACGCUCUUAGAGAACAAGUUUUAGAGAGAUAGUUUGUUUUUAGAUAAUGAGACUCAUUAUUAGAAAUUAUACUUUUAUACGUUAAACUUUUAAUAUUAAAAUGACUUAGACUCAUUAUUUUGAACAUGUUAACACUUCUAAUACCUUAUUUUCUAGGCUCUCAUACUUUCGCUAACAACAAAAAUUUCUGACCUCAAAAAUUAGACUUACUAGAGAAUCGAUGUGAGUAUGAAUUCCACAUAUCCUCCUUUAUUUACCACGUAAAUCACAUGUUCUCCUAUCCUAGACUACUUGGACUAGACUGAUGAUUUUUCCUCUAAGCUAGUUUGUCUGGUAAUCAACUAUACUAACAGACUGCAUCUCCAUAAGAGAUCUUAUCUAACUUGCACUUCUUUUACCUCAAGCACAUGAGAAGGGUCAAAAACAUAUUUCCUAAGCUGUAAGACAUGAAACACUGAAUGAAGAUUGGAUAAUGGAGGAAGCAUUACUAUCUCAUAUGCAAUUGGUCCAAUAUGUCUCAAAACUUGAUAUAGACCAAUAAACUUAGGAGACAACUUCCUUGAACGAAUAGCCCUUCCCACACUAGUUGUUGGGGUUACUCGCAAGUAGACAUGAUCAACAAUUGCAAACUCAAAGGUCUUCUUCUCUUAUCAACAUAAGACUUUUACCUACUCUAUGAAGCCUUCAUCCUCUCUUGUAUCAACUUCGCCUUCUAUGUGGUUUGCUGCAACAGUUCAGGACUUAUAAACUUCAAUCCUAAACAAUGGUUCUCCCCAGAUACAUUCCUCUCAAUGGUCCAUUCCCAACAAGAUCAAUAUCCACAACAAUGCUUUCAAGAACAUCAAUUAGGCGAGCAAUACUCAAUAAUGUCAAUCAACAUGAUACAUCUAUGGCAAUUAACAUCCAAGAGCAUUUUAGCAUAUAGCACCAACCAAAAGAUUUAUACUCAUCUAUACAACACAAGAACCAUUUGAAGACUUGAACAGAGCAUAUAAAGUCUGCCAAACACUUAUAUAUAUAUAUAUAUAUAUAUAUAUAUAUAUAUAUAUAUUCAAACAUCCGCCCACAAUGUUCAACAAUUCAUGAUGCUACACCAAGCAUCAUAUCACAUUCAUAUAAAGUAAAAUCCAUAACCACACUCGUAAUAAGGAUCACAAGGUGAGAAGUGCCCAUGGGCUAUAGAAGAAAUAGAUAGGCCCAAAAUAUGGAAUGUGUAUGUAAGAAGAAAGAAAGUGGGGUUAGGAAAAGAAAUAGGGAAAAGUUAGUUAGGAUGGGGAAUGACGUGUCAAGAAUCCUGGGAGAAUUCUGUUAUAAGAGAGAGUAGGGAGAGUGAGGGGAGAUCAUGGAAAGAAAGUUGUGAGUUGGGUAGAAGGAGAGUCAUCCUUUGAAGGAGUCUGGUACUCUGAUUUUUUUACUUGUCGCUGUAAAGCUUUCAGCUCAAUCAUUUUUUACUGCAUAAUACUUGAAUAAUAUACCUGUGAUAUUCAUUUUAUUGUUGGGUUUCUAUCAUUGGUCCAACCUGCCAGAUACCGAGAAGAGCUAGCAGUGUUGUCCAUGCCACCUAAAAUGUCUGAUCGUGUUGAAGCAUUGGAGGAAAGAUUGUUGGCGAUGGAAGUGUCAAUCUGAGAGAUGUUGGGGGAAUUUCGCAUAUUAAUGCUGGAAGAGUUUACUAAGUUGCGUAACGAGCAAGGGGGAGAUCGUCGAGAAUCUCCAUUUUCAGAUAUGGAUUCAGGGGCAGAGUACAGGAUGGCAGCAAGGAAGGUGGAAUUACCAUCAUUUGAUGGUACGGACCCUAUGGGAUGGACUACAAGGACAAAGACAUAUUUUGAAGUGCAAGGCUCAAUAGAGGAGGUGGAGGUCCGAUUAGCCAAGUUGAGUAUGGAAGGUGCAACCAUUCAUUGGUUCAACCUUCUACAAGAAGCAGAAGUGGGGUUGUCGUGGACCAAGUUAAAAAGGGAGUUGAUCGGUCGUUAUGGUGGUUGUACUAGCGAUAAUCCUUUCGAAGAGUUGAAAGACUUGUCGUAGAUGGGUAGCAUAGAUGAGUACCUGGCGGAGUUUGAAUAUAUCUAAUCUCAAGUGUAUUGUUUACCAGAGGAGCAAUAUCUUGGCUAUUUUAUUGGAGGAUUGCGAUCGAAGAUUCGGCGGAGGGUUCACACCUUCAACCCGGUGAAUCGUCUGCAAGCCAUGCGCCUGGCUCGAGAUGUGGAAGCAUAAUUGCAAGGAGAGGGAUUUCAAAGUGGAGGAGGAGCACGAGGUUGGAAGAGCAAUCAAGAUUGGGGUACAGGUCAGAGAGAGAAGUUUGGAUCCGGGUCAGGUCAAGGCCCAAAUUUAGGGAGAUUAGGAUUUGGGUUAGGCCCAACCUAGAACACACAAACUAAACCCUUAUCUAUAGGGAGUUCAAGCCCUCACGAGUCCAGCUCGGUGACAUUACAAAGCAACGUUUUCGAUGAUCGUUCUUCGGCUGCUGUGCGGAAUCGCGGCACGAAACAUUUGCCCUACUCCGAAUUGAUGAAUAGGAAAGCUCAAGGGCUUUGUUUUAGAUGCGGUGAAAAAUACCACCCCUUGCACAGAUGCACAGAGCAACAACUGCAAAUGGUGGUGCUAGCGGACGACGAAACAGUAAAUGAAGCAGGGGAGGUUAUCGCGAGUGAGAUGCGAGAAGAGGAAGAUGAUCGUACCUUGGAGUGUGGUUCUAUUGAGUCGUUCGCAGAGGUUGAAGUUUCACGGGAUGGUCGAAAUCACCCUUCAACUCUGCGCAUAAAGGGUAGUCUCAAUGGAGUAACCCUGGGAGUGUUGAUUGAUAGUGGGACCAGUGACAAUUUCAUCUCUCAUCAUGUAGUGGCUGCUCUGGAGUUGAAGGUGGACAAAAGAAAAAUGAUUGGGGUGCGUCUAGGAUAUCGACACAGGGUCUCUACUACGGGGAAAUGUGAGUAGUUGGACGUUCAACUAGGAGAAUUUUCUACUACAGUGAAGCCAUAUGUGUUGGAGCUGGAAGACAUAGACAUGAUUUUGGGAGUUUCGUGGUUACGGAGAUUUGGUAAGGUGACUUUUGAUUAGGAAGAGAUGACUCUAAGUUUUCUUUGGCAAGACAAAUAUCUUGAACUACAAGGUCAGAAACUGAAAGAAUAUGAAGCAAUGUCUCAAUUAGAAGUACUUCAACCCUUCCCUAUUCCGGAUAGAAUUUGGGAAGAUAUUUCUUUAGACUUCAUCACGGGUUUACCAAAAUCGAAAGAGUUUCAAGCUAUACUCGUAGUGGGGGAUCGGUUGUCUAAAUAUGUCGACUUUAUUCUGCUGAAACAUCCUUACAAUGUAAGGAAAAUUGCUGAAUUGCUUGUUAAGGAAAUUGCAUUAUUUCGAUUACUGGGAACAACUCUGAAAAUGAGUUCUGGUUAUCAUACUGAGACCGAUGGUCAAAAGAAAGUGAUAAGUCAAUGUUUAGAAGCUUAUUUACAAUGUUUUGUAUCGGAACAACCCAUGAAUUGAUCAUAUUGGGUACCUUGGACAGAAAUUGGAGAAGUUUUAUAAGGUGUAGCUGUCGGAAUUAGCUAAAGUACAUUUAGUUUUUCACAUUUUCCAACUAAAAAAGGCUAUUGAAAACCAGGCAGUAGAAUCGACUUUACCAACAAAGUUGACUUUUAAGGAGGAAAAUAAGGAAGAGCUUGAGACAGUGCUAGCAGCCAGGGAGAUUCCGAAGGGCAGUAACAUCAUCAAACAAUGGUGGGUGGAAUGGAAGAGAAGAACAAAGAAAGAGAUAACUUGGAAAGGUGAAGUGCUACUACAAGGUCAAUUUCCUUCUUUCAGCCUUGAGGACAAGGCUGUUGUUGCAGAAGGGAGUAAUGAUAGGACUCAUAAUAAGGAUCACAAGGUGAGAAGUGCACAUGGGCUUGUUACUCAGCCAAGAAAAAAUAUAGAAGAAAUAGAUAGGCCCAAAAUAUGGAAUGUGUAUGUAAGAAGAAAAAAAGUGGGGUUAGGAGAAGAAAUAGGGAAAAGUUAGUUAGGAUGGGGAAUGACGUGUCAAGAAUCAUGGGAUAAUUCUGUUAUAAGAGAGAGUAGGGAGAGUGAGGGGGGAUCAUGGAAAGAAAGUUGAGUUGGGUAGGAGGAGAGUCAUCCUCUGGAGGAGUCUAGUACUCUGGUUUUUUUCCUUGUCGCUGUAGAGCUUUUAGCUCAAUCAUCUUUUACUGCAUAAUACUUUAAUAAUAUACCUGUGAUAUUCAGUUUAUUGUUGGGUUUCUAUCACUUUGCAGUAUACAUUGUUAUCUAAUAACCAUGACCAUUGCAUAAAUAAAAUCUGUGUAUAACAGCAUUGACCUAUAUGCAUCAUAGUACAUUACCCACAACCAAUUGACAGCACAUUAUCAUGCAACUUCACGGUGCAACAGCCAAUAUUUACAUCAAAAUAACCUAAUAUCAACUUUAAUGCAAUAACGUCUAACCCUAAACACAGCAGCAAGCUGAAUCUAACACAUCAUCACGUUACCUAAACCAUUAGUACACAUAAGCGUUGCCUUUCAUUUAACGUUUCACACGGAAAGAGUAUUUAAAACAGCACUUAUUCAAUGGCAGUCUCAAACUCGCUAUAAACGAGUAUACUCAUAUUAUUCAGCGAAAUGUACAGCCAAACAGACAAGACAGCUUCUAAAUCAAUCAUAUAACAUCAUGUACACUCAUUUAAGAGGCUCAUAUCAAACUAGACAUCAGCAUUAGUUAAUUAGAAUCAAACCAAGGUUUCCAGAACUUUAAUUCUUUCUAAACAAUCAUGAAAUUAAACAACCCUGUCAUAAAACUGCAUUAAGACCAUUUAGUACAUACUAUAAAUUUGGAAAUCAUGUUCUGCCCAUACCAACCAUACUAUCGUGAAAUUUUCUAUCAAUCUAGAAACAAAACCUUAAUCAUUGCAGUAAAAUAGCCAUAGUUUUAUUCAAUUCAUCCAAACAAUUUAAACAGCCAUGAAUGCAGUAUAACCCCGUAUAAUAGUAUGUGCAGAAUAAGUUCCAGCAACCAGAGACAAUAAUUUAUGCAAUAUGAUAGUCAAAGAUUGACUCAAUUCUUCCAAACAAUGUACACAACCUUAAACAGAUUCUUACCAGCUCUUUUCAAUUCAAACCCAAGUUAAUUUCAGUGUUAAAACUCGUUAACCAACUCCAACUCUAUCUAGGUAUCAUCACCCAAUAAUUUAACCACUAAAAAAACAAUGCCAAGCAGGUUUGAACUGCCCAAAAUUAGUUUCAUGAAUACAUGCAAACUGGAACACUUAAACAGCAUAUACAAAUCUGCCAACAUUGCUAUCAUGAAUAUAACCACAACACCCAACAUUCAAACAUAGCACAUUCCACAUUUAAAGUGAAAGACCACAUUCAUACGUAAAUUUCCAGUCCAGCAGCACUACCCAAUACUGUAACAAUUACUCCUAUAUAAACUAGUAUAUGACAGCAUCAAUUCACAUCUAUUCUUAGUCCCGCCUGAUAGGAGGUUAAAGGUGUAUGUGAGAAGGAAGAGAUGUGAGUAAGUAGUUAGUUAGUUAGUGGGUCAGUGGCCUAACUGUUUUAUCAGUUAGGAAGGGGGAAUGUAUCGGGUAAUACUUGUAUAAAUAGUUAGUGAGGAGAAGGAUAGAUACUUUUGUUCAUCCUUGUAUCUUGAACAGACUGUUUAGUCUGAUUGGGGGAGAUUAGGCUCUCACUUUCCUACAUUCUUGUAUUCUUUCUUGUUCUUAAUAAACAGAGGAGGUUAUUCAGCAAUUGUGGGUGGUUCUGUGCGUGUUAAAGUGUAGAAAGAUUAUAGGUUUCAUUACCAGAAACCUAUCACCGCCCCUGUUACCAAUCCAUGGGUAUAUAUACACAACAUCAAAACCCAGUCAAGCAAUCUAAAUACUCCAGACCAAAAUUAAGACAUUUAUAUAUAUAACGUACAACAUUUCAACAGGGCACAUGUUCAUGAUCAUUCCCAAUUCAAAAUAUAUUGUUAUGCAAGCUCACGGUCCAGCAUCAUUUAAGCAAAGUCAGCCUUCGUACAAAAAUAUAUUUCAUCUAAUUCUGAGUUAUAUUAGGUAUACAUUCAAACCAGAGCACUAAACCACAUAUAUUCCAACUCCUAAUAAUCUAGUUCAUUACACCGCAAAGUAAUAUACCCUACCCUUCCCAGCAUAACAUUCUAGUACUGCCCAAGCAAACAGAUACACCAAAAUCCAGUAUACCAAUUCAGUAAUGAUAUGGUUCAGGACAGAAAGGGUUUUAACGUAUGACUACACCUAGAAACAGAACAGGACCAGCAAGAUUUUCAUAUGCACAUGAUUAAAUCACCUACUAUACCAUCAACUAAUUCUGAAACAGUUUUCACCAUUUAAAGAAAUCAGCCAACCAAAAAUCAUUUUUCAUGCACAUAUCAAAGGUUCAAGCGUCAAUUUCCUUCCUGUUUAAACCAUAUGAGAGAACUUAACAUUAUAUGCAUUAACUACUACUUUUCCCUACUGUUUCGUUCCAUUUUUUUUUUCAAAUAGAUUGUAUAUAUAUACAACGAAACUGCACCAGAGCAUCAUAAUAAUACUCCAUUACCAUAGUUCAUUCAUUCUACUAAAACAUGCACACCAGUCCUUCAUUUGAUCUUAUGAUUAUCUCAAUUUCAGUCCAACUACAUAAUACCCCAACACAGCGGACAGAACCACAUCACCAACAUCUAUUCUGACUCUAAUUCACAAGUAAUAUAGCAUACUGAAAUUAAUUCAAUGAAACAUCAUUUAUACUUUCAAUAUACCAGUAACGGAGACAAUUGCAUACCAACAAACAUAAUUAAAAGGAACACGCAAGAAUCAUGUAGCAAGAAUCCAAUCACAUACACAAAAUAGAAUUAACUCCCAUACCUGUCUCGGCUUCACCACAACUACCCCCUCCGUUGCAAACUCUGAAUCUCUCGCUUCCAACUCUAAUGUCCUGUCACGGACUCUAAACUCUCACUCUCAACUACAUUGCUCUAAUACCGGUCGUACAGCAGAGGCCAUCCCUUUUCUAACCCUAGGUUUCCCAAGUUUUCAAACAAUAAAAGAAAAGAGAAGGAGAGUAGCGUAGGUUGACGCUCAAAGCAAGAAGAGAAUGAGUUCUAUCCCUUGCCGCACAAAGCCCCCAUUUGCCCUACGGUUUGAGUUUUGAAGAAGAAAAGAAAAUUGGAAAGGAAAGAUGAAGGUCUGCGUUUCAAUAAGGUUGGAGAAGAGAAUGGGUUUUCUCUUUUCUCUCUCAUGGGGUUUAUUCGGCCAAUAAAGCAAUUUUUGAAAGAAAAAAAAAUAUAAAACAGAGUGAAUGAAAUUAGAAAAACAAAAACCCCACUUUGGUUUCAGCAGGGUUCGAAGUCAGGGCUUCGCACCACUUAAACCUGUCAAUGCAGCUCAUUUUCUAGGAUUUGGCUUCAAUCCAUAAGGGUUGAGGCCAAAUAAUUCCAAGACCAAAAACAUUUUUUAUUAAAAAAAUCCACAGAACCAACUUGAACCUUUCUUUUUAGCAUAAAAAAACAUAAUAAUAAAAGUAGAAACAAAAAAUAGGCACUUCUACAAUAACAAACCCAAACCCAACUUGAACUACAUAAUAAAAACAGAGAAACAUAUGGCAAUUGAUCAAAUGCUGAAUCAAAAAAAAUCAUAUCUGUAGAAUAAAAAAUAUAUUCCACCCUUGUUCAAAAGAGAAAUACAAGAGGCAAAGAUCAUUUGAUGGUGCGAUCAUCCUUCAUUAAAGCAUGCAAUGGAUUAUAAAUUAUGAAGAGCUUUUUGGUGAAGAAAAAGGUACACUAAAUGGAAUCUUAUAUCUUCACAAAAACCAUACAUUCACUAUGGAAAUAAAAUAAAGGAUAAUCUUUAACAAAGAUGAGAAUCAUAACACAAGCAUCUCUACAAACCCACCCAGUCACCCACUGAAAUUCAAUUCCAUACAGAUUGACCCACCAUCUGUCACAAUUUAUUGUUCAAGCUGCAUCAAGAAUCCAUAAAAGAAAUAUAAAUUACAAAUCCAGAAUGUAAAUAUAAUGAUAUUAAACUUUUUAUGUUUUUCAUCUAAUUAAUACCCUGAACAGUGUUUCAAGCUUAUUCUUGACAAGGCAACUCUUGCUUCACUUGUUGUAGACGUCUGAGAGACCUGCGGUAAUAAGAAACUUUCAAUGAUGAGACAUGAAAUCAGCCAGACUACCACAGUUGAAUACUUAAAGCACAAGUAGCUUAUUCAUUCAAACUUGUGCACUUAUCCUUCAAGACGCCAAAAACUAUUGAACAACUUUCUGAAAAUUAACAACUCUUCAAACAAUUCUCAAGACAAUCAGUUCAUAAAAUCAAUGUCACUAGUCAAUUAAUAUAAAAUUGAGAGAUAAGCUAGCAAGAUGGGAAAUGAACAAAUCUGAAAAAAUGAAUUAAAACAGAGGCAAAAUCUGAAAUGAGAAGUACCUUGGCAUUCAACACGAGACUCUUAACAAUGUGAAACAUUUUAUUUAGGAUUUGUUUUGCAUUCGGCUAGGUUUUACUUGAGCUAAAAACCAAAGAUACAGUAAAUGGUUGACAUGAUACAUUCGUAGCUUUUGCCUAUACAAUUAUGGCAGAAACAUCAAUAUCCAAUAAGUGUGUCAGAUACUUGGAUAUGUCAAAAUCUAAUAUAUAUUAUUAUUAUAAAGCAUGUCACAGAUACUUAGCUGACUUUGCUUGUUAGCAGCUUUUUUGUAGCAUUGCACCUUGUCAAAUUAUACCAGUAUGCAAUGCCACAGUAGUUGCUUAGAAAAAAGUAGAUUAAUCUCAGUUAUAAUACAAUCAAAAUAACUUUUAUGUUAACACUCGCUAGAUAGAUAUAUAUGUCAUUUACAUGGUUUUUUGUUUAUAGUGGUAAAUUUAAUUUUAGAAAGUUUUGGAUUUUAAGUUAAAGGUAAUUUUUAACUAAGAAAACAUACUGAAAAAUCUAGGAUUUAUGUGAUCUUCUAUAAUGGAAUUUACAAUUACAUUUACUUUUGAAUUAGUAGAAUCGGGCCAAAAUGUCCACAAUAUACUAGCAGUUAAAAUGAGGAAUCAUAUUUACAUAACUUUUUAUAAAAGUUAUACAGAAGAGAAUGAAAUAUAUGAUAAAAUAAUUUGCAUCAUUAAAAGAGAUAGAGAACAAACAGCAACACUGCAAAUAAAUAAUAAAAGACUAUUGCAUUGACAAUACAGACAUACCAGUUAAAAAAGAGUUUGGAAAAAAAAAAUGAGCAAACAUAUCUGCAACAUUAUAAAUAGAGUUUAGAACUAACCUAUAUUAUGAACAUUAAAAAUAUUUAAAGGUUUGUUCAUAAUUGGAGAGACAAUUGAGGCAGAUUGACAUUUUUUAUGCAUGGGAAAACCACUUUCUACUGCAUGGCUGAAGGAAACUGUGUUAGAGAAUAAUUUGGAAUCUCCGGAAAGGAUCAAGGUAUAUGAAAAAUUGAGAGUCAAUGGACAGGACAACAUUAGGAGAUAUUACAAAUAUUCCAGUAAGUGCUAUUAAUAACUCAUUCAGCUUUUCAAAAUUAUAUAGUUUUAUUCAAAAAUCAAUAAGUUACUGAAUAUCUUGCUUUUUAACAUAGUCUUCUGGCUGAUUCUCUUGAGCUACACUGAGAAAUCAUGCUUUACUGCCUGAGUUUUGGCCAGAAUUUAGUUUCUUCUUACUAAUAAUUUAUGUGUAUUACUGGAGAUCCAUAUAUAGAAGUCUCUUUGUUUUUCUCCCAUAUAAAUUGGUUAAAAUGCCACAGAUCAUUGGCAUUUUAAUCUUCUUACAAGCCACCUAAGAAGAGGUUUUUUAAUUGAACUCCACACAACAGGAAAUCAAGCAAGGGUUUUUAGCACAGCAGCAGGAUGAAGUUGUUGUGAACAACCUGAAAGUGAUAAUACAGGGAGCAAGAGAAUGUAGGAUAGAAACUUACAAGCCACAUUCAGUAAUUGCAAUAGUUUCACUUGGGAGGAAAGAAGCAGUGGCACAUUUACCAUUCUGGAAAAUCACUGGAAGAAUUCUAGGAUUCAUUAAGUCUGGAGAUUUGUUUGUUGCUAGAACAAGGAAACAAAUGGGACUCAGUUAUGAUAUUCUAAUAUGCAGAAAAUUUAAAAACUGUCCUAAACCUAUAUCCUAAUGCUAAACUACCAAAACAUUAUCAUAACUAUGCUAACAAACCUAAAUUUACCAUUAGAAACCAUUCUAAAAAUUAUCUACUCUCUAGAAUUAUAAAACCAUAAUCUGAAAAUGCCCCUACACUAGCCUUAAAAGUACUGAGUAAAAUAGAACAAUCUAAAAAUUAACUUCUUACUUCUAACUAGCUCUAAUCUUUAUUCAAAAGAAACUCAAAUUCACUGAACUAAUCUACAACUAUACCUUUCUAGUUAUUAAAAAUUAAAACUGCAGAAUUUAACUAUGCUACUAGACUAUAACUAAAAGAAAAUUCACUAGACUUAGCUGAAUUCAAUUACAGAAACAAAAACCACAAUUGAACUAGACUAAGCAAAUUCAUUUCAUCAAUAUAGAGUUGUAAGCAAACUAGCCUACCUACUUCCUAAGGAGGAAUCAAAAUAUGGUACCUAUACUAACUCAUUCUGAAGGAAAAACAAAACUAUUUGCUGGAAAUUGUAAAACAAAUAUUGUUAAAAGAACUACACCAACAAAACAAAGAUAUUCUAAACUAGACUAUACUAGGCUUAAGAGAGAAAUAGGUGUAUGAGUUGGGUAUAAUCUCACGUUUAAUAAAGGCCAGAACACAAAAGAGUGAUAUCAGUUUUAAUAUACUUCACAUUUCAUCAAUCUGGUUUUCCUUUUACUCACUGACUUAGUGUUGCAAGAUGAUUUUGGUUUUGGGAUAGUGAUAGAAGAAAAUGAUGCAAGAACUUUGAUGGUAGUCACAGCUCUAAAAUCAUGCCAAGAGACUCUGGACAAGUUGAAAGACAUACAAGCUCAAGCAUCCAAAAAAGCAAAAGGGGAGUAUCAAAGGAUUAAGAAAGCCCAUGAGAUGUUUGAGAUCCUAAGAGACCCAGGUGUCCGGCCAACAAGAGCUGCCAUCGAGCUCCACCGGGUGCUGCCAUCAGUGCUGCUGUCAAACUUCACUUUGUGCUGCCAUCGGUACUGCUGUCUAGCUCUAGUACUGGAGAAAUGUUUGUGCAGAAGAAAAUUUACAUUUAGGGGUUGACUCAGCCUUAGUGGAAUGGCAACCCCUUUCAUGGGGGAUGUGGGGGCCAGGGGGUUCAGAACUGUGGGUCAAGAAAUUUGGCAUAAGUCUAGAAAGGACCAGGGCUGGCCUUGGGACUCAAAAGUAAAAUGACUGGUCUGAUUUUAGAAAACUGAUUGUUGCAGAUGGUGACUCCAAAAAACUGUAUCUAUGUCUAAAAUAUUUCUUUGAUUAAGCAAUCCUUUCAAAUUGCUAAAUACUUGUAGAGAAGAACCCUUGUCAUUAUUUAUAAUGCUAUACCAAGAAAUAAGUCAAAUCAUUACAUAAUCAUUUUACACUUCUCGAUCCCUAAUGUUUCUAGACACAAGCAACAAAUACAUAAACAAAAUAAUAAUAUUGGAGUUAAAGAUUCAUAAUUAUUUAUUAUAGAUCCACUUAGCCAGCCAAAGUAGUCUUGGCCAGCAAUGUUAUUGGAAUGAAACUCUGAAAGAUACAAUGAAAAUGGUGUAUAUAACACUGAAACUUGACACUGAUGCUACAAUUAAGAGUAUCUUAGAGACUACUAAAACUGAAGUUAGCUCAGAAACACACAGUAGUGAAGUAGAACAGAUAUGAAACAAGCUGGAAGGGCAGGGCUUCACUCUCUGCCCUUGGCAAGGAUAAAGAAGAUCAUGAAGAAAUUGGGUGAGGAUGUUAAAAUGAUAGGUUUCUGGUAAAUUGAAACCUAUCUUUCACACUCUUAACUCCAAAGUACGAACACAGAUGAAAAGAAAAGUAUAUUCUGUAUUAACAAAGGUCAAAAGUACAAGUACAAUGGGUACUCGGAAGCCUAAUCCCCCUCACUAGGUCCAAGACCUGUCUAUACAAAAGAAUAUGACUAACUAACUCCAACAGAAAUACAAAAGGUUCUCUUUUAUAGACAGCCUUCCCGCCUUCUCCUAACUGUUAACACAGGUAGGUUUUCUCACUCACUUCCCUACUUUUCUCCUUCUCUCAUAUACUCUUCAGCCCCUAACAUAAAAUGAUAUCAGAGGACGCUUCAAUUAUUUUCUCCCAGGAUUAUGAGCUCUUCGUUGAUGACUUUGCACAAAGAGGACUUAAUCUCGGCAGUUAUAGCCACUGAUCUGUUUGACCUUUUGACUACUUUGGUUUCCAACUCUGACAGCCAUGCACUUGGUGCCACCACCGUUGUCAAGGAGGUUGAAACUAUAGAUUAGUCUUCAGCAACCUUAACUCAACAGCAAAUAGAAUAUUUGAGUUCCAUACAUGGCUAUGCAAUUAAUUUAAGAACUUUAUCAUUGUAAUUAUGUAAUUUCUACAUAUAUAACUAAAUAAGAACUUUAUCAGCUAGUUAUGUAUAACCAUACUUAAACGAAAGGAAGUUGUGUCAUGAUCCUUCAUACACACAAGUAGUGGUAUAUCUCUAGUUCUUUUAGACUUCAGCUUGAUCAUCUCCAUGUUAUGAAGUCAAAUAAUAGGCUGCAUAAUAUUCAUUUAGCGGAGGUUUCAAGGAGGAAGAAAUCAAAGUAUAUGGGAAAUAAAAACAAACCAGGAAAUUUUUCAAAUAACUCUUGUGGGAACAACAUGGAGAAAUAAUUCAAAAUAUACGAACAAAAAAAAAGGAGGCACACUCAUCUAGCAAAUAUCUUUUUCAGAUUUCCAAAUUCUACCGAUAUAUGACCAGAAAUUUUGCUGUUUUGAAAGUACAAAAUAGUCUAGUUCUCUUAUUGGUCCAAUGCAGAAGGGAUUGAAUUUGUGAGUAAAUUAUUUGAUAGAUGUAAUUCCAUUAAAUGUGUCAAAUUUCAAAGUUAUAUAUCUGCAAUAUUGGUUUCAAUCGAGAUAAAAUCAGCCAAUAUUAUGGAGAAACAAUGUAUCCAAUUGUGCUGUAUUACCAAGUUCUGGUGGUACUGAACCAGCAAUUAAUAGAGUGAGAGUAAGAAAUAGACAUGAGAGAUUCUUCUCUCGGAAGAAUUCAGAAAGACUUAAAAGUUCUUUGGGCAUAGACACAUCAUAAGAUGAUUAUUGCCAAGGUUAAGAUCCCUAAACUUCGUAACUGUGCUUGUUCUUUGGGAUUGGUUCCCUGAAGUGCAACACUGAAGGCCCUAAAGAAAAAACAUAUUUGGUCUCUGACAAACAUGAAUGGGAAAUAUCAAACAGUUGGAAAUAGAAAAAUCAUCAAGGUUUUAGACAUAGGAAGGGAGGUCACAGUUUUGGUCUUGAAAGACAAUAAAAUCAUUGAUUUCAACCUUUGUACAACCCAGUUAAAUAAAUUCUACAAAUAAAAUGUAAUGUCAAAGGAAACAGAAGUUUGAUAGCAAUCAAAAUGAAGAAUAGAAAAUAAAAAUGUAUCAACCCUUGACAAGGAAAACAUCAGCAACAAAGGUUACAGCCUAAACCAACUCAUCUAAUAUAAAAUUUACAAACCAUUCAUGCACAUUCUACGACAAACACAUAAAUGUAACUUGUUAUUCAAAUAAGGUGUCACCUUUCAUCAUUUCAACAAGUCUCUAGAGAUCAUUUCGUGCAAAAAUUUCUCUGCCUUUUCAGUCUUGUCGUUCUUAAAGAGAGCAAAGAUGAUUAUUUCAAAAGUUAUAACAUCAGAUAAACAACCAUUGUCUUCCAUUUUGGACCACAAGGUCAAUGCCUCAUCAAGCAAACCCUCUCUACAAAGACCUUGGAUCAUAAUAGUAUAAGUUCGGAUGUUGGGAUUGUGACCUUUAUUCAAUAGUUCUUGAAAAAUAUCAUGUGCAUCCUUAAGUCUCCCCCCUCUACACAUCCCAUCAAUAAGUAUUGUUGGAGUGUACAUAUUGGGCUGAACUCCAUUCUCUCUCAUUUUCCUCAAUAAUUCAAUUGCCUUGUCUAGACGAUGAUUUUUACAUAAACCAUCAAUCAAGGAAUUAUAAGUCAUUACGUCUGCUUGUUGAUUUCUACCAUGCAUCUCACGAAAAAGAUCCCAAGCAUGAGAUAUUCUUCCAGUUUUGCAUAAACCAUCAAUAAGAGUUGUGAAAGUCACUGUAUCGGGCACCAUAUUCCUGCUGUGCAUUUCCUGAAAGAGAUUUAUGGCCUCAUUCACCCUUUUGUUCCUUAUGAGUCCAUUUAUCAUGAUAUUGUAGGUCCUAACACAAGGACUCACUCCCAUGUGGAUCAUUGCAAUGAAUACUUGUUUCGCAUUCUUCACUUCAUUAACUAAGUAAUAUCCAUCUAUUAGAGCAUUAAAGCUAACAACAUCAGGUUUCACAUAAGCUUUCACCAUCACACCUAACACAUUCUUGGCUUCUCUUAAUUUUCUUUCCUUACACAAUGCAUCAAUCAAUAUAUUAUAGGUAUAAACAUUUGGCCCGAUGCUAUUUGAUAACAUUUCAUUUAAAAAAGCAAAUGCUACUUCUACCUGUCCUACUAAGCAAAAGCCAUAAAUUAGAGUACUAUAAGUAACAACAUCAGGAAAAAUUCCCUUCGUAACCAUCUCAGAAUACAGACCAUAAGCUUCUUCCGGAUGAUUCUCUUUCAAUAAAGAGUCAAUAAUAAUGUUGUACAUUACGCUUGAUCGACCUUGAAUCUUUCUGAACAAUUCGAUGGCGGCUUCAGUUUCUCCUAUUUUGCUCAAUCCAUUAAUCAGAGUCACGUAAGUAAAUUCGUUGAGCCGAAAUCCUAGUGCUAUUACUUUAUCGUGAAGAUUGAGGGCUUCCUUGACCUCACCCUUAUCACACAGACCUCUGAUGAGUGUAGUUAAGGUUAUGGCAUCUGAAUGAUAACCCCUUUUGAGAAUCUUGGCAAAUACAGAGAAAGCGAAAGACAAUUUGUGUAAGUGACAGAAACAAUUGAUGAGGAGGUUGAGAUUAACAAGGUUAUUGUGAAUUCCCUUGAGCUCCAUUUGCUUAAUGAGAGAAAUAGCAGUAUGAUACUGCUUCAUUCUCACAAGAAAUCCCAAAAUCUUUCCAAAUUCGAAGAUGGGAGGAACAUGACGCUCACGAAGCAAGCUAUUGAAUUGUGAGACGGCUUCGUCGUGUAAGGAAGUUUGAGAGUGAGAGUGAGAGCAAAAGAGGAAAUUGUGCAUUGGAAGAAAAGGAGGAAACUUAACAAUGGAAGGAAGAAGAGAAACCCUAACACUUCUUGAGAGCCACAUCUUUGCUCCAAACAACAAUAGUAUAGUACGGAAUUCUUCAAAUUUACAUUUUCUUCAUUUUUAAAAAGUAAGCUUAACUUGUAUGCUUUAAAUCUUUUGUUUGGACAAAUUUAAUUUAAUUUUAAUUUUUUAUUUGGAUAAAAGUUUUAUAAUUACCACUAAAUUUUUUAAAGU
rnacentral:lncRNA from 1 species